CUUGGAAUACUGAACCAUAACUUCCAUUACCGAGCAACCUACUAUCAUUGAAUCCAUCAGUAGCUUGACGAAGCUCAUGGUAUGAAAAUCGUCUCCACGUUCCUAAAGGUAUCAUGUCUUCUUGAGUUGGCAAUUUGUCUUUCCUCCUCCUAUUUUGCAAGAUAAUGAUAAUCAGAGCCACAACCAAAAUUGUGGAGGCAAUUGGCAGAGCUACAUAUAUUAUGAGCUUAGUUUUUGCCUUGGAAUUUCUAAGAGGUCUAGUUUUGCAGUUUGGAACAUGAAGCCGAGCUGCACCACACAAGGCUUCAUUCCCCUUAAAUGAUUCGAUUGAGUAGUUUUCAAAUGAUCCUCCUUCAGGAAUUUCUCCUUCAAGCCUAUUAAAAGAGACAUUGAAAUAUUUGAGAUAACGGAGUUUCUCUAAGGAUUUGGGAAUCUCUCCAGAUAGAUUAUUUCUUGACAAGUCCAAGAAUUCCAAACUCAACAAUUCAUCAAAAGACUCAGGAAUAGAACCCAUGAUUCUAUUAUUGGGUAAGGAAAAACCAGUGAGGUCCUUGAGAUCUGCAACUCCAGUUGGGAUAUCACCUGAGAACUGAUUGUUCGACAAAUCCAAACUAGUCAAAACUUUCCAUUUUCCAAUUUCAAUUGGCAGUGGACCACUUAGAGAAUUUGAAGACAAGUAUAGGAUGAGGAGAUAGUUAAGCCUUGUCAACGAGGAAGGUAUUGAGGAGGAAAACAUAUUGGAAUCUAGACCUAGUUGCCUUAAUGAAGUGAGAUCACCUAAGCAAGCAGGUAUUUGUCCAGACAAUUGGUUAUUGGUCAAGAACAAGAAAGCCAAUUUGUUUAGAUGACAUAACUCAGAUGGGAUGGAUCCUUCUAACUUAUUGUCUUCAAGAGAAAGACUUUGCAACUCUUCCAAUCCACCAAUUGUAGUGGGAAUCUGUCCUAUCAAUUUAUUGCCUCCAAGAUCAAUGCUUAUCAAGUGACUUAAGUUUCCAAUUUCACUAGGGAUGAUACCCCUGAUGCUGCAUUCCCUAGCAUAGAACACUUCAAGAGAACUUGAGAGAUUUCCUACCACUCUUGGAAGUUCACCACUAAUGAAUGGGUUGCUACCGAAAAAAAGCUUCUCCAAGACUCUACAGUUUGUCAAAGAAAAGAGAAAGCUCAUUCCUAAGGAAGUUAAAUUAUUCCAAACCAGGUUGAGAAACUUUAAAUUUCUUAGAUUGCCCAGAUUAUCAGGAAUGGACCCUGAAAAGUAAUUAUUAGACAUGUCAAGACGAGUAAGCUGAGAGGCAUUGGAAAUAGACAUUGGGAUCGAGCCGACAAGUUGAUUGACAUCAAGAUAUAAUUCCUCCAUGUUUGGAAGGAAAAGGCCCAUGUUUGAUGGAAGAUGGCCAGAGAGCUGAUUUGUCUCCAAAGAAAUCACCCUUAGAGUUGAAAUAUUAAAUACUUGUGGAGGAAUAGAACCAGCAAUAUUGUUAUGUUCCAAAUUCAACAAUUCUAGAUUCUUUAGGUUGCCAAUCUCACGUGGUAUUAUACCUGCCAUAAAUUUUAUCAAAUAGAAUUAGACAAAUAUGAGGAAGAAAAUAGUUUAUAUAUAUGAAACAUAAUUUGCUUAUCUUUUUUAUAAUGUGUACAAUUAUAAGCAAUUAGUGUAUCAAAUAUGAAUCAACAAUAUUUACAAAAAAAAUUAAUUCACAAUAAAAUUGUUUUUAUAGAGCUCUUGCAAAUAUUAAAGUACUUCAAGUAAUUUUAAAUUGAAGUUUUUAGGUUUAAAGUUGGAAUAAGUUCAAAAUGAGAAGGGAUUGUAUGAAAUUGCGAUUCUACAUCAUCUUUAUCCCUUAUUAAUAGGAGAAUGACAAAUCAGAUUUUUCCUCUUAAUUUUUAGCUUUUUCUUCUUGAAAAAAAAUUAAAAUCCAACUAAAAAGUUAAAAAUCAAGAGGAAAAAUCUGAUUUAUCAUUCUCUUAUCGAAAAGGGAUAGAGAUUACGUGGAAUCACAGUUUAAUAUAAUCACUUCUCGUUCAAGAUAUAGAAAAUAAUGAUGAAAUAAAUGAUAAAGAACAAACAUUCAUAAGUCAAAUAAAAUAAUUAAGAACAUAAUGAUGAAUUAAAUUUGUUUUCCUUUUAUCUGAUUUGAUAAAUUUAAAAAUUUUAAGAACAUAAAAAUAAAUCAAAUAUGAUUUUUGGUUCCUUGGAGUUUUGUUUGGGGCAAAUCACCAAUAAAAGCCGUUUUUUUUUAAAUUUACCGAAAUGGGCCGAUUUUUUUAUUAUUUAUCGGAAUGGGCCGUUUUCCGCGAAAUCGCGUCCACGUCAGCGCGAUGUCAGGGUACGUGUCAGGACAUCGCGUCCACGUCAGCGCGAUUUGCUGACGUGGAAGGAAAUCGCGCCCUCUAGGACGCGAUUUGCUGACGUGGCAUGAACAGUUUGUGUUUUUAGCUUGGAAAACUUUGAAAGGCCAUAACUUUUUGCUCGGUUGUCCGAUUGAGACGAUUUUUUUUAUUUCGAAUAACUUUUUGAGAUCUACGCGCUGGCAAAUAGCCGAAGGCGGUUUGCCGAAGUUUUCGUCAAAAAAGAUCAUUUUUUGCCCCUAAAUUUUGAUUUUUUCGGUUUAAAAUUGAAUUUUGAAACAUUCAAAUCGUUAUUUUCCUCAUUUAUUUAAAGUAAACACCGGAUCUUUUUUUACAGAAUCGUUGUAUUAUUUUUUCUGAUUUGACACGUGUAUGGAAUAGGUCCGAUAAAUCGUUAGAACGUAAGUAAUAUAAUUAAGAUAAUAGCAGUAUUUCUAUAAUAUGUCAAUUAAUUAGUUUGGCUUAGUUGGUUAAGAUGCUUGCUCCUUUCUUUUAAUACAUUGGUUCGAAUCUUAUUGGUAACAAUUUUGAAUCUUUUUUGUACUUAUUGCAUUUAACCAACUAAGUCAAACUAACCAACUAAGUUUGAUAUUAUUGACAAAGCAUGGAAAUGAUGUUAUAGUAGAGUUUUCUUAUACAAGGUCUUAUGUUCGAUCGGAAAUAUUAUAGAGAAAGGGAAUAAGGGAGUUAUAAACUUAGUAAUCAACAUCUUGCACCAAAACAGUUUUGGACAGCAGCAGUAGGUUAACUUUGAAAAAUCACCAUAAAUUGUGAAAAUCGAAUUAGAGGAUGAACAAAAUAUGGAAUUAAAUCUUAUUGAGUCUAGUUUCUCAUAAAAGAAACAGUGUAAGUAAUGGAAUUGUAAAUCAUUAGAUAUAAUAAAUUUUGUGAGACAAGUUCAGAAUGAAUUCGGGUUCCCCUGUUCUGACUUUGGAAAAUCAUAAAAAUUUGGAUAAAAAUGAUUAGGGGUUAAAAUUUACAUGUUUAAAUUAUUAAUGAGUCUAUUUUCAAUAGAAACAAAGAGAAAUAUCAUCCAAAUUUGUACUAAGAGAUAAUUAAUUUUUAGUGAAGAAGGGUUAAAACUGUCAGAUAGAAGAAUAGGGAUGACUUUAAAGAAUAAACUGUACUUAUUUGCUAAACCAAAAAUUAUGAAAAUUUUAUGGUAAGAAGAUAUGUGAGCGUAGUUUCAGAGAAAAUUAGCGGAUCUUAAUUCGGAAUUCUGUAGCUUAAGAUAUAAUUAAUUUAGUGACUAUGACUCAAGUGAACAGCUUGUUAUGAAUAAACAAGUAAAUAGUAUUAUUAUGUAUAUAUCAAGGAUGUGGAAUGGAGAGGAGGAAAAUAUAUGAAUAUUUUGCUAGCAUGGGUUUGCAUUAAAAAUAGUUAAUUUGCAUGAUUUGGACUCAUGGACUAAAUAGAAUAAAAGUAAAAUUUUAGGGGCAAUUUUGUAAAAAUAUCAAAAAUAUCAAAUUGCAUAAAAUGAAUUGUUUUAUUAUUUAAAUUAAUAAAUUGAAUGAAAUAUUAAUUUUAAUCAAGAUCGGGUAGAAAAUCUAGGAAAAUAGAAUGUAAUCACUGAAUUUUGUCCGGGACGAAUUUGCGUUUUUAAAAAAAAUUGCAUUUUAGCCCCCAAAUUUUUCAAAAAUUAUAUUUUAACCCUUAGGCUUUUCUAAAUUUACAUCUUGACCCCUAAUAUUUUAUAAAUUACAUUUAGACCCCUAAUAUUUCUAAAAAUUAUAUUUUGGCCCCAUAUUUUUCUAAAAUUGCACUUUUACCCCAGAAAUUUUGCAACUUCUGCAGUUUGGUCCUUCUGGACAUGUCAAAUCAGCCAAUCGGCAGUUGAGCGUCUACAAGACCUCUGUGCGGACGUCUACGGGAGCAACUCCUUUCUCCUUGGUCUACAGGAUGGAAGCCGUUUUGCCUAUUGAAGUAGAGAUCCCAUCUUUGUGAGCUUUAUGGAGACAAAACUAGAAUAAUCGGAAUGGGUUCGAGCUCGAUAUGACCAGCUAAACCUUAUUGAAGGAAAGCGCUUGAAGGCAAUUUGUCACGGACAGAUGUACCAGAAGAGAAUGAUCACGGCCCAUGAUAAAAAGGUGCGACCAAGAGAAUUUCGCGAAGGAGAGCUAGUACUAAGAAAGAUCCUCCCGAUACAGAAAGACUUUCGAGGAAAAUGGUCACCAAAUUGGGAAGGGCCAUACGUUGUUAAAAAGGCAUUCUCAGGGGGGCUCUGAUUCUCACUGAGAUGGAUGGGAAAGAAUUACCUAAUCCAGUAAACACAGAUGCUGUGAAGAAAUAUUAUGCCUAAAAAAAACAAAAACAAAAACAAAAACAAAAACAAAAACAAAAACAAAAACAAAAACAAAAACAAAAGAAAAAAAGAAAAAGAAAAAUCAAGAUGAAAACCCGAAAAGGGCGUCUUGAUAAACAAAAAGGAUUAGGAUGAAAACCCAAAAGGGCGUCCUAAUGAAAUGGGUUCGGGCUUAAAGGAGCAAAGUGAUUUGAACGGGGAGUUGAAUGACGAAGUCGCAAUAUUUGAAGCAUUCUCAGAAGCUCGAAAUCUUCUACACAGAAAGCCAUGCUCGAAAAGAUCCUUGACGAAGAAACGUGGAAAAGUUCAUGUGUUGGAUAUCCAGAGCAUUCAUGACCAUUGAAUUCACUUUCCGUUCUUUUUUAUACUUUCUUUCUUUGAACUAUUCCUUGUCAAUAUUCUUCGUUUGUUGCUUUUGAAAAAAACUAAAUGUGAGGUAUUUCUUGUAUGCCUACUUUGCCAUUUCUUCAUGCAUAUCGUGUUUGAAUCAUUUAAAUGAUAAAUAGUAAGAUGACAUACUCUAAACAAAAGGAAUGUUGAACAUUACCUGGAUGAGAAUUUGACAAGUACAAGGGCCCCAAAACAGGAACAAAGUUCAAUAAGGGGGCAAGAGGGUGAUAUACGAAAAAAUGUGGGUUACUCACCAAACUUGAAGAUGAGUACAAAACUUGAGAGAAAAGUCAAAGAUUGAAGCAAUGAAUGCAAUCUCUCACGAAAAAGGGGGCAUGUGAGAAACAGCCCAGGGGGUAUGGCAUGAUCAUGUAGGCAUAAAAGUAUUUAGGACAAACACGUCCAUAUCAUGAUAACAUUGUACAUGACAUAUAUAGGUAUCCCAGUAGAGCAAGGAAUACUGGGAGAAAGUUGCACAGAAUCAGUGAAGAAAAAGACUUCUAGUUUCAACUGAUGUUUUUUGAAACCCUGUUUCUUUCAAGAAAUAUUUUUCAAUUUCUAUUUUUUUAAUAAAAUCAACUCAUAAUGCGAGAAGUGAGUUGAGCCUCAGGCACACGCUGAGGUAUUUUUUAAAUUUCUAUUUUUUCAAAAAUCAACUCAUAUUGCGAGAGGUGAGUUGAGCCUCGGGUCAAAUGCCGAGGUAUUUCUUUUAAAUUUCUGUUUUUCAAAAAAUCAACUCAUAUUGCGAGAUGUGAGUUGAGCCUCGGACACACGCCGAGGUAUUUUUUAAUUUCUAUUUUUUGAAAAGUCAACUCAUAUUGCGAGAGGUGAGUUGAGCCUCGGGUCACAUCCUGAGGUAUUUUUCAAUUUCUAUUUUUUUCAAAAAAAAUCAACUCAUAUUGCGAGAGGUGAGUUGAGCCUCGGGUCACAUCCUGAGGUAUUUGUUAAAUUUCUGUUUUCAAAAAAUCAACUCAUAUUGCGAGAGGUGAGUUAAGCCUCGGGUCACAUCCUGAGGUAUUUUUCAAUUUCUAUUUUUCGGAAAAAAUCAACUCAUAUUGCGAGAGGUGAGUUGAGCCUCGGGUCACAUCCUGAGGUAUUUUUUUAAUUUCUAUUUUUUUUUCAAAAAUCAACUCAUAUUGCGAGAGGUGAGUUGAGCCUCAGGUCACAUGCCGAGGUAUUUCUUUUGAAUUUUUAUUUUUAAUUUUUUUAAAAAAAAUCAACUCAUAUUGCGAGAAAUGAGUUGAGCCUCGAGGCGCAUGCCGAGGUAUUUCUUUUAAAUUUCUAUUUUUUAAAAAUCAACUCAUAUUGUGAGAGGUGAGUUGAGCAUCGGGUCACACAUCAAGGUAUUUUCCAAUUUCUGUUUUUCAAAAAAAAAACUCAUAAUGCGAGAGGUGAGUUGAGCUUCGGGUCGCACGCUGAGCUUUUCUCAAUUUCUAUUUUUCAAAUAAAAAGAAAAUUUUGGACAGUCGAACAAAAUUCAGUGCUUUUAAGUCUUUGCUCUAUCUCUGUUUCACAGUGAUGAGCAAAGAGGGGCAGCUGUAAUCACUGAAUUUUGUCCGGGACGAAUUUGCGUUUUUAAAAAAAUUUACAUUUUAGCCCCUAAUUUUUUCAAAAAUUACAUUUUGACCCCUAGAUUUUUCUAAAUUUACAUCUUAACCCCUAAUAUUUUAUAAAUUACAUUUAAACCCCUAAAAUUUCUAAAAAUUAUAUUUUGGCACCAUAUUUUUCUAAAAUUGCACUUUUACCCUAGAAAUUUUACAACUUCUACAAUUUGGUCCUUCUGGACAUGUCAAAUUAGCCAAUCGGCAGCCGAGCAUGCUCCACCCACCUCCAGCUACUCCAGCAGCCUCCCUAGGCCAUGAUUGCUCCACUACCACCUGAAAACAAAGAAGAAGAAGACAAAUCAAUGAGAUUAAAAAGAAGCAAAUGAGAGAAAGAGGGGGAUUCGGUUUUGGGCAGCCAAAAAAGAAAAAAAUAACAGAGAAAUUUCAAGAAAACAACACUCAAAUUCGGCCGCUCCUUCACCAUCACUGUGCCCACCGCCGCACCAUUUCUUUCCCUCCACCACCAUUACCUACAACCCAAUUCGGCAGCCAAGCAAACAAGCAAAAAAGAAAAAAAAACAAAUUUUGAGAAAAAAGAGAGAGCAAAAACAGUAACAAAAAAGGGGCACCGCCGCCGUCGUGCUCGCGCCGCUGUACCCACCAUCGCACUCGCACUGCCCCGAUACCUAGCAAGACAACCAAUAGGCAAGAAAAAAGAAAAAAAGUAAGCAAAAAGAAAAAAAAGAAGAAAAAAAAAAGCAAAGAAGAAAAAAAGAAAAAGGGGGAAAGGGAAGACCACCGUGCGCGCCACCGUCGGCCGCCGGUGGGAAGUAGGUCGCCGUCGACGAGAGCAACAAGAGGGGGUUGAUCGGGGAAGAAAGAAAGGAAGAAAAAGAAGAAAGAAAGAAGAAAAAAGAAAGGAGAAAGAAAGAAGAAAAAAAAGGAAAAAGAAAACAAUUUUUUUAAAAUCGGGCCGAACCGACCCGAAUCUGGCUCGACCCGACUGACCCGUGACCAGACCCGGCAGUAGUUAGCAGGCCCAACAGUAGCAGAUCAGCCCCCCAAAAAAACAAAACAAAAUAGCAGCAGCAAAAAAAUAGCAGUAAAAAAAUAGCAGGCCUUUCCAGCAGCCCAAGCGCAAGCCCAAUUGCAGCAGCCAACCAGCAGGCCUCCAGGCCAGCAUGCACCAGCCCAGCAGGCCCAAGAGAAGCAGGCCAGAAAAAGAGAAGGAAAAAAGAGAAAAAAAAAGAAAAAAAGGAAAAAAGAAAAAAGGUUCAAUUUGUGUAACCCGUUCGACGUAGCUCGUGUUUCGGGAUCUUUUCGGUAAUUUCGUUUAUUUCACUUUUAAUUUCAUGCUCGUAUUUUUAUGUUAUUUAGUUUUAAUAUUAUUAGCAUUUUAUGCAUUUUUAUAUUUUUAAUUUAAUUUAAUUCCAUUCUAUUUUAAUUUUAUUUUAAAUAAUUUUAAUAAAUAAGGCAACGAAUCGGUUUAACAUAAAAUCGUUGAUUUCAUCGCUAUGUUGGGUGAAUAUCACUGGUUUGCGUUAAACUCGAUACGUCCUUUUAAAACCAAAAGUAUUCAAAAAAUUUCAUGUUUUCGAAAAAAUUCCUGUGUUUCGAAAUUUUCGUGUCUUCAAAUAUUUUUCUCGUGUUUCAAAAAAUAUUCGUGUUUUCAAAAAUAAGGCAACGAUUCGAUUUGACACUAAUUCGUUGAUUUCAUUGCUAUGUUGAGUGAAUAUCACCGGUUCUUGUUAAUACGAUACAUGCUUAAUAAAAAUAAAAAAAUUUGUGUAAUAAAAAAAAAAAUCUUUCCGUGGUUUCAAAAAUAAUCGUGUUUUCACAAAAUAAAAAAAAAAGAUUCCGUUCUUCAAAAUUCUAAUGUUUUCAAAAAAUUCUAUUUUUAAAAAAUUUUCGUGUUUUCAAAAAAAAUAAAUAUAAUUGUUUCAAAAAUCUUCGUGUUUAAAAAUAAAAAUCUCGUAUUUCAAUCGGAUCACGAUUAAAUAUUAAAUUGAACUCGUAUUUUUGAAAAUUAAGACAACAUGCGUUUAACGAGAUACCAAUUUUGGGCGUCGCGAGGGUGCUAAUACCUUCCUCGCUCGUAACCGACUCCCGAACUCAAAUUUUCUCUGGAUUUUUAGACCUAAAAUUACCUCUUUUUUAGAAAAGUUUAAAAAUAAUUUUUUCUUCUAAAAAGAGAAUUUUGUAGGUGUCCGAUCACACCUAAAGAAAAGAUCGAUGGCGACUCCUUUUUUAAAAAAAUCGAGAUUCUGUUUUCAAAUUUGCAAUAAUUACUUCGACUAGCGCACGUGCCCAAAUUUUUUGGUCGCUACAUAGAAAAUUACCAAAAUGCCCCUAUAUUUUUGUAUUUCUGUAAAUUUAGCCUGGUAAGUUCGUGUAACCUGAAUUAUAUUCUUAAAUGCUUGAAAUAUAUGUUAUUGAUGUGAAUAUGAUUUAAUUGUUCAUUGUAUGAAAAUUGAUGAAACAUUGAUAUAUUUGAUAAAAAGGGAAGAAAUCCCGGUUGAAUGAAAGGAAAAUUCGAUGGAUCUUUAAAAAAGAAUUGACUGUAAAAAGGAUCUAGCCCGGACGGGUGAUCUUAUCCUGAUAUAGCCCUCCUGAAGAAUAUAUGUAAAAUGGAUUUAGCCCGGACGGGUAAUCCGAAUUAGGGUCUCAAUUUAGCCUGGACCUGUAAUUCAGAUCCAAGCUCAUUAGAGUAAAUUGUCGUUGUAGGGGAUUUAGCCUGGACUGGUAAUCCCAACAAUACUCUUUGAGUUUAUAUUACAAGGAAUUUAGCAUGGACUGGUAAUCCCGUUUUAAGGAUGAGGUUCGCAGGAGUGUGCUCUCUGAAAUAGAAAUGUACGCACAUGAAGAAUAUGAAUUGACGAAUAAGACCAUAACUAGGUUAUGGCACUAUGAACAUAAGACCAUGGUUGGACCAUAGCAGUGUUUAUAUGUAAGACCAUAGGUGGGCUAUGGCAUUCUGACGAUAAGACCAUAACUGGGUUAUGGCACUACGAAUUGUAAAGGAUGAAUUGACGGCAAAUUACCCAAGUAAACCGAGGUUCAGCAUUCGUUGCGAACUUUCGUGUUUACUAUCUGUUUAGAUCAAUCUUUUGCAACGAAGAUAUAUUAAAGAUGGAGGAGGGUAUUGAACCUGAAAUCCGGUUUUUAGACAAGACCAAGAUCUGUAGCUUUGACAAAUAGCCUAAAGAGAAUGGAAUAGCACCUUUGAAGUUGUUGUGGUACAAAAACAAUCUUCGAAGUGCACCAUGAUGGGAUUUCUCCACUGAAGGAGUUGUUACCAAAGCUUAAAUAUUUUAGCAGAUGCAAAUUGGAUAACUGGACAGGUAAUCUGCCGUAGAAACUAUAUUACCUGUCCAGUUAUCAAUUUGCAUCGGCUGGAAUAUUUAAGCUUUGGUAACAACUCCAAUUUCCCAAGUGAGGUGGAAGGGUGCCUACGAGUCCCAACCCAGUAAGGUUUAGAGCUGUGACUCUACGGUGCUUGGAUCCACAACUUACACCAAACCAAUUGCAAACAGGGGCAGAGGUUGACCAAUUAGUUGUCAAGACAUUUUUAGGAUCAUGAAUAACAUGAUCUUUUAAUGCUAGAAGAGCUGAUUGAUCUGUAAGUAUGGUGGUUAAUAAAAAAAUGGAAGAUGAUAAGAAGAGCUAAGUUGAGGAAAGUAUUCCCCAUUUGAAUUUGGGUGUUUAUCAAGCUACCAACAAAGAGUACAGAACUGAGAUUGGUAGACAGAUAAUUGAAUGACCACACAACUUCUUUUACAUAAUAUGUGUGUAUAUAUAAAGGGAGUUUAUAUUGCAAUUUCUUCUUGCAAGAAUGCAAAUGCUUUGAAUAAAAAAGAUAUAGGUAAACUACCAAAAUAGUCACUUUUGUUUGGCUCAGGUUACAUUUUAGUCGCUUAUGUUUGAAAUGUUACGUUUUAGUCACUUAUGUUAUCACGUUGUAACAUUUUAGUCACUGAGCCGUUAGUUUCUGUUACCGGUGUAACAGUAAACUAAUGUGGCACGUUAAAUCAUCAUUUCAAACAAAAAUUCUAGGUUAAUUUAUACAAUCGAUCUCCAUAUUUUUUUCGUUUGGAGCAAUUUAAUUUUUUUCUUUUAUGUUUUUAUAACUUUCUUUCUUUUUCAUUCUCUUAUGCUUCUCCUUUUGUUUUCCUCCCUUCUCCAUUUCUUUCAACGUAGUUUUUCUAUGUUUUAUUUUUUUGAACAAUUUAAUUUUUUCGAGUGAGGCGAGCUUGUGGACUAGUUACAAAUGGAAAGCAUAGAAAAACUAUGUUAAAAGAAAUGAAGAAUGAGGAAAAUAGAGGGCGAAGCAUAAGAGAAUGGAAAAAAAAAGUUAAAAGAACAUAAAAGAAAAUUUAUAAAUUGUUGAAAAUAAAAAAAUAUAGGGACCAAUUGUAGAAUUUAACCUAAAAUUUUUGUUUGAAAUGAUAAUUUAACGUGCCACAUCAACUUGCCGUUACACCAUUGUCGACAAUUAACGACUCAGUGACUAAAAUGUUACAACACGAUAACGUAAGUGACUAAAACGUAACAUUUCAAACAUAAGUGACUAAAAUGUAACAUAAGGCAAACAAAAGUGACAAUUUUGAUAGUUUACCCAAAAGAUAUUGACUAAAAAUUAAAACAAACCAUGAAAUUUCUUUAAGGUUGAAAGAUUUUAUUUAAUUUUUUUUUGGAAUAAUAUUUUUUUUGGUCUUUUAUUUAUUUUUUAUUAUUUUAAUCUUUAAAUUUACGUUAUUUGUUAAAUUACCCCAAAAUGGAUGGAAAAGUUAACUUUUAUUAAUUUUGCUGAUGUGGCAUACAUAUGGAUUGUCACGCGAAUGCCAAGUUAGCAAUUAAUUAUUUUUUUAAAUUUAAAAAAUAAAAAUUAUUAAAUUAUUUUAAAAAUUAUUAAAUUUUUUAGAAUAUGUAAAAGUAUAAUUAAUUGCUAACGUGACAAUCCACAUGUAUGUCACAUCAGCAAAAUUAACAAAUACUAACUUUUUCAUCUAUUUUAAGUGAUUUGAUAAAUAAUACAAGUUCAAAAGUUAAAAAGAGAUGAAUAAUUAAAUAGAGAGCUAAAAUAUAAAGUCUUUCCACUUUGUCGAUUUAGAAGUGAUUGUAAAAUUUAUAUUAUUUAAAUAGAAAAUAAUCUUCUAGUUAUUAAUUAAAAUAUAAUUUAUUUAAUUUAUUUAAUUAAUUAAAUUAAUUUUUAAUUAAAUAUUUUUCUCAAUCCAAUUUUAAUUUCGUUACAGUAAUGACUAAUUAAUUUUAAUUAAAUAUUUAAUUUUUUUUAUACCGGAUAAGUAAUGACUAAUUAAUUUAAUCUCAAUUUUAAACUUUAAUUAUUUAAUUAUAAUUAAUUAAAUAAUAAUUUUAAAAAUCUUAAAGUAAUUCUGAAGUCAUUUCCAUUCAUUUUUGUUCAUUUCUAUCCAUUUAAUUUUACAUACAAUUUAUUUUUUAUUUCAACGAGCUAACUAUUUAGUAACUAUAAAAUACAAUGUAGAGAUCAAUAUGGAAAUAUAAAUUUUAAAUUUUAAAUAUUUUUUGUUAUAUAAAUUUUUAUUUGAAGUAUGAAACGUUAUUUUCUUAGCAAAGAGACUAGUGUUGGGAACAUAUCCACGCACUAAUUUUUCAUGACUGUUCUAUAAAAAUAGUCACUCAAUUAUUAUCAUAUUUUUAUUUUGGUCACUCGAGUUUAAAAUUUUUUAUUUUAGUCACUAAUGUUAUCAAAAUUUAAUAUUUUGGUCAUUCUUCCAUUAAAUCACUAAUAGUGGUCCUUUUUUAUUGGAAUCAUAAAAAAUUUAACCCUCCAAUAUUUAUAGAUUCCAUCAAUUUAGCCCUAAAUCUAAAAAAUUCAACAUUUAUAUUAAUAUUGAUAGAUUCUAUAAAUAUUAAUAAAUCAUUUUUAAUGAAUUUUAUAUUUUUGAAAUUAUUGUAAUUUUAAUCUAGUUUAGCUAACUCGAGUGUUAAUUUUUGAAACUGAUAAAAUUUCUAAAUGUUACUAUUGAUGAAUAAUUGAUGAAAUUAGUAUUACUUGAUUAGAAUUUUCUACUUAGAUAUGAAAAAGGAUUAAUUAUCAAUUAUCAAUUCCAAAUAAAAAAUUUAUUGAUAUUUUCUAUUAUGAAAACCCAUUCUCAAUGUGUUGCAUCGUUGAACAAGUAAUUUUUACUUCUAUUGUGGCAAAUUCAACGAAGGGAGUUAUCUUCUUAUUUCUACCAUAAAAAGUUUCUCAAUAUAUUUCAUUGGGUGAAAAUUUUGAGUUAGAUAAUUAGAGUGCUUCAAAAUCUCAUGGCAAUCGACAAAUUAUGUGAAUGUGUGUGAAAAUAGGAAGGAUAUUAAUCUUAAGCAAACAAAAGUUUAGAUGACAAUUCCCAUGAUACUCGUUGGAUAAUUCGGUCAUCUUUUUUAUGGAAUGUAAACUUUUCUAAAUGAUAAGGAAAGGAAAGCUUGGGCAAUUCAAUUUAAGUAGUUCACCUCUAAUUCCCCAUCUCCACUACUUUAGUAUACUUCAAUCAAUAAUUUCCCAAAUUACUAUAAGAAUUAAUACCUUUCAAGGAGAAGGUAUAACAUUUACAACAACACUGUCUUUUUCUUAAAGGCUUAGAUAUAACCUUUCCCUCUAGCUUUUAUAGUUGUUAUAUAGUCGUUGGGAAGUCAUGUCUCAAGACAAUUUAUCAAUUGUCUCUAGACACACUGCACAAUAUCUCAAGACAAGCAGCUCUUAUCAAUCGAUACAAGCCAGUAUGAACUUGUAUAAGUUAGUAUUGACUGAAACGAGCUGAAACAUACUGGAAUGGUCGAAACACAUCAAAAUCUUAACCAUAAUGGAAUCUAUACUACUUCAGAUUGGUUGAAGACCAGAAAGAUACAUAUCGAGUGUGUUAAAUGUUGAUGCCCCUUUUAUGUACUGUUUUAUAUUUUUGUUCUUUUAAUAAGAUUUGUUUGGCUUAUAAAAAUUAUUUUUAUUAAAAUAAAAUAACUGAAAACCUUAUGCAAAGACUGAAAAAAGAGAUCAAAAUUUGCUAUGUUUUGAUAUUGGACAUUUAAUAAUUUGUACCUAUAUUCUUAAAAAAAAAUUGUACCAAUACAAUUUCAUAAAAUUAGUACAAAUGAUCAUCAAAAUUCAGCAUAACUUUUUUGAACCUAAAUAUAUUGCUAAUUGAUAUAAUUGGGAACGGUUAUGCAGUUGAUAAUAAUCUUUUUGGACUUCGUUUAAUAUAUGAUUUAUGCAAGUAAUAUUGGCAACUCAAGUUUCGGCAUGUCUUACGAGAACAUAAUACACUGACAGAUUGCAUGAACAAAGAUGUUCUUAGUAAUUUUAAUAGGUUAACAACUUUUGAAGACCCAGCUGGUCAUGCUCAAUCUUUGUUAGAAAAAGAUGUUCAUCGAGCAAUGAUUAAUAUAGAUUCCUAUUAACCUAAUUGUAGCUAAUUCCUUGAACUUGUUUCUUUUUUUAAAAAAAUGCACAAAAUGCAGAAAUAACUAUUAAUAAACUUUAUAGGAAAACAGAGCAUCUGUAUAAAUAUUUAUCAAAGAUAUUGCUAGAAAGCAAAGUUUAUGUUUAUUUUAGUCAAUUUAACAAUGGCCUCUUCAUCGAACGCGUUGCAUAUCCCUUGAUAACUUUACUUUGAUCUUCUUUAACUAUGUAACAACCUCUUUCAUAUGAAGCCUCUCAUUUGGUAACUCUGCAGAACAUUCUAAGCCAACUUGCAAAAUGGAUAAGGCACAAUUCUUGACUUUUAAAUGUUCCCUUCCAAUGGUGCUCAACAACUUGGGAUCUACAACUUGAUUUAGCGAAGAUGAUAUCGACUCUAUCACCCAACUCUUCAAGCUUCUUUCUCCUUCAAACAUUUCAUCUGUGGGCUAUUUUCUUGUGAUAAUUUCCAUCAAAAGAAUACCAAAGCUAUACACAUCACCUUUUGUCGAAACAAUUCCUUCCAUUCCAUAUUCUGUGUAUGAAUAUAAAGACAACAUUAUUAAUAUUCAAAGAUAUCUUGAUAAUGAAAAAUUCGUAUAAAAUAUCCGAAACAUUAUAUGCUUGCAUGUUAUAAUUGAACUGGGAUUUAAUCUAGUUGCUUCCUUAAAAAGUCACAUUUAAUAUGUUUGAAACUCAAAUCUUAACAUAUAUGAUCCCUUUUGCUAUGCACAUGCUACGCUUAUAUUGAAAAUGGAAAAAUAGACAUGGAGUUUGAUUAGAAGGAUCAGUUGGUGCCAUAUAUCCAAAUGUUGCCAUUGUCAUGGUUUGUAUCAUUGAAACCUCUUCACGUAAGAGUUUCGCGAUGCCAAAAUCACUCAAAUGCGCAACCAUAUCUUCAUCUAAUAGAACAUUGUUGGGUUUCAAAUCAUAGUGAACCACGGGUGUUGCAUUACCAUGGUGGAGAUAUUCCAAUGCAGAUGCAACAUCUAUCAUUAUGUUCAACCUUUGUAGGAUAUCCAAAUAUUGGUUGUUGGAAUACAACCAUUUAUCAAGACUCCCACUAGGCAUGAACUCAAGCACCAACGCUUUGAAAUUAAGAUCAUUAGAGCAACUGCUUAUUACUUUGACUAAAUUUCUGUGACGAGUGUUGCGGAGAACAUCACAUUCAACAUCAAAGCUCUUAAAAGCUCCUUCUAACUCUAACUUGAAGACCUUCACCGAAAUUACCGUCCCAUCCUGGAGAGUCCCUUGGAAUACUGAACCAUAACUUCCAUUACCAAGCAACCUACUAUCACUGAAUCCAUCAGUAGCUUGACGAAGCUCGUGGUAUGAAAACCGUCUCCACGUUCCUAAAGGUAUCAUGUCUUCUUGAGUUGGCAAUUUGUCUUUCCUCCUGUAUUGCAAGAUAAUGAUUAUCAGAGCCACAACCAAAAUUGUGGAGGCAAUUGGCAGAGCUACAUAUAUUAUGAGCUUAGUUUUUGCCUUGGAAUUUCUAAGAGAUCUAGUUUUGCAGUUUGGAACAUGAAGUCGAGCUGCACCACACAAGGCUUCAUUCCCCUUAAAUGAUUCGAUUGUGUAGUUUCCAAAUGAUCCUCCAUCAGGAAUUUCUCCUUCAAGUCUAUUAAAAGAGACAUUGAAAUAUUUGAGAUAACGGAGUUUCACUAAGGAUUUGGGAAUCUCUCCAGAUAGAUUAUUUCUUGACAAGUCCAAGAAUUCCAAACUCAACAAUUCAUCAAAAGACUCAGGAAUAGAACCCAUGAUUCUAUUAUUGGAUAAGGAAAAAUGAGUGAGGUCCUUGAGAUCUGCAACUCCAGUUGGGAUAUCACUUGAGAACUGAUUGUUCGACAAAUCCAAACUAGUCAAAACUUUCCAUUUUCCAAUGUCAAUUGGCAGUGGACCACUCAGAGAAUUUGAAGACGAGUAUAGGAUGAGGAGAUAGUUAAGCCUUGUCAACGUUGAAGGUAUUGAAGAGGAAAACAUAUUGGAGUCUAGAAAUAGUUGCCUUUAUGAAUUGACAUCACCUAAGCAAGUAGGUAUUGGCCCAGACAUUUUGUUAUUGGUCAAGAACAAGAAAGCCAAUUUGUUUAGAUGACAUAACUCAGAUGGGAUGGAUCCCUCUAACUUAUUGUCCUUAAGAGAAAGUCAUUGCAACUCUUCCAAUCCUCCAACUGUAGUAGGAAUCUGUCCUAUCAAUUUAUUGCCUCCUAGCUCAAGGUUUAUCAAGUGACUUAAGUUUCCAAUUUCACUGGGGAUGCUACCCCUGAUGUUGCAUGCAGAAGCAGAGAAAUCUUCAAGAGAACUUGAGAGAUUUCCUACCACUCUUGGAAGUUCACCACUAAUAAAUGAGUUGAUGUCGAAAAAAAGGUUCUUCAAGACUCUACAGUUUGUCAAAGGAAAGAGAAAGCUCAUUCCUGAGGAAGUUAAAUUAUUACUCGCCAGGUUGAGAAUAUUUAAAUUUCUUAGAUUGCCCAGAUUAUCCGGAAUGGACCCUGAAAAGUAAUUAUUAGACAUGUCAAGAAGAGUAAGCUGAGAGGCAUUGGAAAUAUACAUUGGGAUCGAGCGGGCAAGGUGAUUGAAAUCAAGAUACAAUUACUCCAUGUUUGGAAGGAAAAGGCCCAUGUUUUAUGGAAGAUGGCCAGAGAGCUGAUUUGUAUCCAAAGAAAUCAUCCUUAGAGUUGAAAUAUUGAACAGUUGUGGAGGAAUAGAACCAGCAAUAUUGUUAAAUGCUAAAUUCAACCAAUUUAGAUUGUUUAGGUUGCCAAUCUCAUGUGGUAUUAUACCUGCCAUAAAUUUUAUCAAACAAAAAUAUUAGACAAAUAUGGAACAUUUGCUUGUAUUUUGUUCUUCUAAGAACAUAAAAAUAACUCAAUUAUGAUUUUAUUAGAGUUUUGUGUGGCCUCAACUGGGAAAGAAUGGACUUAAAAGAAAAGAAAUAUACUAUUUGCAAUGACACGAAAAAAAAUUAUAGCUAUUGUAACAUAAUCAAAAUAUAGAAAGCCGUUGAACAAAAUUAAACCUAUCAUUAAAAGUUGGAAAUAAUUGACCUGUAAAAUUGCCAUGGGAACAAUCAAACAGCCUGAGAAGAGUUAAAUUCACAAUUUGUUUAGGAAUUUCACCUGCAAUUAUAAAAUUCACUUGUCAAAUUCAAAAUUCAUCUCUUAGUAAAGAUUAUAAGAUAAUAAAUGCUUAAUAACUUACUUAGCUUUCCAAUUUUAUAUAAUAAAGUCAUUUUAAUUUUCUAUUUAAUUUUUCGCCUUUAAACUUGUAAUAUUUGUCAAAUAUACCUCCAAAAUGGAUCAAAAAAUCCAUGUGCAUGUCACGUACUUAGUUUCUUGUUUGUUUAUCUUAUUUCUUCUCUAUCAAAGACCAAUAUUUAUUUUUAUUUGGUCCAAUCAAAAUAUAUUUUAUCAUUUCUGUAUUCGCAAGUCAAUAUAGAUGGAUAUUUCAAAACAUAUAUAUGUCUCUCUUAUUCUCGAUUUUCUCAAGCAAUUUGGUGGAAUACUCGAACGUUCGAUUCUUUUUUUUGGUCUUAACUUCAAUCUUUAUGAAUGAAAACAAAAGAAAAGAGUUUCUCAUUAUGAUCUAGGUUUCAUUUCUAUGGGUUAAAAAAAUUAAAAUAGUUAGUUGAAAGACCCAACAAAAAGUUGGUUAUAGAGGAGUUCAAGGAUAGAAAUAACCAAAACUCAUCUCAGCUACUGUACAAAUAGGUGUCGUAACCAUUUUUUUGUAAAAAGGUCGUUGACUUGGAUUUUGAAAAACGAAAACGAACAUGGGAGUCGCCACCAAUCCUUUUUAUUUAAGUGUGAUCGGAUCACCUUAUAAUUUAAUCAUUUUAAUAAAAGUUUUAAAUUUACUAAAACGAUAAUUUUUUUGUCUACAAAAUCCAAGAAAAGGGUUCGGGAGUUGGUUACGCAUGAGGAAGGAUUAGCACCAUCGAUGCACCCCAAAUUGGCAUCUAGUUGAUUAAUUAGUUUCUUAGUGUCGAAGAUUGAAAACUUUAAAGAGAUUUAAAAUUUGAUCCUUUAUUGAAAUGCUAAAAAAAUUUGAGGAAAAGGGCAUACUUUACGUUAAUCGAGAAAAGAGAAUUACGUCCCGUAAGUUAAGACACAAUACCACGUACUUUUGAGAAUAAGCUCCCUUUUGUUUUUUUUUCUCAAAGCAUGUUUAUUUUAGUUUUUAAAAGGAUAUUCGGUUAUUUGGGUUCAACGCGAGAAGAAUCAAGACCCAGUAAGUUAGGAUACGACUUCUCGGAUUUCCAAUUACAGAAUAUUGCCUUUAUUAUUUUUUAGAAAAGAACCUCAUCUUGAGAAAAAUAACAUGUCAUAUCCAAUGCGUUAGGACACAACAUAUCGAAUUCUCGAGAUAAGCUUUAAUUUUGGAAUUUCUACGUUUAAAUUGAAAAAGGGAUAUUCAGUUACUUACAUUCAACAAGGAGAAUUGAAGCCCAGUAAGUUAGGGCACAAUCCCCUCGAGAAUCUUGGAUACCGAGUAGUUGAAAACUUAUGGAUAAAAUGAUUUCAAUAUUUUUCUAAACGGAUGUAACGCGAUUGAAUGGUAACGUAUUACGCAAAAGUAUAAUUUAAAAAUAAAAUACACGUUAACGAAUCAUGAAUAAUAAAUAAACACAAACUAACAUAGCGAUAAUAAUCUCAAUCAUACAUGUCGAAUAUCGAUAUCAAUAUUUGAAAUAAAAACGAGCUAAUUAAUGCAAACACAAGCCAAGUGUAUAAGUUUUGAAAUGACUAGAAAAAUAAAUGGUAUGAAAAGAAUGGAAAUUGUGAAUCAAUAAAGCAUAUACAUAGAAAUUUUAACAUAAGUAUAUACAAAAAAUUUGAAAUAGAUUAAAAUGGAGUUUAAAAUAAAAUAAAAUAAAUAGUAUGCGAAGUAAAUUUUAGAGUAAAGGUUCAAAAUAUUAAUAUAUACAUAUAUUAAAAUUUUAAAAAAAGUAAUACGUAUGGGGUGGAUAUAAUAUGUGGUACUAUACGUAAAAGUUGGAGUUAGUGAAGUAUAUUAAAAUAGGAUUUUUUUUUUAGAACUACAUAUUUAUAGAUAAAAAAUAGAUGUUAGCAAAUAUAUAUACAACUAUAGUAAAGAAAGGACUGAAAAUUAAUAUGUAAUUUGAUAAAAACUAUGUAUCAUAAAAUAAAACCAUUUUAAAGAAAUAAAUCCCAUUGGAUUGAUAUAAUAAUAUGAAAUAAUGAUAAUGAUAUAAAACGUUAAAAAAUAUAAAUACGUAAUAAUAAAAGAGUAAAUAAAUAUAAAUAAGUGUAAUAAUAGUACCAAUAAUAAUAAUAGUAACAGUACUAAUAACAAUAAUAAUAUAAAUAAAAUAAUAUUAAACAGUUAAUUUUACAAGAAAAAAUAAAAAUAGAUAAAAUAGCACUGACAACAGAGAAGGACUAAAUUAAGCUUGAAAAUAAAAGUUUGAGGCAAAUCUAGAAAUAAAUGAAAAAGGGAUCGCGCUGAACACGCGAACAACGGGGAAAGACCAAAAUGGGAAAUAAUCCCAGCCUUCCAGAAUGUUGAGUUUUGCGCGGACCAGAUUGGAACAAAAAAUAAAAUGCGUGGCCAUAUUUAAAGGGAACAAAAGAUCGAUUUGAACUCAAUAUGGAAUACAGGGGACCAUUUGCGUAAAUUUCCCACGCGUUAUAAAACACGCAGAUCCGGGACCGGAUCGGGGCGGGUCGCGUGCUGGUCGUGCAAAACAGAGCCGUUUCAGCACUGAAACUCCCAGGUGAAACGACGUCGUUUCAAUAGCAAUAUAAAAGUUAAAAUUUUCCAAAAUAGACUCAUUUUCUCCUUGUUUCAGAAAAAAACAUUGGGGGUUCUCUCAAGUCCCAUUUCUCCAGCCCUAAACUUCGGCCAAAGUCUGGCCACUAGCCACCGUACCGGUCGUCGAUCGUCGGCAUUAGCGCCGCCGCGCACGGUGGUCGGCGAGGGAAAAAAGUUUUUUUUUUUAAUUUUUCAGCCCCCUAGACUCAAAUCCAACCACAAAACACCCAAAAACGUAAUAAAAAGGGACUAACAACCCUCUCAACGACGAGUUUUGCCACUAAAGAAGGGACCUUCUGACGAUCAAGGCGCGGCGUAACUCCGGUGAGUCCCUUCCCCUUUUUCUUAUUUUCGAACAACAAAAAGAAAGAAAGAAUAAAAAAAAGGAUUGAAAUCGAAAAUAAUCACCUUAAAAAAAACUUUCUAUUUUUGAUUAAUUUUUAUAUAUUUCGAAUCAAUGUGUGCGUAAAAAACUGUUACAACGAGAAUACUUUGGCUUUUAUAGCCAAAUUACAACCGUUUGAUCUUCAUCUUUUUGUUUUUUUUUUUGCUCUUUAUUUUGCUGGAUUCUUCUGUUGCUUUGCAUUGAUUUCUCUCUGCAGGUGUCAGAGGCGUGCGAUGCGCAUGGAGGUGACGGGCGGCGAUGGCAGUGUCAGAGGUGGCAGAGGCUUGCGGCGCACCUAGGGUUUCUGCCUCUCCCUCUUGCUGAAAAUUAGUUUAGGUUUUGGGCCAUUUGGGCUUUAAGGUUUUGAUUUGUUUGGGCUGUAAUUGGGUUUGUAAUUUAGCUGAUAAUUUGGAUUGUUUGGAUUAUUUAUUUUUUUGGUUUUAUUUCUGUUUAUUUUUGGGUUUUGGGCUUGGGGAAAAUUUGAUUAUUACAGAGAUAUUGAAGAUGGUAGAGGGAAUUGAACCUGAAAUCUGGUUUUCAAACAAAUACAAGACCUCUAGCUUUGACAAAUAGGCUAAAGAGAAUGGAAUAACACCUUUGAAGUUGUUUUGGUACAAAAACAACCUUCGAAGUUCAGUUAAUGAUCCCAACCAUGAUGGGAUUUCUCCACUGAAGGUGUUGUUACCAAAGCUUAAAUAUUUCAGCCGUCGCAAAUUGGAUAACUAGACAGGUAAUCUGCCAUAAAAACUAUUGUUUGUGACAUAAAGAAGAGAAAGGAAUGACAAAUUUCCCAAGUGAGGUUGAAGGGUGCCUACGAGUCCCAACUGUUAGAGUUAUUAAUAAAAUAGUCAAAGCUAUUACUAAGUCAGUUAGCAGUUAAGCUAUUACUAAGUCCGUUAGCAGUUAGAAAGUUAGCUGUAAUGUCAGUAAGCUUUAGCUUACGUGCUUGUAUAAAUACAUGUGAGGUCUGCAUGUUUUAAGUGACCUAAUGAAAAUAAUUCUCUUCUUGAUUCUUUCAUUUUCUUAGUUUCUUGUAGUUUUACAUGGUAUCAGAUGUAAGUUUUUCCAGGCAUUUUUUCUUCUUCUUUCGUUAAUCCGCUGUGCAGUCUGCAUAGUCAAUAUGGCCUUCAAUUCUUCUGACGGAGCUAUUGACAGUCGGUUCUUUUCUACAAAGAGGAUUAGUGUUCUUCUUGACGAUAAUACCUAUUUACUGUGGCGUCAGCAGGUUCUCUUGGCUAUAAAAGCGCAUAAACUUCAAAACUUCUUGGACCCUCAACAAGAUCCUCCCACUCAGUUUCUUGCCGAUGGUAGUGGUGGUUUUCAUGAGAAUCCAGAGUUUGCACAUUUUGAGCAACAAGAUAGUGCAUUUGCAUCGUGGUUGUUAUCUUCUAUUAGCCAAACGGUGCUUCCUCAUCUUAUUGGUAUGGAUACCAGUGCCAAGAUUUGGAAUGCAGUUGUUACUUGUUACCUUGUUUGGUAGUAAAACCACCUCUAAACUGAUCUCCUGUCGAAGAGCUUUGCAUUCUCAACGCAAGGGCAACUUGAGCAUGAAGGAGUUCUUGAUGAAUGUUAAAAGUUGCUGUGAUAAUCUCGCUAGUUGCGGUGAAGUCAUCAGCGAGCAUGAGCAUGUUACUGCAAUACUCAAUGGUCUUCUUCCAGAAUAUAAACCUGUCAUCACCAUUGUUACAGCAAGUCAAGUGCCCUACACAGUACAAGGUGUAACUUCCAUGCUUCUCGAUACUGAAGCUCGACAGCAGGUGAUGAGUUGUAAAGUCUCCAGUUCUGCAAACUUGGUGUCUUACCAGUCUUCUGAGUCUUCCGAUACUACUGGUUCAAUACCUGCUUAUCGACAGUCAUCUGCAACUCGGGGACGUCGGUGAGGGCGUUCGUCCAACACGAGGAUUCAAUGUCAGCUAUGUGGGAAAGCUGGUCACCUUGUUGACCGUUGUUACUAUCGGCUCACUUGUCCAUACACGUCAGCUUAAAAUGGACUUGUUGAAUUAAAACACCGACAGGUAGUUGAAACCGGCCUGUCCAUGUUAGCUCAUCCAACCAUGCCUUUGAUGUUCUGGAAUGAAGCCUUUUGCAGUGCCGUGUUUCUGAUUAACAGAUUACCCUCCCAUCCCUUGGGUGAUAUAUCACUAUAUGAAAAAUUGUUUAAAACAAAACCAAAUUACUCUUUCCUUCGAACUUUUGGCUGCUUAUGCUUUCCUAAUCUUAGACCUUUCAAUAAAACAAAGCUACAGUUUAUAUCUAUUCCUUGUGUCUUUCUCGGCUAUUACCCAUUGUACAAAGGUUACAAAUGUAGAGACCCUAUUGGUAGAAUCUAUAUUACUCGUCAUGUCACAUUUAAUGAGGCCAUUUUUUCCUACAAAAUGCAUAGUUCAACAGUCAUCCCAUCUACUGCUGUUCCACAGGUCAAUACAAAACUUCUUGUCCUACAUCCUAGCACUGUAUCUUGUAAUAGCAUCCCACCUAAUGUUAUUUCUACUAAUCCCUCUUCAACACCCACUUCACAGUCCACCUAUCCUAUUUUAGCUCAAACAUCACCUGCUUCACCUACGUUAUCUAGAUCCUCUUCACCUCCACAAUUGCAACCCUCCCAAUCCGCCCCGAUCAACACUCAUUCCAUGAUCACCAGGAGUAAGGUUGGAAUUUUCAAGCCAAAGGCUUAUUUGAGCACGACAUCUUCUUCUCCUAGUGAUGUUUCCUCUAACAUACAUGCAACGAUGGCGUUUGAAUGCUGGCGAAUAGCGGUUCACAGUGAAUUGCAAGCUUUGGUUCGUAAUAAUAUGUGGACUCUUUGUUCUCUCCCUGAAAAUGGACGAGCAGUCGGGUACAAGUGGCUCUUUAAAAUUAAAAGGAAGGCUGAUGGGUCCAUCGACAGGUACAAAGCAAGAUUAGUUGCGAAAGGGUUCUCUCAACAUACAGGGCUUGACUUUCAUGACACAUUUAGUCCACUAGUUCAAGCUUCCACCAUUCGCACUAUUCUUGCGUUAGCUGUUAUGCAGGGGUAGGCAAUGCGUCAAGUUGACAUCAAUAACACCUUUCUUAAUGGUGAGCUUACUGAAGAAAUAUACAUAGAGCAACCCUCUGGUUUUGAAGUCUCAGGUGCCUCUGGUCAGCCACUUGUGUGCAAAUUGAAUACAGCACUCUAUGGCUUGCGACAAGCCCCUCGUGCAUUCGAGUGUCUACAGGGAAUUACCUGCUUCUCAUGGUUUAUUUCGAUGACAUUGUGCUCACUGGUAGUAGUGUUCAAGAUAUAGAUGCUGUGGUACAUCAUCUUCAUAACAAAUUUGCUCUUAAGGAUAUGGGAACUCUCAGUUUUUUUUUGAGAAUUGAUGUCCAACGUACGUCCCAAGGAAUGUUGCUCAAUCAGAAGAAGUAUGUCACUGAGCUUCUUCUCAAAACUGGUAUGAUCGGGGCCAGGGAUUUAAAUUGCGGUCGCGGUCGCGUUUUCGGUCGCAUUGCGUUUAUCGCGGUUGCGGACAUAACGGAUGCUAUUGCGGUCAUUGCAGGUAUCGCGGUCGUGAAUUUUACAUUACUUAUUGUGUAUUGCGGGUAUAGCGGGUUUCGGCAGUAGCGGUUUCGGACGGUGCCGUUACCGCUAUAUAACGGCCGCUAUUUCGGUAACGGACCGCUAUUUAAAUCCCUGAUCGGGGCAGCUUCUACACCGACACCCAUAGUAAGCACUCCCAAGUUAGUUGCUUCAGAUGGCAGUCCUAUUUUUCCAAAUGUUCAUUUGUACCGAAGUACAAUGGGUAUGCUUCAAUAUAUAUGUAUUACACAACCCGAUUUGUUGUUCUGUGUAAACAAGCUUAGCCAGUACAUAAGUUCCCCCAGUGUCACUCAUUGGAAAGCUGUCAAACGUGUUUUAAGGUAUCUGGCUGGCACCAUAGAUCAUGGUUUGUAUUUUGCAGCAGGUCCAUUAGAGCUGGUGUGUUACUCUGAUACUGACUGGGCCUCAUCCAUUGAAGAUCGACGGUCUACGUCGGGAUAUGUGGUAUACUUAGGAUCAAAUCCUGUUACCUGGUGCUCAAAGAAACAGUCGGUGGUAUCCAGGUCGUCUGCUGAAGCAGAGUAUCGUAGCCUAGCCAACUGUGUGUCUGAACUGCUGUGGAUUCAACAGCUGCUAAAUGAAGUUGGAGUACCUCUGUCUAAGUUGCCAAUCGUCUGGUGCGACAAUUCUUCUGCAGUUUCAGUAGCUGAAAAUCCCACGCAUCAUUCUAGGAUGAAGCAUGUGGAAAUAAAUCACCAUUUUGUUCGUGAGAAAGUUCUUGCUGGAAUCCUACAGGUCAAUUUUGUUCCCUUUGAUCAACAGAUUACAGAUGUCCUCACUAAACCAGUUACUCCUAAGCUGUUUUCAUCAUUUCGACAUGCUCUUCGAGUCUUGACGUUAAGUGAACUUAAUGAUAAAAAAUCAAACAUGCUAAGGGAAUGUUAGUUAUUAAUAAAAUAGUCAAAGCUGUUACUAAGUCAGUUAGCAGUUAAGCUGUUACUAAGUCAGUUAGCAGUUAGAAAGUUAGCUACAACGUUAGUCAGCUUUAGCUUACGUGCUUGUAUAAAUACAUGUGAGGUCUGCAUGUUUUAAGUGAUCUAAUGAAAACAAUUCUCUUCUUGAUUCUUUCAUUUUCUUAGUUUCUUGUAGUUUUACACCAACCCAGUAAGGUCUAGAGCUGUGACUCUACGGUGCUUGGAUCCACAACUUACACCAAACCAAUAGCAAACGGGGGAAGAGGCUGACCAAUUAGUUGUUAAGACAUUUUCAGGAUCAUGAUGAAUAACAUGAUCUCUUAGUGUUAGAAGAGUUGAUUGAUCUGUAAGUAUGGUGGUUAAUUUCAUAGAGAAAUUAGUAGGCAUAGAAAAAUGGAAGAUGAUAAGAAGAGCUAAGUUGAGGAAAGUAUUCCCUGCUUAUCGAGCUACCAACGAAGGCAGAACUGAAUGUUGUAAUUUAUUCUUGCAACAUUGCAAAUUCUUUGAAUGUGAUUUAGGUAGAAACUAUAGAAUUUAUUAUAGGAUGUGAUAAUAUGAUUAUGUAAUUAUUGCUUAAAAAACUUCUUUCUAAAUUUCAUAUAGUUGCACUAGUGCUAAGAUUACAACUUUUUUUAUUAAAUUAUUCUAGAUUAGUGAAAUUAUUAGACAACGUGAUAAUUUCUUAUCAGAUAGGAAGUGACAAGUGAGCAGUCACUUCCAAGAAUAUAAACAACUCAAUCACUCUCUUAACUAACGGUAUCAAACACUAAUUGUUGUUUCUAUUGACUAAAAGAAUUUUCAACCAAAAAUAUGUUGACUUAAAAUUAAAAUAAACCAUCAAAUUUCUUAGAACAUUCAAUGAGGUUGAAAGAUUUUAUUUUUAAUUUUUGUUAUUUUGGAAUAAUUUUUUUUCUUUAUAAUUUUACCAAAAAAUAUAUUUUAACUUUUUAUUUUUUUUAGUCAUUAAACUUACAUUGUUUGUCAAAUUAUCCCAAAAUAAAUGGAAAAAAUCAACGUUUGUUAACUUUGCUAAUGUGCCACAUGUGGAUUGUCACGGGAAUGUCAAGUUAGAAAUUAAUUCAUUUUUAAAAAUUUAAAAAUUUAGAAAAUAUUAUUAAUUUAUUUUUAAAAUACUAAAUUUAUUUAAAAAGUAUAAAAGUAUAAAAUUAUAAAAAAAUUUUUAUUUUUAAAAAUUAAUUAAUUGCUAACGUGGUACAUUAACUUUUUCAUUCAUUUUAGAUGAUUUGACAAACAAUACGAGUUUAAAAGUUAAAAGUGAUGGAAAAUUAAAUAAAAGGCUAAAAUGAAUUUUUAAAAAAAUAAAUUUGAAGCGCCAAAAAAUUCAUCAUCCUUUUUUUUUGUCCUAUCAAUACGCUUAACAACAUGCCACCAUAAUUUUGAUUUUCUCUGGUAAGUCUGUAUGCCAUAGGUUUUUUAGGAAAGCUUUGUUUGUAAUUUCAUUAGUAUCAUCAUCUAGACUAGAGGUCUCUUUCAGUAGCCUUCUGUAACCACUCCUCACAAUAUACUCUCUUGUUACCUCCCCAUUCCAUACCCUAUUUUCCUCUCGUGGAUGUCUCGCUAGAGGAAUUUGCAAGAUAGUUUCUACCUCUUCCCCUGUAAACAAAGAGGUAACAAGAUCCUCCUUCCUUUGUCUCAGAUUAGAUUCACUCAGCUCUUCCACCUUAAUUAUAUUGUGAUCUCAAACUAACUCCUGGAUUUUUUUAUCCUUCAACCCAAGGAUCCGAGCAUCCUGCCACUCUCCAAGCCAUUCCAUCCUAUAGUAGUUGCUUCGUCGCCCAUAAGCUCCUCCAAGUAUAAAAAGGAUAAUUACCUAACUUUGGUUGCAUGAACUCGACAUUGGGGAAUAUUUAGCUUUUAAAGUUCUAGCUAAUAACAAAUCAUGAUAAUUCAUUAAACUCCAACCCUAUUUUGCAAAGGCUAAAUUCAACUUGGAUAAAUUUUUAAACCUUAUUCCCCCAUCUUCAUUUAGUUCACACAAUUUAUUCCAAUUGCAUCAAUGAAUCCCCCUCUUUCCUUUUUGUUUCUGCCACCAAAAUCGAUUUAUAACCUGUUCCAUGUCAUGACAUAAAGAAUUCAGUGGUAAAAAACAAAACGUAGCAUAAGUCGGAAUUGAUUGCAGUACACUCUUAAUAAAAAAACUUCCUUCCCUCCCUAGGGAAGUAUUUUAACACACCAAUUAUUUGUUCGUUUUGCAAUCCUAUCUUUCAAGCCCUGAAAGGUCCUUCAUUUUUGCCUCCCCACAACAUUCAAGAGCCCCAAAGACUUCUCUGGAUCCAUCAAACAACGCACCCUUAAUAAUUGAGCUACUGAGUCCUUUGCAUAUGUAGAAUUAUUUGAACUAAAAAAUAGUGUUGAUUUCUCUAAGUUGAUACUUUGCCCUGAAUAUUCUUCAUACUUCUGCAAAAUCCUUCUAAUCUCAUUUGCUCGCUUUUCUGUAUCUUCACCAAACAAAAUAUAGUCAUUCGCAAAAAGCAAAUGAGUAAUCUCAAGACCCUUUCUACAUACCUUGACACCUUUUGUUCUCCCCUCCCCUUUCACCAUCCUCAUCAAUGUCAACAACCCCUCUCCACAAAUCAAGAAUAGAUAAGGACUUAGCGGAUCCCCUUGUCUAAGGUUAUAAUCUCCUUAACUUGGACUAGACGUUAUGACCAUAUUAAAAAGGCUACAUUAGACUCCAAAAUGACUAAACAGACUAUUUGACCUUUGAAAAUCCUUAACACACAACUAGUUUUAAAGAAAAUUGGUAUUGGUGAUCCAAGUUAGAUAAAACAUUUGUUUAUUGGGUUUUCUUACAAAAAAAAACCCUAAUUUUUUUUCUAACUUUAGAAAAGUCAUCACCCUUGAAAUUAAUUAACAUUAAAACAUUCAUUCAAUUAGGCCAUCUUUACUUAGAUUCUAUUUUAUUAUUGUUGUCAUGUUUUAGAAAACUAAUUGUUUUGAUAUUUUGUUUCACAAAAAUCAAAUCUUUAAAAUGUAGUGGAAAACUAUUAUUCAUAUCAUUUUAGAAAUCCAAUUGCCUUAUUGAUUUGUUUUUCAAAGCAGUUAAUUUGUAACACAAUGAAAAAUUGGUGAUCAAUGCCAAUUUUACUUAAGCCAUAUAUCAUGCAAUUAUUAGUUAUUAAACUUCAGUAAUAUAUGCAUGCACAAAAUCUCCCUCCCCUAAAAAAUAAUCAAGCCAUAGACUAGAGGAGUUCAUGGGCCGGGCCGGGCUCAAAAAAAUUUUGACCUGUCCUAAAAUAUGGGCUUAAAAUUUUGAUCCAGGUCCUACCUGAGAAAAAAUUUCUAAGCUCGGCCCAACCCAUUUUUAAUAAACAUCAAAAAAUUAUUUAAAAAAUAAAAAGUAUUUUAAAAUUUCUAAAAAAUAUAUAUAUUUAUUAUAUCGGGCCAAGCCGAGCUCGAGCCUAGGCCAAAAAAGUGGUACCCAAAGCCCAAUCUAUUUUCUAAACCAACUUUUUUUUAUCUAAACUCAUAUUUUAAAUCUAUAUAUUUACCUGAAUUCUCUCAUAUUUCGGGCGAAUCGUCCUGACAUGAGCACCUCUAGCUUUUAAGGACUUGAUUUUCAAUUUUUAACUUUUCCUUUGUUUUUCUUUCGUUCUGUUUAUAUGUCAGGUCUCCAAGAUGCCCUCCUUAUUUGGCUCUAACCCUUCAUCCUCCGAUCCUGCAAACGACACCGUGCCUUCCCCUUCCUCUUCUUGUUCCUCCUCCUCCUCUCCGGACAUGUGGAAUUACUUUUUUAUCCCUAUCCUCCUCCACCUCACCAAAAAACUCUCCCUUGCUAAAGCUCAAACCUCAACUGGACUCCUCCUCCCGAGUCAACGCGGCGACGGCUCGGCCGAUGAUUCACUAAUUUCCUUUUCGAGGUGCGCGAAUGCUGACCCGAAGCUAUAUUAUCGGCCUGUGAUUGGGAUACUGAGUCAUCCAGUAGGCGGCGCGUCGGGGGGCCGUUCCUACAUAGUUGCGUCGUACGUGAAGUUCGUGGAAGCGGCCGGGGGUCGAGUCAUUCCUCUUAUUUAUAAUGAGCCGGAAGAGAUUCUUUUCCAGGUAAUAAUCAUGAUGUUCAUUUCCUUGUAAAAAUGCUGAAUUUUGACUUUGAAUAUUUGCGUGUGUGUGUGUUUUUUAAAAUUCGGUUAAAAAAAAUGGACAGUCGUGAAUCUAUUUUUGGAAAGAAAAAUUCCUGAUUUAGAAUCUUAAAUAACUUUGAUACUGUGAAAUUUGAUACUGUGAAUUUUUAAUAUUUUGUUUCAUAAUAAGUUUUUCCUCUUAAUUAAAUGUAAGAAUAUAAAAAUGCUUGCUAUUCCCGCAUUUCAAAAAAUUCUCUCGUUUUUGUUAAAUCAUAAAAUUAGGAUACUACCAGUUGUUGCAAUCUCCUUACUGUCUAUGCAAAGGAUAGAAUUUUAGCUUAGUUGCAUUUUUGUGGAUAUUCUUUAGUACCUUAAUAUUUGAAAUGAUAUUUUGAUUGCAUAUGCAUAUGCAUAUGCAUAUGCCUUUCAUUCCCUUGCUUUUGAUUUGCUACGAUUAGACAGUGGUAUGAUGCUAUGAUACCCGCUUUAGCAUAGUUGUUGCCUUCCUUUGCCAAAAGCCUGUCACCUUGCUAAGUGUCUUCUCCACCUUCGUAUUGCAGAAGCUUGAAUUGGUUAAUGGCGUGCUUUUACCAGGAGGGCGGUCUAAAUCCGGCUUGUACUAUGAUAUUGCUGAAAAGAUUUUCAAGGUAAUUUAUAUUUAUAUUUGUUUGUUUCUUGAUUUUAUGAAAUUCACAUGAAACUAACAAAAAAAUAUAGGCAAGAGAUUGGUGUUAGCAUGCAAGUCUUUUGUUUCUUCAACUUAUGCUUCAAAUGUUUUUAUAUUUCCAAUUUUCCAUGGGUUGCAUAGAAAACUUUUAUUCUUUGUGUUUUUGCAGAAAGUUAUAGAGAAGAACGAUAGGGGAGAUCAUUUCCCGUUAUAUGCCAUUUGUUUGGGUUUUGAACUUUUAACAAUGAUUAUCAGCGAAGUAAGCACCUCACAUUAUCUGACAUUUUUUUUCUGUUUCCUUUUUAAAAAAAAAAGAAAAAAGAAAAACAAUUUAAUUUUCUUCAGGCUUUUAUCUGUUUAUAUGGCUUUUUUAUAUGGCUUUUCUUGAUGUAGUUAACUUUUGUUCACUAUUGUGGACUUUCUCUACUAAUAUUCAUUCAUGCGUCAUGGCAGAAUGACCAAAUGAGACGUUUUUAAAUUUCUUGAUUUAAGGAACUCUAUAAUUUCCAUUUGUGAGAGAUUACUGUUGGCCUAACAUGGCUAAAUAAUGGCAAUUCCUGCAUGUUCACCGUAUUGUGGAAACUGCAGUAUUUGAUCCGUUAGGAUGGCAUGGUUACCUUGUUUGUGGCAUCCAAACCAAUGGUUGACCUUGCUGGAAAACAUUUUCUAAUGGAUUUGAAAUCUCAAAAUCUUAUCUACUGGUUCUUUAGAAAUCACUUCAUUUCAAGUUAGCUUAAACCUACCCAUGUCUACUGUAUCCAAUAACUUAUUUUACUUAAGGAUUUUCUUUGUUGAAUUAUAAAAAAUUUGACAAAAUCUUAUUUUAAUGAAUACAUACUUUUUUUCUUCUUGCUGAUAGUGUUAACAUUAAUGGGAGACAACAUUAAUGGCAAACAAUACAAAGUGGUGCAAGUUUAGCACCCUAAAGUUGACUUUGAAAAAGUGGCAUGGGAUAAUUUUUUUUGGUCCUUGAGAUAAUGGGCUAUUUAUUGUUUGGUCCUUAAACCUCAACUAUAAAUAAGCCUUUUCAUUUCUUAUUUCAAUUCAUCCCAACCAAUCUUUCUCUCUUAGUUUUCUCUCUUCUCCCAUUUGAGAAUUCUUAAGGAAUUCUAUUUGUUUGUAAUACUUUGAAGAUAGUAAAGUUAUCAUCUGGUGUUAGUGCCCGAGGACGUAGGUAUAAUUUACCGAACCUCGUUAAAACUCUUGUGUUCUUUCUUGUCCUAUUUUUCUUUCAAUAUUUGAGGGUAUAAUAGUAGUAUUUAAUUGUGCUAUUAAAUUACUAUAGAAGGGAUAUUCUGUCUAAGGAAAGACUUGGUAUUUAAGAGAUCCAUGUGAUCCACCUCUCUUUCCUGGGAAUUGAACUUUGUGUGAUUUUUUAGUACAAUAAUUUACACGUUUUCGACCCUAUUGGAACAACAAGUGGUAUCAAGAGCCGAAGGUUAAUCGUAGUAUGCUCUGUGGUUGCAGUUUAAACUGAUCUUCCACAUCAGAAAAGAUUUCCUUAGGUAUAUUGAAAGAUUAUGGAGAAAACGGUCGGUGUAGGAGCUUCAACAUCGUCCAUGUGGACAAGACCGACAAUUGCAAAUGCAAGAUUGGCCGUGGAGAUCUUUGAUGGCACGGGCCAUUUUGGUAUGUGGCAAAGUGAGGUUCUAGAUGCCCUUUUUCAGCAGGGUCUAGACAUUGCCAUUGAUGAAGAGAAACCAGAUGAUGUACAGGAGAAAGAUUGGAAGGCGAUCAAUCGGUUGGCAUGUGGCACAAUUCGAUCAUGCCUUUCUCGAGAGCAGAGGUAUGCUUUUUCAAAGGAGACUUCUGCAAAUAAGUUGUGGGUGGCACUUGAAGAAAAAUUUUUGAAGAAAAACAGUCAAAAUAAGCUCCACUUGAAGAAAAGACUGUUUCGCUUCACAUACGUCCCAAGUACCACAAUGAAUGAUCACAUCACCAAAUUCAAUCAGUUAGUCACUGAUUUGCUGAAUAUGGAUGAGACAUUCAAAGAUGAAGAUUUGGCUUUGAUGCUGUUGGGGUCACUUCCUGAGGAGUUUGAGUUCCUAGAAACUACUCUACUUCAUGGCAGGAGUGAUAUAUCUCUGAGCGAAGUCUGUGCGGCCUUAUACAGUUGUGAACAGAGAAAGAAGGACAAACAGAAAAACUCAAUCAGAGAUACAGAAGCUUUAGUAGUCCGAGGUCGUUCAUACACUCGGAAGAAAACUCAAAAGGGGAGAUCAAAGUCAAAGUCCAGACUCGGGAAAGAUGAAUGUGCUUUUUGUCAUGAGAAAGGCCACUGGAAGAAAAAUUGUCCAAAGCUGAAGAAUAAGGGAAAAGCUGCUGUAGAUGCUUGUGUUGCUAAGCAUGAUACUAGUGACUCUGAACUAUCACUGGUUGCAUCAUCAUCGUCGUUCCAUUCAGAUGAGUUGAUAUUGGAUUCGGGUUGUACCUAUCAUAUGUCCCCUAACCGGGAGUGGUUCUCUGAUUUAGUAGAACUAAAUGGAGGAGUUGUUUAUAUGGGCAAUGACAAUGCUUGUAAAACUGUUGGAAUAGGUUCAAUCCAAUUAAAGAAUCAAGAUGGAUCAACCAGAGUUCUGACUGAUGUUCGGUACGUGCCCAGUUUGAAGAAAAAUCUCAUCUCAUUGGGAGCAUUGAAAUCCAAUGGUUCAGUUGUUACUAUGAGAGAUGAGAUUUUGAAAGUGACAUCUGGCGCACUUGUGAUAUUGAAGGGCAUCAGGAAAAAUAACUUGUAUUACUACCAAGGUAGUACAGUUAUUAGAGCAGUCGCUACAGCUUCCGGUAACAAAGAAUUGGACUCAAUGCAGUUGUGGCAUAUGAAGUUGGGACAUGCCAGCGAAAAAUCCUUGCAAAUUCUGGCAAAGCAAGGAUUGUUGAAAGGUGCAAAGGCUUGCAAAUUAAAAUUUUGCGAGCAUUGUGUUCUGGGAAAGCAAAAGAGAGUGAAAUUCGGUACUGCUAUCCAUAAUACAAAAGGUAUUUUGGAAUAUGUUCACUCAGAUGUGUGGGGGCCUUCCAAGACACCUUCCUUGGGAGGAAAACACUACUUUGUUACUUUUGUUGAUGACUUUUUCAGAAGAGUUUGGGUGUAUACCAUGAGAACUAAGGAUGAAGUGUUUAGAGUUUUUCUUAAAUGGAAAACUAUGAUCGAAAACCAGACUAGCAAGAAAAUCAAGCGGCUUAGGACGGACAAUGGAGGGGAAUAUAAAAGUGAUCCGUUCUUCAAUGUGUGCCAAGAGUAUGGUAUUGUUCGACACUUCACAGUUAGGGAUACACCACAGCAGAAUGGAUUGGCAGAGCGUAUGAAUCGAACAUUGCUGGAGAAAGUUCAAUGUAUGUUGUCCAAUGCUGGAUUGGGCAAGCAAUUUUGGGCUGAGGCUGUGACAUACGCUGGCCAUCUUGUUAAUCGUUUGCCAUCAUCUGCAUUAGAAAGAAAAACUCCUAUGGAGGUAUGGUCUGGAAAACCGGCUACAGAUUAUGAUUCCUUACAUGUGUUUGGAACCACUGCAUAUUACCAUGUGAAGGAGUCAAAGUUAGAUCCGAGGGCAAAGAAAGCUCUCUUUAUGGGAAUCACUUUUGGAGUGAAGGGAUUUCGUCUUUGGUGCUUAAGCACAAAGAAAAUGAUCUGUAGCAGAGAUGUUACCUUUGAUGAAUCUGCCACAUUGAAAAAGGUAGCAGAUAAAGAUAUUCAGACGAGCAAUACUCCACAGCAGGUGGAGUGUACUCCAAAACAGGUGGAGUUUGAGCAGAUGGGGAUUUGCCCAGUUAAUAAGUCUAAUUCUCCAGCCACAAUGGAGGAAUUAGAGGUUGAAGAGGUUCUGACCCAAGAACCACUAAGUACACCAGAACCAGUUGCAGUUGUAAGGCCACGGAGAGAAAUUCGUAAACCUGCUCGAUUUACUGAUAUGGUGGCCUACGCCCUUCCCGUUGUUGAUGAUAUUCCUAUCACUUAUCAAGAAGCAAUGCAAAGCUUAGAAAGUGAUAAAUGGAAAAGCGCCAUGGAUGAUGAAAUGCAGUAUCUCCGGAAGAACAAUACUUGGGAGUUGGCGUAAUUACCGAAAGGUAAAAGGGCAAUCGGAUGCAAGUGGGUAUUCGCAAAGAAAGAUGGAUCUCCUAGCAAGAAGGAUAUUCGCUAUAAGGCAAGAUUGGUAGCUAAAGGCUACGCUCAGAAGGAGGGAAUUGACUACAAUGAUAUAUUUUCCCCUGUUGUGAAGCAUUCCUCCAUUAGAAUUUUGUUGGCUUUGGUAGCACAGUUGAAUUUGGAGCUAGCUCAACUUGAUGUUAAGACGGCUUUCUUGCAUGGUGAGUUAGAAGAGGAGAUCUAUAUGACUCAGCCCGAAGGAUACACAGAUGCUGGUGGUAGAAAUUGGGUUUGUAAGCUGAACAAAUCGCUAUAUGGAUUGAAGCAAUCCCCGAGGCAGUGGUACAAGCGAUUUGAUAGCUUUAUGAGAAGGCAGAAGUACACAAGAAGCAAAUAUGACAAUUGUGUAUAUUUGCAGAAGCUGCAUGACGAAUCUUUCAUUUAUCUACUCUUGUAUGUUGAUGAUAUGUUAAUCGCUUCGAAGAGCCAAAAUGAGAUAGAUAAGCUGAAGGCUCAGUUGAAUCAAGAGUUCGAGAUGAAAGAUCUAGGUGAGGCCAAGAAGAUUCUCGGCAUGGAGAUAAGUAGAGAUAGACCGAGAGGCAAGCUCUGUUUAAAUCAGAAGCAAUAUCUGAAAAAGGUAUUACAAUGUUUUGGUGUAAAUGAAAACACAAAACAUGUAAGUACCCCACUUGCUUCUCAUUUGAAACUUAGUGCUCAAUUAUCUUCGAAGACUGAAGAUGAAAGAGAAUAUAUGGCGAAAGUCCCAUAUGCUAAUGCAGUUGGGAGUUUGAUGUAUGCGAUGGUGUGUACGAGGCCUGAUAUUUCACAAGCUGUUGGAGUUGUGAGCAGGUAUAUGCAUGAUCCUGGAAAAGGACAUUGGCAAGCAGUGAAAUGGAUUCUACAGUAUCUUCGAAAAACCGUAGAUGUUGGUUUAAUUUUUGAACAGGAUGAAGCACUUGGUCAGUUUGUAGUUGGAUAUGUUGAUUCCGACUUUGCUGGUGAUUUAGAUAAACGUCGUUCAACUACGGGGUAUCUGUUUACUCUUGCGAAAGCCUCAGUGAGUUGGAAGUCUACCUUACAGUCUACAGUAGUUGUGUCUACUACAGAGGCAGAAUAUAUGGCAGUUACAGAAGCUGUUAAGGAGGCUAUUUGGCUUAAUGGAUUGUUGAAAGACUUAGGAGUUGUUCAAAGUCACAUAAGUUUAUAUUGUGACAGUCAGAGCGCUAUUCAUUUAGCGAAAAAUCAAGUCUAUCAUUCAAAAACCAAGCAUAUCGACGUAAGAUAUCACUUUGUGCGGGAAGUCUUUGAAAAAGGAAAAAUUCUACUUCAGAAGAUUCCGACAGCAGAUAAUCUCGCAGAUAUGAUGACCAAGGUGGUAACAACAAUCAAGUUUAAUCAUUGUUUGAACUUGAUUAACAUCCUAAGAAUUUGAGCACCUUCAGGUGUAUGGCGCUCGAGAGUGCAUUUGUAGGCACUACAAAAGAUAGCUUUAUCGAAUUUGGGGAGUUGAAGGAAGUGUGUGAAGAUGUGAUUAUCCUAAUCAAAUCUUCAAGGUGGAGAUUGUUAACAUUAAUGGGAGACAAUAUUAAUGGCAAACAAUACAAAGUGGUGCAAGUUUAGCACCCUAAAGUUGACUUUGAAAAAGUGGCAUGAGAUAAUUUUUUUGGUCCUUGAGAUAAUGGGCUAUUUAUUGUUUGGUCCUUUAACCUCAACUAUAAAUAGGCCUUCUCAUUUCUCAUUUCAAUUCAUCCCAACCAAUCUUUCUCUCUUAGUUUUCUCUCUUCUCCCAUUUGAGAAUUCUUAAGGAAUUCUAUUUGUUUGUAAUACUUUGAAGAUAGUAAAGUUAUCAUCUAGUGUUAGUGCCCGAGGACGUAGGUAUAAUUUACCGAACCUCGUUAAAACUCUUGUGUUCUUUCUUGUCCUAUUUUUCUUUCAAUAUUUGAGGGUAUAAUAGUAGUAUUUAAUUGUGCUAUUAAAUUACUAUAGAAGAGAUAUUCUGUCUAAGGAAAGACUUGGUAUUUAAGAGAUCCAUGUGAUCCACCUCUCUUUCCUGGGAAUUGAACUUUGUGUGAUUUUUUAGUACAAUAAUUUACACGCUUCCGACCCUAUUGGAACAACAGAUAGGACAAAAAAAUUCUUGAACGAUUUUCUGCAUUAAAUCGGGCCUCUAGUCUCCAAUUUGUGGAAAAUGUUAAUAUUGAAGGAACAGUAUUUCAAAGGUGCAAAACCUUUAUUACCUUUCAUGGUACAUUAGUAUUGUUUGAUUUUGGUGCCAUUUUUCUAUUGAUGCUUUUGCUCAGAUUUUACAUUAUUAUCCUUGGAGGAUUAAGUAUUUUAUAUUUCAAAUAUGUUUUGCUGGUCAGGCAUUAGAUGAUUUAUAGGAAAGUUCACAACAGUUAACGUGUUGAAGUAACGAAAGCCUCUCUGUAUGCGCUGCUAAUAAGGGAAAGAGUCUUGUAAUACAUAUGCAGUUUAUGUUCUGUCAGACUGAUCUCUCCAUUUCACUAUUUGAAUAAGAACUUUGUUGCAUGAGGAUAGAGAAAAGGAAGUCAACUAGUUGCUUGAGAUUUCCUGAAGUUGUUCUUCAGGUUAAAUGAUGACCAUAGCAUAAUAUUUGGUGUGAAACUUUGGUACUAUGGGCUUACCACUUUUCUUGUUAGCUUUUGCUUGCACCAUAGGCACAUGGCAAUGAAUUGGUAUGGUAACCAGACUUCACAUGAAGCUUUUAGUGUAGACCAUAAACAAGUUUAACACUUAAAUAGGAAGAGAAUAGAUGUGUGCUUGUUUAGCUUCCUGAUUAGUGUCAUUGAAUUUGUUCUUAGUUGAUUGAGGAGAGUGUAAUAAACCCUUCUCUGAACUUCAGAGUUACACCUUUGAUAAAUAGCAAUAGCUGAGCACAGCAAUAAACAUUAAUUGCCUGUUUGCUUUAUCAUCAAAAGGCUUUAUGAAUGUUGUAGGUAUAUCCAUUUAUAAUAUCUAACCUUUCAAUCAGUAGUAAAAAUGAGGUGAUUUUAAGCUGAUAAUUUGUAGUUUGGUCCAAGUUAGUAGCAGAACAAUAUUGUCAUAAACUUUCUACUUAGCCCAACCUGGUUGACAUCUUUUAUUCGAGAGCUUUUCUUAUAGUCAGUGUAAUUAUAUGUUCAUUGCUCCAGUCAGUGCCACACUUCUACAGCUUGAUAGUUAUUCUCUUUUGCCAGAUUUCCUCCAAAUUUGCUGCAAAAGCUUGGCACAGAUCGCCUAGUCAUGCAAAACCAUUGUGUGAGUUUCAUGGCUCCUUUCAUUUAUAUUUUAAAUUAGUUGCACGUGUAAGUGUUUGUCUUUUGCUUCUCUAGUAUGUCCGCUUUGGAUCAUUCCUAAAACCUUGAACUGAUAAUGAAGGAUCUAAAUUCUGAUUUAUUCAAUGUUUUCAUUUUUUUUUCAAUUUUUGUUGCCACUGGUUGCCUGUUUCCUCUAUUUGGCACUUUUAACAGCUUCCUACUUGUUAGCUUGUGCAGAUUAUUAUUUGAGAGAUGAAAUGUAUUUUAAUGCACAGUAAAUUGUUCAUGCGUUCUGUUCUCCUAAUAUGUAAUUUGAUUUCCUUGAACCUCAUUCUUGGUCUCUAAAAGCCUAACUUAGAAGAAAACUCAACAGGCAAGAUGUCGUGCUAAGAGUAGAGACCUGUCAAAGAAGAAAAAUGCUAAUAUUUCUUCAGAGUUAAGGAUAAUAUAUCCCUAUUCAAAAGUUAUCUUUCUUUCAUGUGCGUAUUAAGAGAAUCCUUGCCGCCCUCCUUUGUGGCACAUUGUCUGUGUUAUGUUUCUAUGUACAAGCUAAUUAGCAUUGCCUAAAAUCAAUGUCUAAUUGUAACAGUGGGGCAUUUCACCAGAGAAGCUUCAAAAUACUCCAAAUCUGUCCAGAUUCUUCAAGAUCUUAACAACAAGCACAGAUAAAAAUAACAAGGUUCUGAAUCUUACAAUCCCUAUGCCAUAGGAAGUGUCUUAACUUGAUUUAUCUCAUUACAUUUUAUGGCUGCUGUAAAUGUCCUUAUUUCUAUUUAAGUGUUAAUAACAGGUAUAUGUCUCCACUGCACAAGCACAUCGCUAUCCUGUCACUGCCUUCCAGUGGCAUCCAGAGGUACCUCUUUUAGUGCUUUCUGAUCAUCGUCAUGUUUAUGCCUCAGUACAGUUUGGCAUGGCAAUUUUAAUUUUUCUUGUUAAAUAAUAAUCAUAUCAAUGACCACUACAAGGAAUUGGUGUCCUUUUUUUCCCUAUUAACUUCUUUGUGUAUCUCUGCUUCUGUUUCUCUUACUCCUUUUAAUUUUGUUUGCAAAACUGUAGUGUUAUUCUAUGAUCCACUAAUACACUCCAUUUCAUUAUGAAUAGUCUGACCAUAUAUUUUGCAGAAAAAUGCUUUUGAAUCGGGCUUGUCUAUGAUUCCACACUCAGACGACGCCAUUGAAGUGACACAACAUGUUGCAAACUUUUUCAUCAGGUUAGGAAUGUUAAGUAAGGAAGUUAUUAAUAGUUCUCUAUAUUCUUACAAUUUAGUCAACGACAAACUGAGCGAAUGUUAUAUUCGAGUGAGACACAAUCUUGCUCUUCAGCAUAUUAUUUGGGUUUUGGGCAGCUGUUCCUAUGUGGAUAUGCUUUGCUUCGUCCUAGAGCAUAUGUAAGGAAGAAAUGUUUAAAGGAACUUAGAUAAAUUUUAGGAUAUAAACAAUAUAAGAAUAUAAAUAGUUUAGCAUGAAAGGAGAAGGAAAGGAAAUAGGCAAAAUUCAUUUUCAGCAUGCUAUACUACAAGUAGUUUUUCUGGCUGAGAAUGAAAUGCCCGUGGUUUUAUGAAUAUAAGAAAGAGGAAAGGAAAGAAAAUGCGUAUUUCUAAUUAUGUGACAGACUAGAGGUGAGGUAUUUGUGUUCGCGGCAUAAGAAUUUGAGUUCAAACCCUAACAUUGUUUCGCCCUACCAAAUUAUAAAAAAUAAAUACCAUCUCUUUCCUUCGUCUGUUUGGAAGAUGAGGUAAUUGAACUUUUCUUUUUUCUGGUACAGAGAGGCUAGGAGAUCACUGAAUAGGCCAGCUGCUCAAAAAGUGCGUGACAGCCUUAUUUAUAAUUACAGGCCCAAGUAUUAUGGGAAAGCUGGGUAAGCUGAUAUCAAUCCUUUUGAGUUUUGACACUAUUAGGACACCAUCCUCUUGAAUGUAAGCUGAUUGACAUGGUUGUGAAUUUGAAUGCUGUAGGAAGGGUUUCGAUCAGGUCUACAUCUUUACACAACGUCAAGCUCGAAAUUGAUAGAGUUGCGGCCGUGUACAUAGUUAAAGAUGUAUGUGGUUGGAUGUAUGUAUAUUGUUGACGCUGUAUUUGCAUUGUGAUUUGUAUCUGAUUGCUCUCUUAAUUUAUAUAAGCUACGGACUGGAUGCUUGCCAAUGAGGUGUAUGAGUAGUUAUUGUUGAUGAACAAAGUUUGCAAUGCUUAUUCUUAUUAGCUCAAAUUCUAAAAAUGAUAAUGAUUAAAGUAUAAUCUGUUACUUGUGUUAUAAAUAAGCUUGAAUACUUUACCAUAGAAAUAGGGUUUAAGCUUAAAAAUACAUUCUUUUUGUGUGAGAUAAAUAUAAAAAGAACUGGAUUUGUAUUUGAUGCGGUUUAUGACAUGCUAUUGAAAAUAAGUGUAAAUUACAUAAAUGUCAAUCGACUAUUAUAAUUUUUGUUAGAUUAUUCGAAUUUAAAAAGUUUCAAAAUAAUCAUUUAAUUUAUUAAAUUUAUUAUAUCCAAAACUGUUAUAAAUUAGUAACAGUCGAAUGGUGUGUUGUUAACUUAAUGAUAUGUUUUUUUAACCCAUUAACUUUUUUUCACAUUAUUUCCAUGUCAUAUUAUAAUUUAAAAAAAAAACUAAUUUAAACUCCAAAAUUCCAAUAUGACAUGGAAAUGUGGAAUAAAAUUAAUGAUUAAAAAGACAUAUCGUUAACAGCCACGUCAGCAGAUUAUUAGUAAUUUAACAGUUUUGAACUUAAAAAAAAUGAUUUUGAUAGUCUGAUAAUCAUUUUAUAAUUUUUAAAAAUCAAAUAAUUUAAAUAUAUAUAUAAUAAUCGGAUAGCCAUUUAUUAUGUAGUUUGCCAAAGUAUUUUAUCAAUUGGAAGAUGAAGCAGUAAACCAAUAAAUAUGUUGAAUAGUCUCCAAUUAAACCAUUUAAGAUAUAAAUCCCAAUAAGUUCAAUUAAUGGCUCUAAUCAACUUUACAAGAAAUAGUUCUUGACAAUUUGAAGGGUGAAUAAUGAAUUUUCAGAACUCUUUAAAGAAAAUCGAGAAGAAAACUACUUUUAAGAAUCAGAAGAAAAAAAUCUUACACAAAAAAACUAACUCUAAACACCUAAAGUACAUCUAAAUAAAACUCUAAUUAAUCUAAAUAGGGGUGAAGCCAUAAAUUUUUUAGGGAGCCAAAAUUAAAUUGUAAUUUCUACAAUAGUAAAAAUGUAAUUUCACCAUUUUAAUAACUUAUAUCUUUAUAAUUUUUAAAGGGUUAAAUCAAAUUUUUAUUAUUUUUAGGGGUCAUAAAGUGUAAUUUUACAUUUAUUAAUUUAAAUUUUUUAAAAUUUUAAAGGGUCUAAAUGAUUUUUUUUUUCAUUUUAAGGGAGUCAAUGCCUUGUCAUCUCCUAGCUAGCGUUUGAAUCUAAAUAAAAAAUAGUUUUAAACUAAAUUUUCUUAUUUAACUCAAAAUACUUGGCCUGCAAUAAUUUUUCUUGACAAAAAGAUCCUCCAAAUAUUAUUUAUAAAUUUGUAUUUGAUACGUUGAUAGUGUUUUUUUUAUUCUAUAAAUAGUUUUAAAAUUUUAUCAUAUAUCUAUUUUAAAAAAAAUUUAUUUAGUUUUAAUAUUUUAUUGUACACCUAUGAUAACACUUGUCAACCCUUAAUCCUAUUUAUAAAAUCUAAAAAUUUAGUAACAAUUAACCAAAUAUUUCUCAUUAUUUAUUAAACUUAAUUAAAUAAUAGGUUAUCUAGUAUUUUUGAGUUAGCUAUCUAUUUUCUUAACCAAAUAUUUAAAUUACCAUUAUGGACCUAUGUAGUUUUUUUUUAUAUAGGUAGACAACACCAUAAAGUAAUUACAUUCUUAAAGUACUAUUAACAUAGAGAAAUGAUAUUACGCUCAGCUAUUAGUAUAUUUCUCACUGGAAUCUCUCAAAAUAAUUGUACAUUACCUAAUCCAUGUGAAGCUAUCUUGGUUAUAUGAUCAGCAAUUUUAUUUUUAGAAUCUCUCAAUUUGCUAUUAGCCAUUCCACCAAUUAAAAUUAAUUCUACUAGAAGCGCAUUGUCGCAUUUAGUAUUUUUAAUUAUAAAAAAUAAAUUUAAUGUUAAAUAAAAAUUACUAUUUAAUAUUAUAUUUCCUCUCUCCUCAUAUACAUGUUCUUCCUUUCCGAUUCCGUCAUUUUCAUCCCUUUUCUCAUUCAUCUUCAUUCAUGCAGGUUGAAAGGUUUUUUCUUUUUCUCGUUAAGCCAAUGACAUGAAAUUUGGGUUUUUAUAUUGAUGGAGGAGAACCGUUUCUGGGUUGAAAACUAUAAAUUUUGGACUUCUAAACUUGAAAAACCUAUGGCUACGCUUUGAUAGCACCAUUUGUGGAUGAGGUGUUGAAGCAAAAAUCCUUUAUUAAAAAAAGUUUGGGACUUUGAUUUUUUUUUCAAAAGAGUUCUUUUUAUUUUCUUUAAUUGUAAAAAAACAAAGAAACUGUGUUGGGGCAAGAAAAAGAAAAGCUGGAGAAGAUUGAAAGGGUCUUUGUUUAUAUGCAGAAUAUUCAAAGAAAUAAUUUGAAUCAUUUCCCAUCCAAUUUUAUAAAAAUAAUUAUUUUAACCUUCUAUUUAUUAUUUUAAUCACUUUUUAAUUUUUAAAUUUAUAAUAUUUAUCAAAUUAUUCUAAAAUAAAUAAAAAAUUUAACAUCGGUUACUUUUGCUAAAAUGGUAUACGCGCCACUUAAAUAUCACAUCAUCAAUUAAUUUUUUUUUAAAAUUUAAGUUUCAAAAUUUAUUAAAAGUGUUUUAAAAUAUUAAAAAUAAAAAAUAUUUUUUAAUAUUAAAAAAUUAAUUAAUUACUAAUGUGACAAUUAUAAAUGCACACGUUGAUUACCAUAUCAACAAUGUUACAAAAGCUCAAUGGAGGGCUAAAAUGCAAGUCUAGUGUUACUAAUCUCACAUUGCUAAUAUAUAUAAAGUACAAAGAAUUUGAAUAGACAAUUCAUUAUAACUUGAGUAAUUGAGUUGGGUGCAAUUAGAUAGUUAACUUAUUGAGUUUUACGUAUAUUUGUUAUAAUGACAACUGGGCUUAAAUUUGGUGGUGUAAAUAAUUUUUAUAUAUAAUAAUUAUUUUUAUUUUUUAAAAUAAUAAAUUUUUAUUCGCAUUUGAACGAAUUUAUUCAAAUAAUCUAUGUUAAAAUUUACAGUAUCAAAUUUUACCUAACAAAAGGAAAAGAUUAUUUAUGACCAUAUAAGUUAUUUAAGAUUCUAAAUCAGGAAUUUUUCUUUCCAAAAAUAGAUUCACGACUGUCUAUUUUUUUUAACCGAAUUUUAAAACACACACACACCCAAGUAUUUUUAAUUAAAUAUAUAUAUUUAAUAUUAUAUUUCCUCUCUCCUCAUAUUCAUAUUCUUCCUUUCCUAUUCCUUCAUUUUCAUCCCUUUUCUCAUUCAUCUUCAUUCAUGCAGGUUGAAGGUUUUCUUUUUCUCAUUAAGCAAAUGACAUGAAAUUUGGGUUUUUGUUUUGAUGGAGGAGAACCGUUUCUGGGUUGAAAACUGUGAAUUUUUGGACUUCUAAACUUGAAAAACCUAUGGCUACGCUUUGACAGCACCAUUUGCAGGAGGAGGUGUUGAAGCAAAAAUCUUUUAUAAAAAAAUGAUAGGGACUUUGAUGUUUUUCAAAAGAGUUGUUUUUUAAAAUUGUAAAAAAAACAAAGAAAACUGUGUUGGGGAAAGAAAAAAAAAAGCUGAAGAAGAUUGAAAGGUUGUUUGCUUAUAAGCACAUUGUUAAAAAAAAAAUGUUUGAAUUAUCUCCUCAUAAAAAUUAUUUUUACUUGUACGAGUUCAUAAAAUUAGUACAAAUUAUCAUCAAAAUUCAGGCUAACUUAUCAGAACUUUGUUUCAUACAUGCUCAAUCUUUUGAAUACUCAAUUGAUUAUGUUUGAUUUUUGUUUGAAGAAAAUAUUCAUCGAGUAAUGAUUAAUAUAGAUACCCAUUAACUUUAUUAUAACUAAAUCUUCUUUUAAAAAAAUAUUCACAAAAUGCAAAAAUAACUAUUAAUAAACUUUAUUGGAAAAUUAAGCAUGUGUAUAAAUAUUUAUCAAAGACAUUGCUAGAAAGCAAACCUCAUGUUUAUUUUAGUCAAUUCAACAACUGCCUCUUCAUCGAACUCGUUCCAUAUCCCUUAAUAACGUCACUUUGAUCUUCUUUAACUUUGUAACAAUCUCUUUCAUAUGAAGCCUCUCAUUUGGUAACUCUACACAACAUUCUAAGCCAACUUGCAAAAUGGAUAAGGCACAAUUCUUGACUUUUAAAUCUUCCCUUCCAAUGGUGCUCAACAACUUGGGAUCUACAACUUGAUUUCGCGAAGAUGAUAUCGACUCUAUCACCCAACUCUUCAAGCUUCUUUCUCCUGCAAACAUUUCAUCUGUGGGCUUUUUUCUUGUGAUGAUUUCCAUCAAAAGAAUACCAAAACUAUACACAUCACCUUUUGUCGAAACAAUUCCUUCCAUUCCAUAUUCUGUAUGAAUAUAAAACAACAUUAUGAAUAUUCAAAGAUAUCUUGAUAAUGAAAAUUUCCUAUAAAAUAUCUCAAACAUUAUAUGCUUGCCUGUUAUAAUUGAACUAGGAUUUACUCUAGUUGCUUCCUUAAAAAGUCACAUUCAAUGUGUUUGAAACUCAAAUGUUAACAAAUAUAUAUGAUCCCUUUUGUUAUGCACAUUCUACACUUCCAUUGAAAAUGGAAAAAUAAAUAUGGAGUUUGAUUAGAAGUAUCACCUGGUGCCAUAUAUCCAAAUGUUGCCAUUGUCAUGGUUUGUAUCAUUGAAACCUCUUCACAUAAGAGUUUCGCGAUGCCAAAAUCACUCAAAUGUGCAACCAUAUCUUCAUCUAAUAGAACAUUGUUGGGUUUUAAAUCACAGUGAAUCACGGGUGUUGCAUUGCCGUGAUGGAGAUAUUCCAAUGUAGAUGCAACAUCUAUCAUUAUGUUCAACCUUUGUAGGAUAUCCAAAUAUUGGUUGUUGGAAUACAGCCAUUUAUCAAGACUCCCAUUAGGCAUGAACUCAAGCACCAACGCUUUGAAAUUAAGAUCAUUAGAGCAACUGCUUAUUACUUUGACUAAAUUUCUGUGACGAGUGUUGCGGAGAACAUCACAUUCAACAUCAAAGCUCUUAAAAGCUCCUUCUAACUCAAACUUGAAGACCUUUACCGCAAUGAUCGUCCCAUCCGGGAGAGUCCCUUGGAAUACUGCACCAUAACUUCCAUUACCAAGCAACCUACUAUCAUUGAAUCCAUCAGUAGCUUGACGAAGCUCGUGGUAUGAAAAUCGUCUCCACGUUCCUAAAGGUAUCAUGUCUUCUUGAGUUGGCAAUUUGUCUUUCCUCCUCCUAUUUUGCAAGAUAAUGAUAAUCAGAGCCACAACCAAAAUUGUGGAGGCAAUUGGCAAAGCUACAUAUAGUAUGAGCUUAGUUUUUGCCUUGGAAUUUCUAAGAGGUCUAGUUUUGCAGUUUGGAACAUGAAGCCGAGCUGCACCACACAAGGCUUCAUUCCUCUUAAAUGAUUCGAUUGUGUAGUUUUCAAAUGAUCCUCCUUCAGGAAUUUCACCUUCAAGCCUAUUAAAAGAGACAUUGAAAUAUUUGAGAUAACGGAGUUUCUCUAAGGAUUUGGGAAUCUCUCCAAAUAGAUUAUUUCUUGACAAGUCCAAGAAUUCCAAACUCAACGAUUCAUCAAAAGACUCAGGAAUAGAACCCGUGAUUCUAUUAUUGGAUAAGGAAAAAUGAGUGAGGUCCUUGAGAUCUGCAACUCCAGUUGGGAUAUCACCUGAGAACUGAUUGUUCGACAAAUCCAAACUACUCAAAACUUUCCAUUUUCCAAUGUCAAUUGGCAGUGGACCACUCAGAGAAUUUGAAGACAAGUAUAGGAUGAGGAGAUAGUUAAGCCUUGUCAACGUUGACGGUAUUGAAGAGGAAAACAUAUUGGAGUCUAGAAAUAGUUGCCUUAAUGAAGUGAGAUCACCUAAGCAAGUAGGUAUUGGCCCAGACAAUUUGUUAUUGGUUAAGAACAAGAAAGCCAAUUUGUUUAGAUGACAUAACUCAGUUGGGAUGGAUCCCUCUAACUUAUUGUCCUUAAGAGAAAGACUUUGCAACUCUUCCAAUCCUCCAACUGUAGUAGGAAUCUGUCCUAUCAAUUUAUUGCCUCCUAGCUCAAGGCUUAUCAAGUGACUUAAGUUUCCAAUUUCACUGGGGAUGCUACCCCUGAUGUUGCAUGCAGAAGCAGAGAACUCUUCAAGAGAACUUGAGAGAUUUCCUACCACUCUUGGAAGUUCACCACUAAUAAAUGAGUUGAUCUCGAAAAAAAGGUUCUCCAAGACUCUACAGUUUGUCAAAGAAAAGAGAAAGCUCAUUCCUGAGGAAGUUAAAUUAUUAUUCGCCAGGUUGAGAAUCUUUAAAUUUCUUAGAUUUCCCAGAUUAUCAGGAAUGGACCCUGAAAAGUAAUUACUAGACAUGUCAAGAAGAGUAAGCUGAGAGGCAUUGGAAAUAUACAUUGGGAUCGAGCCGGCAAGGUGAUUGAAACCAAGAUAUAGUUCCUCCAUGUUUGGAAGGAAAAGGCCCAUGUUUGAUGGAAGAUGGCCAGAGAGCUUAUUUGUAGCCAAAGAAAUCAUCCUUAGAGUUGAAAUAUUGAACAGUUGUGGAGGAAUAGAACCAGCAAUAUUGUUAAAUUGUAAAUUCAACCAAUUUAGAUUCUUUAGGUUGCCAAUCUCUUGUGGUAUUAUACCUGCCAUAAAUUUUAUCAAACAAAAAUAUUAGACAAAUAUGAGGAAGAAAAUAGUUUAUAUAUAUGAAACAUUUGCUUAUAUUUUUUAUAAUGUGUACAAUUAUAGACAAUUAGAAUCAACAAUAUUUACAAAAAAAAAUUAAUUCACAAUAAGUUUAAAUUGAAUAUUUUAGGUUUAAAGUUGGAAUAAGUUCAAAAUGAGAAGGGAUUGUAUGAAAUUGUGAUUCCACGUCAUGAUCAGAUUUUUCCUCCUAUUUUUAGCUUUUUCUUCUUGAAAAAAUUAAAAUCUAACUAAAAAAAGUUGAAAAUCAGGAGGAAAAAUCUGAUUUAUCAUUCUCCUAUUGGAAAGGAAUAAAAAUGACGUGGAAUCACAGUUUUAUACAAUCACUUCUCGUUCAAGAUAUAGAAAAUAAUGAUGAAAUAAAUGAUAAAGAACAAACAUUCAUAAGUCAAAUAAAAUAAUUAAGAACAUAAAAAUAAAUCAAAUAUGAUUUUUGGUUCCUUGAAGUUUUGUUUGGCCUCAACAGGGAUAAACGUAAAUAAUGGACUUAAAAAAAAAAGAAAUAUACUAAUUGCAAUAACUAUGAAAAAUUUUAUAAUUAUUGUAGAAUAAUCAAAACACAGAAAGCGGUUGAGCAAAAACAAAGUUCAAAUUAAUAAAAAGCUAUCGGUAAAAGUUGCAAAUUAAUAAAAAUAAUUUAGCUCUUUCUUAUACAUUCACCUGUAAAAUUGCUAUGGGAACAAUCAAACUCCAUAAGAAGAGUUAAAUUCACAAUUUGUUUAGGAAUUUCACCUGCAAUUAUAAAAUUCACAUUUCAAAUUCAAAAUUCAUCUCCUAGCAACGAUUAUAAGAAUAAAAUUAAGGUAUAAUGACUUGUUUAGCUCUUCAAUUUUAUUAAAAAGAAUCAUUUUAGUCUUUCAUUUAAUUUUUCAUCUCUUUUAGCUCUUAAACUUGCGAUGUUUGUCAAAUCAUCCCAAAAUGAAUUGAAAAUUCCAUGUGAUUGCCACAUCAACAAUUAGUUUUUUAAAUUUUAAAAAAUUCUAUUUUAUUGCUAACGUGUCAGCAAAGUAAACAAACAUUAACUUUUUCAUACAUUUUUUUGGGCUGAUAUAACAAAUAAUACAAGUUCAAGAGCUAAAAGAAAAGGAAAAUUAAAUAAAUAGUUAGAAUGACUUUUUUUUAUAAAGUUGAAGGGCUAAAUAAAUAAUUAUUCCUAAAGUAAAUAAAGCACGUUAGCAAGGUAUUUCACACAUACACACUUCCAAGCCAAGUUGGAACUAAAAGUAUAUUUCUCUCAUCAUUUUCAUGUAGUUUAUUCUUCAAUGUUCUUUUGAAAAAUUUCAACUAUGUAUUCGUUUAAUAAAUAAAUUUAUAUUUUCAAUCUCAAUAGAAGAUUGAUCUAAAUUAUUAUAGUCAUUACCUUAAUUUCAUUAAAAAAAAAUCGUUCCUUGCAUCUCAAAGUACUUAAAAAAAAGUAAACACUUCAAAAGGUUUUAAAAAUGGUUAGCAUAUGUUACCAUCAAAGUGGUUCCGACUGUUAGAAUUGUGUGACCCAAAUUCUAAGAGAUUGCUUGCAAGUCAAGUUAAACAAAAAUAUAUUUUCUUUCUAGAAGAUUUAGUAUUUAUUAGUAUAAAUAUAUUUAGCAUUUAUUAGUAUAGUUUAUUUGACUUGCUAAUUUAGCCUAUAAAUAGGCUCCUUUACAAUCUUAGAAUUAGAGAGACACCCAUUAGAUUAGAACUCAUAACACAUUCAGAGAAUUUUGUGUUUACGUUUGAGGGUUCUUUGUUUUUCGGGUUUUCGGGGUUUAGUUUUUAUCUCCAUCUUUUGUACUCUUCAUUUUUUUGCCAUUAUAGUAAAAUUAUCUUUGCCCGUAGUUUUUUAUCCUCUUUUGAGGGGUUUUCCACGUUAAAUUUGUGUGUUCAUCUUCUCAAUUUCUUCUACUAUUUUUACUUGUUCGUUGCUUAAUCGGGACGAUCCUAACAAGUGGUAUCAGAGCUAGUUUAACUUUCAUAGAUCAGCCCGGUCAGAGAUGGCAGCAACAAGGUUUGAAAUUGAGAAGUUCGAUGGUGAGACAAAUUUCAAUCUGUGGCAAGUUCGGAUGAUGGCAAUUCUAGUUCAAAAUGGCUUGAAAAAGGUUGUUACAGAGAAAAAGCUUGAGAAUCUAAAUCAAACAGAAUGGGAAGAGCUUGAUGAAAAGGCCUUGUCUGCAAUCCAGUUGUGCCUCGCGAAUACAGUAUUGCAGGAGGUAUUGAUGGAGAAUACCUCAUUCGCCUUGUGGAAAAGGUUAGAAACUCUUUAUGCGACUAAGUCUCUGGCUAACCGUUUAGUGUUGAAACAACAUCUAUUUACGUUUCGCAUGAACGAAUGUGAGCUUCUUAAAGAUCACAUCAGUCAAUUCAUUACUCUUUUAAAUGAUUUAAAGAACGUUGAGGUUCAUAUUAACGAUGAAGAUCAAGCUAUGCUAUUAUUGUGCUCUUUACCCUCUUCAUACAAGUCUUUCAGGGAGACCCUGAUUUAUGGCAGAGACAAACUCUCGUUCGAAGAUGUGAAGGGUUAUUUGUUGAGUAGAGACAAACUCGACAAUGAGUUUGAUUUGAAUAGCAAAGAAGAUAGACAAGCUUCCGUUUUGGUAGCAUCAAAGAAACGAGACAAAAUGUGUUGCUAUUGCAAAAAGUUAGGUCACGUCAAAGCAAAUUGUUAUAAACUGCGAAAUAAAAGAGCUGCUGAGAGUAACGAGGAAGAUGUAGCUGGUGCUAAUUUGGUCGAUGAAGGCGGUGAUGAUUUCUUGUUAGUGUCAACGAGCGAUAACUCCAAGCUUACGUCUGAGUGGAUCCUAGAUUCAGGAUGUUCUUUCCACAUGUGUCCCAAUAGAGAAUGGUUCUCCACAUACAGUUCAGUUGAAGGUGGAGUUGUGCACAUGGGAAACGAUUCAUCUAGUAAAAUAAUCGGUAAUGGUACUGUUAAAAUUAGGAUACACGAUGGGACGAUUAGGACACUCUCAGAUGUCAGGUAUGUACCUGAUUUACGAAAGAAUCUCAUCUCCUUGAGUAUUUUAGACUUGAAAGGAUGCAGAAUCAACAUCGAGUCGAGCGACAUUAAAGUAUCUCGUGGAGCUCUCGUUUUGUUAAAAGGUAAAAGAACCGGCAGUCUUUAUAUUCUGGAAGGUUUUACAGUGACCGGUGAAAUCGGACGUCCCUCAUCCGUUACAGAGUCAAAGUCAACUCAUUUGAAGCGGAGGCAACUUGGUCAUAGGAGGGAAAAAGGUAUGACCGUUUCGUUGAAGAGAGGUUCUCUUUUGGAUGCAGGUUUUGAAAAGUUAGGGCACUGUAUUCGUGAAAUUCAGACCCGGGUUAGUUUUGAUUUGGCAGUGCACAAGUCAAAGGCUAGAAGUCUUCCAGCUUCUAAGCAUAGAUUCGACUCAGUUAAUUCCCUGCAUAGUUCAAGAUAGGCCCGUGGCGGGUUUUGGCAAAGAUGGCAUUGAAAGAAUUUGUGUCAAGAUGGAGAUUGUUAGAAUUGUGUGACCCAAAUUCUAAGAGAUUGCUUGCAAGUCAAGUUAAACAAAAAUAUAUUUUCUUUCUAGAAGAUUUAGUAUUUAUUAGUAUAAUAUAUUUAGCAUUUAUUAGUAUAGUUUAUUUGACUUGCUAAUUUAGCCUAUAAAUAGACUCCUUUACAAUCUUAGAAUUAGAGAGACACCCAUUAGAUUAGAACUCAUAACACAUUCAGAGAAUUUUGUGUUUACGUUUGAGGGUUCUUUGUUUUUCGAGUUUUCGGGGUUUAGUUUUUAUCUCCAUCUUUUGUACUCUUCAUUCUUUUGCCAUUAUAGUAAAAUUAUCUUUGCCCGUAGUUUUUUAUCCUCUUUUGAGGGGUUUUUCCACGUUAAAUUUGUGUGUUCAUCUUCUCAAUUUCUUUUACUAUUUUUACUUGUUCGUUGCUUAAUCGGGACGAUCCUAACACCGACCAAUAUAGAUGUAUUGAAGCAUACUCAAAUUCCCAAUUUCUAUUGGUAGGCUCCCCUCCAUUUGGUUAUACGCUAAAGAUAACAUUUGUAACUCUUUGCACUUGAAUAGACUGGCAGGAAUUCUACCAGAAAGCAGGUUACGACUCCAGUACAAUCCUUUCAAAUUUGGAAGAUGAUCAAACAUAUCUUUUGGGAUAUGACCAGUGAGAUUAUUGGAGGAGAAAUGGAUGACUUCUAGCAAAAGUAAAUCACGUGGAACAAAGGGUAUGGAACCAGAAAGCAUAUUGUAGCUUAGAUAUAUUUCUUGCAACGAAGAGAUAUUGAAGAUGGUGGAGGGAAUUGAACCUGAAAUCUGGUUUCCAGACAAAUACAAGACCUCUAGCUUUGACAAAUAGGCUAAAGAGAAUGGAAUAACACCUUUGAAGUUGUUUUGGUCCAAAAACAACCUUCGAAGUUCAGUUAAUGAUCCCAACCAUGAUGGGAUUUCUCCAUUGAAGGAGUUGUUACCAAAGCUUAAAUAUUUCAGCCGUCGCAAAUUGGAUAACUGGACAGGUAAUCCGCCAUAGAAACUAUUGUUUGUGACAUGAAGAAGAGAAAGGAAUGAUAAAUUUCCCAAGUGAGGUGGAAGGGUGCCUACGAGUCCCAACCUAGUAAGGUUUAGAGCUGUGACUCUACGGUGCUUGGAUCUACAACUUACACCAAACCAAUUGCAAAUAGGGGCAGAGGCUGACCAGUUAGUCGUCAAGACAUUUUCAGGAUCCUGAAUAACAUGAUCUUUUAGUGCUAGAAGAGCUGACUGAUCUCUAAGUAUGGUUGUUAAUUUCAUAGAGAAAGUAGGCAUAGAGAAAUGGAAGAUGAUAAGAAGAGCUAAGUUGAGGAAAGUAUUCCCCAUUUGAAUUUGGGUGUUUAUGAAGCUACCAACAAAGGCAGAACGGAGAUUGCUAGACAGAUAAUUGAAUGAUCACUAACCGUAUGACCACACAACUUUUACAUAAUACGUGUAUGUAUAUAUAAAGGGAGUUUAUGUUGUAAUUUCUUCAUGCAAGAUUGCAAAUUAAUAUGAUUUACUUAGAAAUUACGGAAUUUAUUAUAAGACGUGAUAAUAUAAUUAUGUAAUUAUUGCUUAAAAUUUUUCUUUCUAAAUUUCAUAUUUCUUAAGAAAUUACAGUAAUAAAUUUUACAUAGAAAUAACAUUAACAUUAUUGUCAGUACAGGAGAAUGUGAAUUUGAAUGCAUUGAAACACAUUUAUCUUCUUAUAUAAGUAUUAGCAAAAAAAAUUAUGUAUAGUUCUAGACAUGUUAUAAAAAGAAUUUGAUAUAACAAGAUUUAGAAAAUAAUUUGCAUUAUUUAUUUUAGGAAAUUAUUGAAUAAAGAGAUCAAGAAUUUUCAAUUUAAAAAAUUUUAAAUUUAAAUCAUAACAGGAGAAGGAGUUUAGUUACUUUACAAUUAUCCAAGAUGGAUUAAAUUUGGUUUUAUAUCUAAGAUAUCAAAACCGUAAUUAGGUUAUGAUAAGCAUUAAACUAAAUUAUUGGAAUAAAAAUAUAGGUGAAAUUAUUAAUAAAAGCCGUUUUUUUUCAAAAUUUACUGAAAUGGGCUGAUUUUUUUAUUAUUUACCGGAAUGGUCUAUUUUCCGGGAAAUCGCAUCCACGUCAGAGCGAUGUCAGGGUACGUGUCAGGACAUUGCGUCCACGUCAGCGCGACCUGCUUACGUGGAAGGAAAUCGUGUCCUUGAGGGAGCGAUUUCCUUCCACGUCAGCAGGUCACGCUAACGUGGACGCGAUGUCGGCCGCGUGUGAACAGUACCCCAACGGUCAAAAAUUUGACCGUUGCCCCCCCAACGGUAAAAAAAAAACUAUAAAUACCCCCACCCCUUUUUUUUUUCACAAACAAAUCCUAUCUUCGAUUUCCUUCCAAAAUUCUCUCAAACCCAUAUUUAAUUUCAAUUUCCUCUCAAUUUCCUUCCAAAAUUCUCUCAAAUCCAUAUUUAAUUUCAAUUACCCCUCAAUUUUAUUUUUUAAAAUAAUUUUUAUAUUUUUAUAUUUUUUAAAAUAAUUUUUAUAUUUUUAUAUUUUUUAAAAAUAAUUUUAAAUUUUUUAUAUUUUCAUCAAUGGCCGGAUCAUUGAUUCGUCUUGAUAGGAUUCACAUAUCGGUGGAGCAAAUGAAAAUGGUAAGCAUUAAAUUUAAUUUUUAAAUAUUAUUUAAGAUUUUUUUAUUUAUGUAUUUUUAGAUAAUUAUUAAUUUAUUAUUUGUUAUAAAAGUCUGCAGAUCAGAUAUUGGAAUGCAAUAUCCGGAAUAUGCAUGCUCCUCCAUCACCGUUAGUAGAGAACUACUUGUGGGAAGCGGGUUUUUGGCACGUGGCGACGGUAGUCCGGGGAUGCAAGUUGGACCCGAAACUGAUUAGUGCGUUGAUCGAGAGGUGGAGACCCGAGACGCACACAUUCCAUCUUCCAUGUGGAGAGUGCACUAUCACUCUAGAAGAUGUCAGUCUGCAGUUGGGAUUGCCGGUGGACGGGCACCCAGUCACUGGGUCUGCCCAAUCUAGUAAUUGGGAGGCAGUGUGCUACGAGCUUUUGGGCGCUAUUCCGGAUAAAAUGGAUGGAGGUAAGGUCGAGAUGGGCUGGUUACGUGCCACCUUCCCCGAUCCGAAUGCAAAUUCAACUGAAAUUGAAAGAAUCUGAUAUGCUCGAUCAUACAUUUUUCAAAUAAUUGGAGGUUAUCUGAUGCCCGACACAUCACAGAGCCGUGUACAUCUAAGGUGGCUGCUAAAACUCGUUGAUUUUAGAGGAGCUGGUGAAUUUAGUUGGGGGUCUGCCGUCUUGACAACAUUAUAUCGGGAGAUGUGCGAUGUGACGCGACCGAGGAGAGAAAACAUCGGAGGUUGCCUGUCACUACUGCAAUCAUGGGCACGGUUUCGCUUUCCAUUUCUACAUCCUCGAGUGAACCACCCAUAUACAUUCCCACUCGUAACGAGGUAAAUUUUAUAUUACAUUUUGGAAUUAUUAUGUAGAUUUUGUAAGAAUAAAACUAUGCUAAAUAUUUAUUUAAUUAGGUGGAACCAUCAGGCAAGUUAUCGAGGAUUACCGUCUGAACUUGAAGAUAUACGGCUUCUAUUGGAGCAACGGUCGGAAGCAGAAGUAAGUAUUAUUGCAAAUAGAUAUUUCUAUACAUUCGCUAGUCGAUUGAUAUUUAGUAUUUAGUAUUUAGUAUUAUGUAUAUAACUAAUAUUUCUAUCAUGUUCAUAUAGUUUCAAUGGACACCAUACGAGGAUCCGGCAAUUCGAGUAGUAAUCUAGGAAGAGUUUUUACAAAAUCUGAACGCUUGGCACGCGAAAGUGGUGUUGAUCAACUAUGCAACCGUGGAGCCCCACCAGACAGACAGAGUGCUACGACAGUUUGGAUGUAGACAACCGAUUCCUGCGGACCUUGAGGUGUUUGACGAUCACCACAAAAUCGACCUUCGGCUAUUAGGUAUGGAUUGGCCUAGAUACUGGUCCGAGUACACACAAAUGUGGGAAAAUCGGCUUGAAUAUCUACCUACUCGGGAAGAAAUCAUCGUUCCGGAGUUAGCGUGCGUUCCAGAAUACAUGCCAUAGUUUAGGAUCCAUGGCAAGCCGUAUUUACUUAAGCCAGAGGAUAGGCAGCGGCAAAUACGUGUCGGCAGGGAAAGGCGCGGGCCUCUAAAUCCAAGACAAGAAUACUACGAAGGCAGCCCCUCAACGAGGCCCAGACAGUCACCGGCUCAUCAUCAGCAGCCAUGCAAUCACCGUCCCUAAUGAGAGCACCGACGCAGUCACCUGGCGCAGCAAUUCAACAGAUGAUACCCACGCAACCGCCUUUCCCUAUGAUGCCAGGUGUGUUUCCUAGCCCUUAUAUGUACCCUAACCCUUACAUGUAUCCUUUUCCGAAUCCUAUGGCAGGUUGGAGCCAAAUGCCCGGUUCAGCUCCAUUUCCUGUUAUGCCGAGCGGACCGUCGAUAUCUAGGCCAGCGGCGCAGGAGGGAUCGCAAGGGGGGCCGUCGGGGAGCUCUCCUUUUUACCAAUCGCCACCAACGUAUGGCUUUCAAACACCGUUGUCGUUCAUGAUGCAAACACCUCCACAUACACUAUUCUUUGAAGGUGGAUCAUCGUCCCAAGUCCGACAACCAGAUGCCGAACCGGAAGAACCACAAUCACCACCGAAGGAAGAACAACCGCCGCCGGAAGCUAGAGGAAGGAGGAAUCUAGCGCGUAACCGUCGACGGCCGCCAUGUGCAACUGAAUCCCUCGGGCAUAGACAUUGAUUGCCGUAUUUAAAUUUAUUAUUUGAUGUAAUAAAAUAGAAGUUUAUUUGAUGUAAUACGUAUAGAAAUUUUUUCGAGUUAUUUUGAUAUUAUUUGAUGUAAUAAAAUAGAAGUUUAUUUGAUAUAAUAGGCAUAGAAAUUUUUUCGAGUUAUUUUGAUAUUAUUUGAUAUAAUAAAAUAGAAGUUCUAUUUGAUGUAAUAAAAACCAUAAUUUAAUUAAAAACCCUAACCAUAACCUAACUUAAUUAAAAACCCUAACCCUAACCUAAUUUAAUUAAAACCCUAACCCUAACCUAACUUAAUUAAAAACCCUAACCCUAACCAAACUUAAUUAAAAACCCUAACCCUAACCUAACUUAAUUAAAAACCCUAGCCCUAACCUAAUUUUACAUAAUUUGAUAAUUUUACUAACCAUUAACACAAUUUUUGGACUUAAUAAUUUUACAUAAUUUGAUAAUUUUACUAACCAUUAACAAAAAUUUUUUUGGCUUAAUAAUUUUACAUAAAUUUACAUAAUGUUAGAUUUGGUAAAAUAUUUUGACUGGUACUAACAAUUAAGAAAUUAAAAUAAUUUGAUAAUUUUACUAACAAUUAAUACAAUUAUCAAUUAAUAAUUGAAUAAAAUAUAUUUUUUUCUAAAAUUACAUUCAACUAUUGCGAUUAGGGCAUGAUCGACUUGUAUGGCCUGGGUUCCUACACCAUCCGCACAACUUCUGUUGACUGGUUGUUUCUCGGAUAUCCAUAUUGUUCCGUAUUCUAGUGGAGCACGGUCGACCCUUUAGUUUGCGACGCAAUUCUCUAUCCGGUAACAGCUUAAAAAGAGCAAGAGAUACGGGCGGCCACUUACGUUCAUCUGGGACCGGUGGGAAAACGUGUCUCCAUACGUUGUACAUGUUUUCUAAUUUGUACACUUCGUCCACAUAACUCAUCGAAUCCAGACGGAGUUUCUGACAAGCUGCAAUAACAUGAGCGCAUGGAUAGCGAAGUACAUCAAACUUCCCACUGUCACAAGUCCUGUUUUGCAAGUGUACACGAUAUUGUCCGCCAACAACACCUUGGUGCGGUCUGUCAAACUCUGUCACACGAAACCAUAAAUUGUCUCGAUCGUGACACACUGUGUGCAUGAUGUUUGCCCUCGCCUUCGCCUUGUUAAUUUCUUGAACUACCUUACUGCACCAUACAUGGCCACCCUGCAUCUGGCCUGCAUAAGUUGCUGCUCGCUUUGGAAAUAGCGCCGCCAAACGGAAAUAUGUCUCUUGCACAACCGAUGUUAUCGGUAGAUGGCACGUUCCUUUAAUAACAGAAUUUAUGCAUUCUGCCAGGUUUGAUGUCAUAUGGCCAUAUCUCAGGCCUCCGUCGUAUGCUUGUACCCACUGUUCGAAACGUAUGUUACAAAGGUAGUCUGCCCCUUCUCCGUUUUGGGAUCGUAAAAUUACCAACAUCUCGUGAAAACGAUCUUUAUUUAUUUCAUACCCCGCCAAUAUAAGAUUAUAGCGAAUAUUUUAUACCACUUCUACCAAUAAAACUAAUUCAAAUUGACAAACGAAAUAAUAUAGUUAUAGACUAAAUACCCAUAUUGGUCACUUGUCGUCGUUCGCUCUUAGAUGGAUAUUGCUUGUAGUAGUUCGAAGCAGCGUAUCUUAGGCAAUAUCUAUGGUGUGUGCGCUGCCACAAGCUUCCCUGUCGAUCAAAUGUAGCAGUAUACCGGCGCCCCGAUCUGAAAUAACAUAGAUAUCAGGUUGGGGGCACACAUGCCUCCUUAACCUAGAGAGAAAGAAAUCCCAGUCAUCAGACGACUCCCCCGGUGUUAUUGCAAAUGCAAUUGGAAGAAUUUUCCCACCGCCGUCCUGUGCCACUGCAACCAAUAGCCGAUGAGUAUACCUACCGAACAUGAAGGUACCGUCAAUUUGUACCAAUGGCUUGCAGUAUGGAAAUGCGUCUCGGCAUUGCUUAAAGGUCCAAAAUAGGCGUUUGAACACUUGACAUCCACGUAGCAAUCGGCCGUUGUAGUACGCAUGUUUCGUUUCAAGGUCUGUGAUGGCACCUAGGACGUAUCUCUCUAGCACCUGACACCACUGUCAUAUUUCAUUAUAUGAGGCGUCCCACCCACUAUGCAUCUUCUCCAACGCCUUUUGCUUAGCUAUCCAAGCCUUGCGGUAAGAGGGCGUGUACCCCAUUUGGCUACGAAUAUUGGCAACUAUCACCAGCACUGAAGUCCUAGGAUCUGCUUUUAUCAUGGGCAGUAUCAAGCUAUCUAACAUAGCUGAAUCCAUUUUGGGAUGAUCUUGUGAAACACCUACAGAGGGAGUACAUUAAAUAAUGCAACAUUGCAAAAUAAAAUAAUUAUUUAGAUACAUUAAAUCAUGUACCUGCAGCACAUGUAUGUGGACCUUUGUACUUUUUAAUCUCCCACAACCUUGUCCUUUUCCUUAACGAGACGACGAUUUUCCAUGAACAUGUGCCGUCUUGCACCGCACACUUCGCCUCAAACUUAUCAGAUUUUAAUUUAACGACGUGGUCAUUAACGCCGUUUUUGAUGCUAUGCUGUUUCAAAGCACCAAUAAAACUAUCCUUGUUGGUAAACUGAUUACCAACUUCAAGUUCACCGAAAUUUACCCCCGAACUUGUACGAUCGCACAACCGGUGUGGUAGAUCUGGAAACUCUAACGCAUCAUCUGCUGACAGAUCGACAUUAUGCAUGUGGGCUGGAGGUGAGUAUGCUCUGAAUCGUGAAUUUUCUUCAUCAUCUGAACUCCUUUCAGCAUCUUCACCUUCUGUUGGAAUAGGCUCCGGUUCAGAAAAUAAUCUCACUUCUGCACCAUCCUGCCCGGGCUCUCGAGGUGGAUCCACAUCGGAGUCAUCUUCUAACCCACAAUCAUCUGCAGCGUACGACGUCCCUUCACCGGUUGACGUCGUAGGUAGUACGUCAUCCCUUCUUCUGGGCAUUUGAUAACGUUUCCAAUUAGAUGUAGAUUGCCAUCCACUAGAACUUGAUGUAGUUCCCCAGUACGUAUUUCCAGCAUCAAACGUCGAGCCACCGACAUAUAUGUCCCAUCCACCGACAGAGUGUCUUGCGGGGGAUGCAUUCGACAGCGCUACCGAACAUGGGCUGUUCUAUAUUUUGUAACCCGCUAACCGAGUGUCGGCCAGGGGUCGUGUAUACAUCUCAAACACCAGACGGAAGUACAUCAGUUGGCAACGUAAAUUGUACAUAUAACUCAAUAUAAGUUGCUCCACUAGCAAGAUGAGUCUCCACCAUUGCCUCAAAGCUACGAGCACAUUUUCUGUCGAACGAGUCAUAUGUCACCGGAUCAACACAAGAACAAAAUCGAUACGUGAUUGACAAAACUUUCAUUGGCAUCGUUCCGAAGAUUUUACGCCUAAUUCUUUUACGAAGUUCUGUCAAAUCUAUGUUCUGGUUAAAUGACAGUCACACCGUAUUCUCCGACUAAAGAACAACACCAUUCUCGGUGUGGCAAACCUCACCAUCGUAGUAAAUAACAGCACUAAUACAUUCACUCAUUUUGAAACUCUAACUUUCUUAGCCUCUCUAAAUUGUUUCUGCUAUGACUUAUGCAUUCUAAGAACAUUUUCUGCCUAAUUUAUAGCCUCAGCUCAAACUUGCUACUGCAGCAAAAUCGCGUCCACGAGGGCGUGAUUUCACAAUUUCUUCUCAAAUAGCAUCCUGGUACAAGCGAUUUUAUACUAUUUGCUCAGAAACGUCAAAAAAAAUUAUUUCUUACAUGACCUACUGUAGCAAAAUCGCGUCCACGAGGGCGCGAUUUCACAAUUUCUUCUCAAAUAGCAUCAUGGUACUAGCGAUUUUAUACUAUUUGCUCAGAAACGUAAAAAAAAUUAUUUCUUACAUGACCUACUGUAGCAAAAUCGCGUCCACGAGGGCGCGAUUUCACAAUUUCUUCUCAAAUAGCAUCCUGGUAGAAGCGAUUUUAUACUAUUUGACCAGAAACGUCAACUUAAAAUAAUUUAUUCCGGGACCUAAAAAUCCUAAAAAGCCUGAACCCUAAACCCUAAAAGCCAAAAAAACCAAACGUGAAAAAAAAGUCAAAAUCACGUCCCCCGGAAUGUGCUACGUGGCAGGACAUCGCGUCCACUUCAGCGCGACCUACUGACGUGGAAGGAAAUCACUCCCUCAAGGACGCGAUUUCCUUCCAUGUCAGCAGGUCACGCUGACGUGGACGCGAUGUCCUGACACGUACCCUGACAUCGCUCUGACGUGGACGCGAUUUCCCGAAAAAUGGACCAUUCCGGUAAAUAAUAAAAAAAUCGGUCUAUUUCGGUAAAUUUUGAAAAAAAAACGGCUUUUUUUGGUAAAUUACCCAAAAAUAUAAGCAAUUUUACAAUAUUCGUGGUGGGAACAUAUCCCAUCACCAACUUUUCAUAACUUCUUUUUCCCAUUUUAUAAAAUGUCUAUAGAUUAAGUACUGGCUCUUCAAUUUUCUAAGUAUUCAUUGUCUUACCCCUUUCUUGGGUUUGGUUUGGGAAGGUUGCUUGACUUCGUUGUGCAAUUUAAAGUCUUUCCAAUUUGUCGUUUUAGAAGUGAUCGGAAAAUUUGCACUUCUUCAUGUACUAGAAGAAAAGUGAUUGGGUUCAAAGAAUAAAAACAGGGAUAGAUUAUUUACAUAGUUUAGUUUUUCUAUUCCUACAGAGCCUACGUUAUGAGGAAUAGUUUAGUUUAUGUUGUAGUUUCUUCCUGCAAGAUUACAAAUUUUUUUAAUGUGAUUUACGUAGAAACUACGAAAUUUAUUAUAGGAUGUGAUAAUAUAAUUCUAUAAUUAUUGCUUAAAUUUUUUCUUUCUAAAUUUCAUAUUUCUUAAGAAAUUACAGUAAUAAAUUUUACAUAGAAAUAAUAUGUAGUAUUGAAAUUAAAUUGCAGUUGUACAAAGGUUACAACUUUUUUAUUAAAUUAUUAAAAUUAUUAGAGAACAUGAUAAAAUUAAAUGAGAACCUUUUUAUCAAAGUGACAAGUGAGCAGUCGCUUUGAAGAAUAUAAAUAACCCUUCCGCUUGCUUAAUUUGUGUUUCUAUUGACUAAAAAAAUUUUGAACAAAAAGGAUAUUGACUAAAAAUUAAAAUAACCAUGAAAUCUUUUACAACAUUCAACGAGGUUGAAAGAUUUUAUUUUUAAUUUUUUUUAAAUAAUAACUUAUUUGGCUUCUAAUUUUAUAAAAAAAUUAUUUUUUAUUCCUUAAAACUUAUAUUAUUUAUCAACAUUGGCUUACUCCUUCGUUGGGUUUGGUUUGGGACGGCUGCUUGACUUCGUUGUGCAAUCUAAAGUCUUUCCACUUUGUCGUUUUAAAAGUCUGCAUAUCGGAGAAUAUCACAAUUGAGAAAGAAUUAUAUAUUGCUGUGAAACUGAACGUAGUUGCUAAUAUAUACGUUAAGUGAUUAAAAACUUGGCACCUCUUCAAGUGCGGGAAGAAGUGAUUGCGAAGUUGACACUUUUUCUAAGUUAUUAAAAAAAAUAAAUAGGAGACACAUAUUGUUUACUUAGUUUGGUUUCUUACGUUUGCGGAUCUUAGUUUAGUGAAAAAUAUCUACUAUCUCCAACAUUUAUAAUGAGUGAUCUUAAAUCUAUCACAACUCACUACAAUUUCCUCACUUUUGUACUUUUGAAAAUCGGUACUUUCAUCACUAAAUUCACUCCUGUGAACUUAAUUUAUAAAAUCACAACACACAAGUUUUACAAUCAAAUGCACUCUUACAAACAAUAUUCUUCGCUUAAACAGACCAAGUUCUCUCAAUUCUCUAUACAAUCACCUAUACAAGUCUCUCAAUUAUAAAUAGAUUUCGAGAUUUACUAACAUAAUGAAAAUCUAUAUCAAUCUCUAUUAAACAACAACUAAACUAGUUGAAUAAAUUAUAAUAAUAAAUAAGGUAAACAAGGAUUGUUGGCAGCUAAGUCUUCUACGUUCCAAUUCGAUUCAACUUUCUCGAUCCAAGCGAUUAGAUAUACAUGGUCCGAUCCAAUCCGAUCCCUUAAACAUGUUUCCUGAAGUGAUAUGAUCUGUAACACCCCAAACCCAGCCUAACGUUAUAUAUGGUCUAACAUAUAAUAAAAUUUAUUAUUUAUAAAAUAAACUAAAAAUAAAAAGAGAGAAAAGUUUGAAUAUGGUUUAAAUAUUGUUUGUGAGGUUUUUUUAAAAAAUAUUUUAUUUAUAAAAAUAUUAUUUUAAGAAAUAAAUGUUAUGUUAGAAAGAAGAGAAAAUGGGUAUUCAUGUGUAUUUAUAAUUGUGUUAUGUAUUGUUAUAAAAAUUUAUGUGUUUUUAUAAAAAAAAAACUUUUACAUAUUUUGAAUUUUUAAGAAGUAAAACUACAUUGACAAAAUGUAUAAAAUUGAGAGCUAAAUUUGUUGAUUUUUUAGAGUUAAAGCUAAAUUGAUAGAAUCUGUCAACAUUAGAGGGUUAAAUUUGUUAUUAUAUUAAUAAAAAAUGCCACCGUUAAUGAUUUAACAGAGGAACAACAAAAAUAUUAAAAUUUGAUAAUAUUAAUGAAUGAAAUAAAAAUUUUUAAACUUAAAUGACCAAAAUAGAAACACACUAAUAAUUAGAUAAACUAUUUUUUUUACUUUUCCCUAGAUUUAAUAAUGUUACCCGAUUUUCCAUGAUUCCUCCAUUUUCUUACCCCUUUCUUGGGGUUGGGACCCGGCUUCACUUUAUUUGUGCAAUCUAAAGGCCUUUCAACUAUGUCAACAAUUGCUUAUGAACUUAUAAUGCGAAACCUUAAGCAAUUGGACAACGAAGCUAUCACUUUUCUUCUUCAAGGAUAAUUAAGAUGGGUCCGGCAUGGUCACUAAAUUUCCAUCACUUUUUGGCCAUUUUCUUUUCUAUGUUUUGCACAUUUUUAAAUCUCUAUACAUUCAAUAAUGCUCCCCAAUUGAAGGUUCUUCUUUUUCAAACCUCGUCUUUUACUCGACUUUGUUGUGCAAUUUAAAGUCUUUCAGCUUUGUUGUUUGGGUAACUUAUAAAAAUAGUCACUUAAUUUUAGUUAAAUUUAUUUUCUCACUGAAUUAUAAAAAAAUUACAUUUUAGUCACUAACAGUAUCGAGUUAUAACGUUUUGGUCACUCAUCCAUUAACCGCCAUUUUAUCCUUAAGGAAAAGUGCCGUUAACUCAAGGGUUAAUAUUUAAUUUGACCUUUGAACUAUAGUUAAAACAUUCAACUUGGUCAUAAUUUAUUAAAAAAUAUUAAAAAUAAAAAAUUUAAAAAUUUAUUUAUUGUUUGAUACUAUAAAAAAUAUAUAUUUUGAAAUUGUAAUUAUGUAAUGUUUUAAAAAACCAUAGAAUCCUUUAAAUUUAAAUUAUAUUAGAAAUCCUAUCACAGUUGUGCACAUGUGGCAAUCAUGAAUUUAGAACAUAGAUUUGUGUUUAAAAAUGAAAUCCAAUAAAUAAUGAAAUCGUAUAGUUUGAAACUAAUUAAUCAUAAUAACACAUGAAAUAUGUAUGAUAUUAAAGUUAAAAAAUUAGAUUAAAUUGUGAGUAAAACUAAACUUAAACAUAUAAAUACAUUAAAUUAACAAUACUAAACCAACUCAACUAAUAACAUUAUUAAUAUAUACAAUGGAUGAAGUGUGCAUAAUAAAAUUAAAUUGUAUAUGAAAAAAUCAAAAUAAAACUUUGGUUGAGUGGUUAAUUUAGGGUUUUGCUAAUGUGAUUGACGUAGAUAUUAUAAUAUGUAUAUUUUUUAUUUUUUUAAGAAAGUAAAAGAUUAAAGUACCCCCGAAUAAUAUAAUUUAUUUAAUUACAAAAGAACAUUUCCAUAAUUUCUCUAACCGAGUUGAUGCUCGUCUAACUCGUAAUAUCAACUCAAUCAAAGACUUAAAAUAAUGGUAUAGAUAAAAAUGUAGAUUGAGUCAUGGUUAUCUGAACCUAUUGAACUGGCAAUGAUACCAGUCUGGAGAGAGGCAUUAGAUCAGUUCACUCGCAAACCAGUACAGACCAAUAUUAGAACUAGACUAAAAAACUGAUUGAAUCGUUUUUUUAAUAUUUUAAUAAUUUGUAAUCCAACUAUACAAACCAAUAUUUCAACCACCAUUUUAGUUCUAAAAACUUUGCUUAAAGUAUAUUUAAUUUUUAAUUAUUUACUUUAUAAUUCUACACAAAUACAUAAUUACCGCAGCUUCAGAACAGACGAGGACUAAGAAAAAGAAUCAGCUAAUUUUACUGAUUGCAAUUCUAUGAGUAACGCAGCAAACUUAGCUUUCUUUAAUUUCGUCUCACACUAAUAAUUUGUAUCUAUGAUUUAACUUGGACAAGAUCUUUAUCAAGUUGUUUUUUAUGCAAUUGACUAAUAAAAUUCCAUAUUGAGCCAUCGAAUUUACGAGAAAUGGAUACAACAAUGACUUCAAAAUAAAUUGGACUUUUUAUUUUGCAAUUCACUUUUAUAGUUUCAAUAAUGGCCAACCAAUUUUCCAUGACUUUUAUAGCUUGACUUAAGUUGUGCAAUCUAAAGUCUUUUUCUAAACCGUGAGAACAGAAGAAAACAUAUGAGCAGCCAUUGUUGAAGUCCCAUGUUCGGCCAAGCUUCUCAUUUUACACGGUGAGUAAUUUUAAUCUCGUUUUUCAUGAAUUUUAUAUUUUUGAGAUUAUUGUAAUUUUAAUCUAGUUUAGCUAACUCAAGUGUUAAUUUUUGAAACUGUUAAAAUUUCUAAAUGUUACUAUUGAUGAAUGAUUGAUGAAAUUAGUAUUAAUUGAUUAGAUUUUUCUGCUUAGAUAUGAAAAAGGCUUAAUUAUCAAUUAUCAAUUCCAAAUAAAAAAUAUUAUUGAUAUUUUCUAUUAUGAAAACCCAUUCUCAAUGUGUUGAAUCGUUGAACAAGUAAUUUUUACUUCUAUUGUGGCAAAUUCAAUGGAGGGAGUUAUCUUCUUAUUUCUACCAUAAAAAGUUUCUCAAUAAAUUUCAUUGGGUGAAAAUUUUGAGUUAGAUUAGAGUGCUUCAAAAUCUCAUGGCAAUUAACAAAUUACGUGAAUGUGUGUGAAAAUAGGAAGGAUAUUAGUAGUUCACCUCUAAUUGCUUAGGCAUGAUACUCGUUGUGAAAAUAGGAAGUUUCUCAACAAUUCCCAUGAUACUUGUUGGAUAACUCGAUCAUCUUUUUUACAGGAUGUAAACUUUUCUAAAUGAUAAGGAAAGGAAAAGAAAACUUAGGCAAUUCAAUUUAAGUAGUUCACAUUUAAUUGCCUACCUCCACUUAGUAUCCUUUAAUCAAAUAAUUUCUCAAAUUACUAUAAGAAUUUGUACCUUUCGAGGAGAAGGUAUAACAUUUACAGCACUAUCUUUUUCUUAAGGCUUAGAUAUAACCUUUCCCUCUAGCUUUUAUAGUUGUUGUAUAGUCGUCGUUGGCAAGUCAUGUCUCGAGACAAUUUAUCAAUUGUCUUUAGACACACUGCACUAUAUCUCAAGACAAGUAGCUCCUAUCAAUUGGUACAAGCCAGUAUGAACUAGUAUAAGUUAGUAUUGACUGAAACGAGCUUAAACAUACUGGAAUUGUCAAAACACAUCAAAAUCUUAACCAUAAUGAAGCCUAUACUAUUUAGUAUUGGUUGAAGACCAGAAAGAUACGCAUCGAGUGUGUUAAAUGUUGAUGUCCUUUUUAUGUACUGUUUAUAUUUUUGUUCUUUUAAUAAUAUUUGUUUGGCUUAUAAAAAUUAUUUUUAUUAAAAUAAAAUAAAUGAAAAGCUUAUGCAAAGACUAAAAAAAGAUAUCAAAAUUUGCUAUGUUUUGAUAUUGGGCAUUUAAUAAUUUGUACCUAUAUUUAAAAAAAAAUUGUACCAAUACAAUUUCAUAAAAUUAGUACAAAUGGUCAUCAAAAUUCAGCGUAACUUCCUAAAUAUAUUGCUAAUUGAUAUAAUUGAGAACGGUUAUGCGGUUGAUAAUAAUCUUUUUGAACUUCGUUUAGUACAUGAUUUAUGCAAGUAAUAUUGGCAACUUAAGUUUCGGCAUGUCCUGCGAGAACAUAAGAGACUGACAGAUUGCAUGACCAAAGUUGUUCUUAGUAAUCUUAAUAGGUUAACAACUUUUGAAGACCCAGCUAAUCAUGCUCGAUCUUUGUUAGAAGAAGAUGCUCAUCGAGCAAUGAUUAAUAUAGACUCUCAUCAACCUAAUUGUAGCUAAUUCCUUGAACUUGUUUCUUUUUUAAAAAAAUUCACAAAAUGCAGAAAUAACUAUUAAUAAACUUUUUAGGAAAACAGAGCAUCUGUAUAAAUAUUUAUCAAAGACAUUGCUAGAAAGCAAAGCUUAUGUUUAUUUUAGUCAAUUUAACAAUGGCCACUUCAUCGAACGCGUUGCAUAUCCCUUGAUAACUUUACUUUGAUCUUCUUUAACUUUGUAACAACCUCUUUCAUAUGAAGCCUCUCAUUUGGUAACUCUGCAGAACAUUCUAAGCCAACUUGCAAAAUGGAUAAGGCACAAUUCUUGACUUUUAAAUGUUCCCUUCCAAUGGUGCUCAACAACUUGGGAUCUACAACUUGAUUUCGCGAAGAUGAUAUCGACUCUAUCACCCAACUCUUCAAGCUUCUUUCUCCUUCAAACAUUUCAUCUGUGGGCUUUUUUCUUGUGAUGAUUUCCAUCAAAAGAAUACCAAAGCUAUACACAUCACCUUUUGUCGAAACAAUUCCUUCGAUUCCAUAUUCUGUGUAUGAAUAUAAAAACAACAUUAUGAAUAUUCAAAGAUAUCUUGAUAAUGAAAAAUCCGUAUAAAAUGUACGAAACAUUAUAUGCUUGCAUGUUAUAAUUGAACUGGGAUUUAAUCUAGUUGCUUCCUUAAAAAGUCACAUUUAAUAUGUUUGAAACUCAAAUCUUAACAUAUAUGAUCCCUUUUGUUAUGCACAUGCUACGCUUACAUUGAAAAUGGAAAAAUAAACAUGGAGUUUGAUUAGAAGUAUCACCUGGUGCCAUAUAUCCAAAUGUUGCCAUUGUCAUGGUUUGUAUCAUUGAAACCUCUUCACGUAAGAGUUUCGCGAUGCCAAAAUCACUCAAAUGAGCAACCAUAUCUUCAUCUAAUAGAACAUUGUUGGGUUUUAAAUCACAGUGAACCACGGGUGUUGCAUUUUCAUGGUGGAGAUAUUCCAAUGCAGAUGCAACAUCUAUCAUUAUGUUCAACCUUUGUAAGAUAUCCAAAUAUUGGUUGUUGGAAUACAACCAUUUAUCAAGACUCCUAUUAGGCAUGAACUCAAGCACCAACGCUUUGAAAUUAAGAUCAUUAGAGCAACUGCUUAUUACUUUGACUAAAUUUCUGUGACGAGUGUUGCAGAGAACAUCACAUUCAACAUCAAAGCUCUUAAAAGCUCCUUCUAACUCUAACUUGAAGACCUUUACCGCAAUUACCGUCCCAUCCUGGAGAGUCCUUUGGAAUAGUGAACCAUAACUUCCAUUACCAAGCAACCUACUAUCAUUGAAUCCAUCAGUAGCUUGACGAAGCUCGUGGUAUGAAAACCGUCUCCACGUUCCUAAAGGUAUCAUGUCUUCUUGAGUUGGCAAUUUGUCUUUCCUCCUAUUUUACAAGAUAAUGAUUAUCAGAGCCACAACCAAAAUUGUGGAGGCAAUUGGCAGAGCUACAUAUAUUAUGAGCUUCAGCUUAGUUUUUGCCUUGGAAUUUCUAAGAGGUCUUGUUUUGCAGUUUGGAACAUGAAGUCGAGUUGCACCACACAAGGCUUCAUUACCCUUAAAUGAUUCGAUUGUGUAGUUUCCAAAUGAUCCUCCUUCAGGAAUUUUUCCUUCAAGUCUAUUAAAAGAGACAUUGAAAUAUUUGAGAUAACGGAGUUUCUUUAAGGAUUUGGGAAUCUCUCCAGAUAGAUUAUUUCUUGACAAGUCCAAGAAUUCCAAACUCAACAAUUCAUCAAAAGACUCAGGAAUAGAACCCAUGAUUCUAUUAUUGGAAAAGGAAAAAUGAGUGAGGUCCUUGAGAUCUGCAACUCCAGUUGGGAUAUCACCUGAGAACUGAUUGUUCGACAAAUCCAAACUAGUCAAAACUUUCCAUUUUCCAAUGUCAGUUGGCAGUGGACCACUUAGAGAAUUUGAAGACAAGUAUAGGAUGAGGAGAUAGUUAAGCCUUGUCAACGUGGAAGGUAUUGAGGAGGAAAACUUAUUGGAGUCUAGAAAUAGUUGCCUUAAUGAAGUGAGAUCACCUAAGCAAGCAGGUAUUGGUCCAGACAAUUUGUUAUUGGUCAAGAACAAGAAAGCCAAUUUGUUGAGAAGACAUAACUGAGAUGGGAUGGAUCCUUCUAACUUAUUGUCUUUAAGAGAAAGACUUUGCAACUCUUCCAAUCCACCAAUUGUAGUAGGAAUCUGUCCUAUCAAUUUAUUGCCUCCGAGAUCAAUGCUUAUCAAGUGACUUAAGUUUCCAAUUUCAUUGGGGAUGCUACCCCUGAUGUUGCAUGAAUAUGCAGAGAACUCUUCAAGAGAACUUGAGACAUUUCCUACCACUCUUGGAAGUUCACCACUAAUAAAUGGGUUGCUAUCGAAAGGAAAGUUCUCCAAGCCUCUACAGUUUGUCAAAGAAAAGAGAAAGCUCAUUCCUGAGGAAGUUAAAUUAUUACUCGCCAGGUUGACAAACUUUAAAUUUCUUAGAUUGCCUAGAUUAUCAGGAAUGGACCCUGAAAAGUAAUUAUUAGACAUGUCAAGAACAGUAAGCUGAGAGGCAUUGGAAAUAUACAUUGGGAUCGAGCCGACAAGGUGAUUGCUAGCAAGAUAUAAUUGCUCCAUGUUUGGAAGGAAAAGGCCCAUGUUUGAUGGAAGAUGGCCAGAGAGCUGAUUUAUAUCCAAAGCAAUCAUCCUUAAAGUUGAAAUAUUAAAUACAUGUGGAGGGAUAGAACCAGCAAGAUUGUUAAAGUCUAAAUCCAACCAAUUUAGAUUCUUUAGGUUGCCAAUCUCACGUGGUAUUAUACCUGCCACAAAUUUUAUCAAACAAAAAUAUUAGACAAAUAUGAGGAAGAAAAUAGUUUAUGUAUAUGAAACGUUUGCUUAUAUUUUUUAUAAUGUGUACAACUAUAGACAAUUAGUGUAUCAAAUAUGAAUCAACAAUAUUUACAAAAAAAAUUAAUUCACAAUAAAAUUGUUUUUAUAGAGCUCUUGCAAAUAUUAAAGUACUUCAAGUAAUUUUAAAUUGAAUUUUUAGGUUUAAAGUUGGAAUAAGUUCAAAAUGAGAAGGGAUUGUAUGAAAUUACAAUUCUAUGUCAUCUUUAUCCCUUAUAGGAGAAUAACAAAUCAGAUUUUUCCUCCUAAUUUUUAGCUUUUUCUUCUUGAAAAAAUUAAAAUCCAACUAAAAAAGUUAAAAAUUAGGAGGAAAAAUCUGAUUUAUCAUUCUCUUAUUGGAAAGGGAUAGAGAUUACGUAGAAUCACAGUUUCAUACAAUCACUUCUCAUUCAAGUUAUAGAAAAUAAUGAUGAAAUAAAUGAUAAAGAACAAACAUUUAUAAGUCAAAUAAAAUAAUUAAGAACAUAAUGGUGAAUUAAAUUUGUUUUCCUUUUAUCUGAUUUGAUAAAUUUAAAAUUUUUAAGAACAUAAAAAUAAAUCAAAUAUGAUUUUUGGUCCCUUGGAGUUUUGUUUGGCCUCAACAGGGGUAAAUGUAAAUAAUGGACUUAAAAAGAAAAAAAGAAAUAUACUAAUUGCAAUGACUAUGAAAAAUUUUAUAAUUAUUGUAGAAUAAUCAAAACACAGAAAGCGGUUGAGGAAAAUAAAGUUCAAAUUAAUAAAAACUAUCAGUAAAAGUUGCAAAUUAAUAAAAAUAAUUUGGAAAUAAUUUAACUCUUUCUUAUACAUUCACCUGUAAAAUUGUUAUUGGAACAAUCAAACGACAUAAGAAGAGUUAAAUUCACAAUUUGUUUAGGAAUUUCACCUGCAAUUAUAAAAUUCACAUAUCAAAUUAAAAAUUCAUCUCCUAGCAAGGAUUAUAAUAAUAAAAUUAAGGUAUAAUGGCUUAUUUAGCUCUUCAAUUUUAUUAAAAAGAAUCAUUUUAGUCUUUCAUUUAAUUUUUCAUCUCUUUUAGCCCUUAAACUUGCAAUGUUUGUCAAAUCAUCCCAAAAUAAAUUGAAAAUUCCAUGUGUAUGCCACAUCAACAAUUAAUUUUUAAAAUUUUAAAAAAAAUUCUAUUUUAUUACUAACGUGUUAGCAAAGUAAACAAACAUUAACUUUUCCAUACAUUUUUUGGGCUGAUAUAACAAACAAUACAAGUUCAAGAGCUAAAAGAAACGGAAAAUUAAAUAAAAAAUUAAAAUGAUUUUUUUUAUAAAGUUGAAGGGCUAAAUAAAUAAUUAUUUCUAAAGUAAACAAAGCACGUUAGCAAGGUAUUUCACAUCAUAUUAGGUGUCAUACACACUUCCAAGUCAAGUUGGAACUAAAAAAAUAUUUCUCUCAUCAUUUUGUCGUAGUUUAUUCUUCAAUCUUCUUUUGAAAAAUUUCAACUAUGUAUUCGUUUAAUAAAUAAAUUUAUAUUUUCAAUCUCAAUAUCUAAAUUAUUAUAUUCAUUACCUUAAUUUCUUUUCAAAAAAACAAAAAAAAAAAUCGUUCCUUGCAUCUCAAUGUACUUAAAAAAAAAGUAAACACUUCAAAAGGUUUUAAAAAUGGUUAGCAUAUAUUACCUUCAAAGUGGUUCCGACCAAUAGCGAUGUCUUGAAGCAGGCUCAAAUUCCCAAUUUCUAUUGGUAGGCUCCCCUCCAUUUGGUUAUACGAUAAAGCUAACACUUGUAACUCUUUGCACUUGAAUAGACUGGCAGGAAUUCUACCAGAAAGCAGGUUAAGACUCCAGUACAAUCCUUUCAAAUUUGGAAGAUGAUCAAACAUAUCUUUUGGGAUAUGACCAGUGAGAUUAUUGGAGGUGAAAUGGAUGACUUCUAGCAAAAGCAAAUCACGUGGAACAGAGGGUAUAGAACCAGAGAGUAUAUUAAUAUUAUUGUCAGUGAAUUUAAAUGCAUUGAAACAUAUUUAUCUUCUUAUAUAAUUAUUAGCAAAAAAAAAUUAUGGAUAGUUCUAGACAUUUUAUAAAAAGAAUUUGAUAUAACAAGAUUUAGAAAAUAAUUUGCAUUGUUUAUUUUAGGAAAUUAUUGAAUAAAGAGAUCAAGAAUUUUCAAUUUAAAAACUUUUAAAUUUAAAUCAUAACAGGAGGAGUUUAGUUACUUUACAAUUAUCCAAGAUGGAUUAAAUUUUGAACAAAAAGGAUAUUGACCAAAAAUUAAAAUAACCUUGAAAUCUUUUACAACAUUCAAUGAGGUUGAAAGAUUUUAUUUUUAAUUUUUUGAUUUUUUUUGAAAUAAUAACUUAUUUGGCUUCUAAUUUUUUUAAAAAGACUUUUUUUUAAUCUUUAAACUUAUAUUGCUUAUCAAAUUAUUUCAAAAUGAAUGAAAAAAAUAAUGUUUAUUAACAUUGUCGAUGUAAAUAAUAUUAAAUUUAUUUAAAAAGUAUAAAAAUAUUUUUUUAAAAUUAAUUAAUUGCUAACGUAACAUAUACGUGGCAAUCUAUAUGUAUGCCACAUCAGCAAAGUUAACAAAUGUUAUUUUUUUAUCCAUUAUAAGUUAUUUGACAAAUAAUGCAGUUUCAAGAGUUAAAACUGACGAAAAAUUAAAUAAAUGGCUAAAAUUACUUCUUCUUCUUUUUUAUAAAGUUGGAGGGUGGAAAAAUUGUUAUACAUUUUUUUUCUUGUCUUAUCAGUACCUUCGACAACACACCACCAUAAAGUAAGAAUAUAAAGCAUGGUUCAUUUAACUAGAUUUUUAGCAAGAAAAUUGAUAUUGUUGUCUGUAUAUAUAAAAAGACACAGGUUUAAACUUAUUGAAAUAUAUUUAUCCUUUUAUAUAAGGAUUAGCAAAAAAUUAUAGAUAUAUAAUUCUAAGCAUUUUAUAAAAAAAAAAGUUAUAUAAUAUGACAUAGAAAAUAAUUCACUUUUUAUUUUAGGACAUUAUUGAAUAAAGAAAUCAAGAAUUUUUAAUUUAAAAAUCUUAAAUUUAAAUCAUAACAGCAGAAGGAGUUUAGUUUACAAUUAACCAAGAUGGAUCAAAUUUGGCUUUAUAUCUAAGAUAUGAACACUGUAAAUAGAUUAAUGAUAAGCAUUAAACUAAAUUAUUGGAAUAAAAAGAUAAGCAAUUUUACAAUAUUGGUGCUGGGAACAUAUCUCUAUAGAUUCAGUAAUGGCGCGCUCUCCAAUUUUCUAAGUAUUCAGUGGCUUACCCCUUCGUUGGGUUUGGUUUGGGACGGCUGCUUAACUUAGUUGUGCAAUCUAAAGUCUUUCCACUUUGUCGUUUUAAAAGUAUGCAUAUCUGAGUGCGGGAAGAAGUGAUUGCGAAGUUGACACUUUUUCAACUUAUUACAAAAUAAAAAAUGAAAAAAGGAGACACAAAUUGUUUACGUAGUUCGGUUUUUUUACGCUUGCGGAUCUUAGUUUAGUGAGAAAUAUCUACUAUCUUCAACAUUUAUAAUAAGUGAUCUUAAAUCUAUCACAACCCACUGGCAAUUUCCUCACUUUUGUACCUUUGAAGACUAGUACUCUCACCACUAAAUUCACCUAUGUGAACUUAAUUUAUAAAAUCACAAUACACAAGUUUUACAAUCAAAUGCACUCUUACAAACAAUAUUCUUCGCUUAAACAGACUAAGUGCUCUCAAUUCUCUACACAAUCACCUAUACAAGUCUCUCAAUUAUAUAUAGAUUUCGAGAUUUACUAACAUAAUGAAAAUCUAAAUCAAUCUCUAUUAAACAACAACUAAACUAGUUGAAUAAAUUAUAAUAAUGAAUAAGGUAAACAAUGAUUGUUGGCAGCUAAGUCUUCAACGUUCCAAUUCGAUUCAACUUCCUCGAUCUAAGCGAUUAGAUAGACAUGGUCUGAUCCAAUCCGAUCCCUUAAACAUGUUUCCUGAAGUGAUAUGAUCUGUAACACCCCAAACCCGGCCUAGACAUUAUGGCCAAAUUUGGGAGUGUUACGAAGAAGGGUUUUAAAAUCAAUCUUAUUAUUAUUUUCGUUAAGGGAAAUAUUGUUAAUUUGAUCUUUCAGAAAACUUAUUUUGCAGCGGAAGUUUGAUAUUGUUAAAGUUGAAAAUCGAGUUUGUGCUUUCAGAAAAUAUUUGCUUGCGUAAAACCGUAGUUUUGUCAAAUCUCACAGUAUAAAAGUCAAAAAACACAUCCAAAACCAAAAUUAAAACAAAUAGUCCAGAGAGUCCCAAAAUUACAAAACUCUCAACAACAAUUCAAAUUUUUAAAAACAUCGUUAAUCAAAAUAGUUCGCAAACUAGUGGUCACCACUGAGACUCUGUCGCACCGACCCGCCUAUGUCUGAGGACUACCUUAACAAAACAGAUAACAUAUGUGAGUUUUCAUAAACUCAGUGUGUAACCCAACAGAGAUAGACAUACAAAUAUACUCAGAAUUUCCAUAUGCAAAAUAGAUAUACAUACAAACAUAAGUCCUUAACAGAACCAGAUAGUUAGAACACAGAUAUGCAAAAUCCUACCCCCAUCCUCUACACACCAUCUCCGACCAUCCUAUCACACCAUGUGGGGUAUAAAACACCCACCCAUCCCUACAUACCACAUAGUGUCUGCACGACACUUAUCAGAAUAAUUUGCAGCUAUGCUGCUAGAGUAAGGGCAAAAUAUGGCCUCACAGAACAUUCCUUCAAUAAAUAGAUCCCACCCCGUAUAUAUAUAAAUAGCAGAUAAUAGAUAUAAUAAAAUUAUCAAGUCUUGCAUGCUUAUAUAUAUAUAGGUAGCAUACAUGUUAUUACGAACUAGUCAAAACAUACAUAUCAAUUUCUAAAUGCUCAAAUCAGACUAUCAGAAUACAUGUAUCAUGCAUUAAGGUAUGUUUUGCCCUUACCGACCCGACCGAAGGCCCAAAGUCGAUUGAAUAAACUUAUGUGACCAUAGAGAAGAUUUCAGAAUUUUGGGCUUACAUGCUUGUGUGGGCCUACACGCCCAAAUUGGCCUUGCUCGUGUGGCCCACACGACUUGGCCCCAAAUUGGCCUAUCCCGUGUGUCGUACAUGCCCGUGUGGCGUGAUAGACCACUUUUUUGGAUUUUACCGAACCUUAUUUUUCUGUGUUUUUGUUACACACCUGGUUCAUUUUUUAUGCUACAACAAUCCCGAGACCACCAGAACCUAACAAUCACAAUACAGGCUCCCAAAAUCAGUCUUACUCCUCAAUUAAACCAAAUUACAGAAAUUGACUACAGUGGAAAUCGAGUGUUCAUCACUUACCCAACUUCCCGAACGAUCUCUAUUAUACGAUUCCACAAGAGGAGAGCUCCGUUCCUCACAAUUCGCUGCUGCCAACAACUCAAAAAAUCAAUACUAACGAAAAAGACAACAUCGUUAAAAAGAAAAACUGCUUUCAAAGAAAUCUCCCCUAACCCAUGCUAAACCUUUCAACCACUACUUACCAAGCCGUACGAAAAUAGGAAGACCAAAACACCUUGAUUUGAAAGGGAGGUUAUGACAGAAAUCAAAAAGAAAAGAAAAAGAAAAUUUUGACAAUAGGAGAAUAGAAAAACGUCAGAAGGGAAAAAAAAUUUGGGAAAAGAAAAUAAAAAUAAAAUAAUAUUUAAAUAAAAUAUCCCUUCAACUCCCACUAAUCCACAUCCAACCACCUUAGAAUUUCAGCUCCACCCAAACUCUAUCAGACUACCAAGACAAAAAUUAUCAUCCUUGCUCCCGCAGGGACUCGAACACAAGACCUUUAGGCAAGUUAACUCCUUACCACUCGAACCAGCAAGCUCAUUCUAAUACAAGUGUACCGGAAGUAUAACAUAAGCCCACCCAACAGGGAUAAGACUAGGAUAAAAAAUAUCAUAUUUUUCAAAAGUGAGACUUGAACUCAAGACCUCAAACACACAAUCAGAAUACUUAGCCACUGAAGCAAAUACAUAUUUAUGACAUAAUUCACAGAAACAAGGUUAAAUAAUCAAGGCGUUACAUGAUCUUUAUUGAUGGGCUAGAUAAAAUCCACAAUAUCAGCACAACCAAAAAAUUCGGUUCAAUAAAUUGUCAAUCACCUAGAUAUGAAAACAGUUUAACCAAUUGCAGUGCUUCAGGAAGUGACACUUCCUCAAGUAUAUCUUAGUCAUUCCAUAUUUUUCAACAAUCUUCCCUUUUGACAAUUUGUUGAAUAAAACAUAAACAACACUUGGAGCUAUAUCAUCAGGUAACUUUAUCUCCCCCUUAGCAUUUCCCAUUAUUUCCAAAACUAUCUUAGAAAAUAAUUAAGUAAAUUAACCAUAUGUUGGUGUGGAACUUUGGUGAGGAAAAUCUCAAACACAUAAAAGGAGCUCAAACGGACCAUGAACAACAACUCGAAUAGAAAAACAAAGCAAUAAAACAAGGUUCCAAGGCGUGUAUCAAACAUCUAUCUUUAAGGUUCUAUUUGCUCUACCUAUACUCGGUGUGGAAAUGAGUUUCAAGCAAAUGAACCUCAAAGAUACAAUGAAGCUCGGUGACUAUUUGCGACUUGUAUUGAUGAAAUAGUUCACUAAGCACAAAACAGGGUAUAACAAAAAAAAUAAAUUUCUAUAAAGAAUUUCGGUAGUAAUUCUUUAUAGAAUAAUCUAAUAAUAGUAGAAGAUGGAGGAAUGAUAGAAAAAUCUUUUGAGAAUUUUUUGUAUUUUUUCAACUGAAAUCUCACUCCCAUUUAUAGGAAUACUUAUGUCUCUUAAUAGGGACACAACUUUCGAUAGGUGUCUUUUCUGAAUAAUCCCUUUUUAAAAGAGACAUAAUUAUGCAACUAAUAUCUUAUAAUUAUUCAAGUAAUAUUUCUUGUAUAGUUAUAAUUCUAAGUAAUAUUACUAGUAUAGUUAUAAUUCUUUGUCAAAAAUCAAGUGAUAUAACUCUUGACCAAUAACCAAAAUACAUUAUAUCCUUUUCCUGUUAUAUGGCUCAGAAGAGCUUCCCGUUUACAUGCUUAUAUAAGCAUACAAGUACAUGAAUUGAUGGAUUAUAGAUUUGUACACUUCGUGUGUACUACCCGUGUAUCCAACGAUAUUUUAAAUCGUUCAACAGGCAAAGUUCUGAUAAGAAACAAUAUGAGUUUGAAAUGAACAAUUAUGGGUGUAUACUUGAAUUACAUGGAAAUGAUAUUGAUGAUAAUGAAACAUGAAAUGGGAUGAUACAUGUAUAUGGAACUUGCUUGGUGAUUAUGUUCACCCAUGUUUAUGGAAUAUUACAUGAGAUUCACAUGACUAACAUGUUGAGGAUAUGUGUAUAGGCUUUUGGCUAAAUUGGUUUGGAUAUGUUAUGAAUGCUUACCUUAAAUGUGAAUAAAUGGUAAGUUAAAUUCCAUGUUAUACAAACUUACUAAGCUUAAAUGCUUACUCUAUUUUAUUUUCCAUGUUUUAUAGUAAUUCAGAAGCUCGAUUUGGUUGGAAGUUGGUCGGAGCUACUUCACACUAUCCAUCAGCUUUUUUGGUACAUAUAGUAAACUAAUUUUGGUUAUAAUGGCAUGUAUAGGUUAAUUUGGCCAAUGAUGGUAUACCAAUAUUUUAUUGAAAUUAGCCAUUUGUAUGGCUUGUAUUUGGUAUAUUUUGAUGUAUAUAUACUUGUGGCCUUAUCAUGUUUGAUGUGUGCUUGUUGUGGUUGAAUAUGGGAUAAUUUAUAAGCAUAUUGAUGAUUGGUAUGAGAGAGUGUAUAUUUGGUAAAAAUAUUCAUAUAUGUGUAUUUGGUCAAUUUGGCAAGUUUGAACACUUGGAUAUAUGUGUUGAUAUGUUAUGUAUAAAACUUUUUUUUAGCUUGAUUUGAAUGCCUUGUUAUGACUUGAUGUUGUGUAAGUGUUGUGUUAGGUUGAUGAUAAAUGAGGUAAGAAAUGUGGCUUGGAAAUGACCUAUUUUUGGCCACACAGGCAGAACGGGCGUGUGUCCCCUGUAUAUUAAAUUUGCACAAAAUAGAAUGCUUACACGGCCUAGCACACGUGUGUGUGGAUUGGCCGUGUGACAAGUCAUAGAGCUCAUAAGUUUGGACAUGGGUUGGGAAACGGCAGUGUGUCCCUAUUUUGAAUACCCACAUGGCCUGAGACACGGGCAUGUCUCUUGACUGUGUGAGACACAUGGCCUAGCCAUACGGGUGUGUGUCUCAUGCACCUUUGAAAAUUUUUAAUAUUUUCUGAAAAAUUCUUUGAGUACCUGAUUUAGUCCCGACUUGUUUCUAAUGUGUAUGUUGGGCCUCGAGGGCUCACAUAAGGAACAUUAUGCUUGAUUACGACUGUUUUCGGAUAUGAAUAAUAUCUGUUUAUUUGUUUUGUAAAUUCUGGUAAUGCUCUGUAACCCUAUUUCAGCGAUGAACACGGGUUAGGGGUGUUACAACAACCUAAUGUCGAAAAGGGUGAGAAUCAAUGUCUUUAGGUUAUUGCCUAGAAUGAGUUUGUUAUGUAUGAGGUUAUGCUUGAGGGCGUGCAUGAUUAAGGAUAUAUAGGCGAGAAUGAGGUCUUGAUGACCCAAGAGGUGGAAGACCAUGUCGAGAACUCUACAACCAAUUCCUAGUUUGAUGGUGCAAUAAAGGAGGAUGUGAAAAUUGAUGAGCUCAAAGUAAAGGGUAUUGGUGCUGAUGGUGUGGGCAAAGGCGAUGCCCAAUGCUUGACAAAUUUGACAAGGAGUAAAGUCAGACAUAUAAUAAAAUUUAUUAUUUAUAAAAUAAACUAAAAAAAGAUAGAGAGAAAAGUUUGAAUAUGAUUUAAGUCUUGUUUGUGAGGGUUUUUUUAAAAUAUUUUAUUUAUAAAAGUAUUAUUUUAAUAAAUAAAUUUUAUGUUAGAAAUAAGAGAAAAUGGGUAUUCAUUUAGUAUGCAUAUUUAUCAAAAAAUAAACUUUUAAAUAUUUUUAUUUUUGAAUUUUCAAGAAGUAAAAUUAAAUUGACAGAAUGUGUAAAGUUGAGAGCUAAAUUUGUUGGUUUUUUAGAUUUAAGGCUAAAUUGAUAGAAUCUGUCAACAUUGGAGGGUUAAACUUGUUAUCCAAUAAAAAAGGCCACUGUUAGUGAUUUAACAAAGGAGAGAUCAAAAUAUUAAAUUUCAAUAAUGAUAAUGACUAAAAUAGAAAAUUUUAAACUUGAGUGACCAAAAUAGAAACACACUAAUAAUUGGGUGACUAUUUUAUACUUUGCCCUAGAUUGAAUAAUGGUUACCAAUUUUCGACCCCUUUGUUGGGUGACUAAUAAUUGGCUUGACUUACUUUUGUGCAAUCUAAAGUCUUUCCACUAUGUCGUUUAAAAACAUCAACAAGUGCUUAUCACCUUAUAAUAUAAUAGUCUAAUUUGAGAGAAACUUCAAUAUUGGGAUAAUUUUAUAAUCAAUUGGACAACGAAGCUAUCAGUUUUGUUCUUCAAGGAUAAUUAAGGUCUGGUAUGGAAACAUAAACGAUCCCUAAAUUUCCUGGACUUUGUUGUGCAUUUUAAAGUCUUUCUUUGGGUAAAUUGUAAAAAUAGUCACUCAAUUUUGGUUAAAUUUAUUUUUUUAUCAUUGAAUUACAAGAAGUUACGUUUUAGUCACUAACAGUAUCGAGUUAUAACAUAUUGGUCACUUGUCCAUUAACCGUCGUUACAUCUUUGAAAGUGAUGUGGCACGUUAACUCAAGGGUUAAUAUCUAAAUUGACUCUAAAUUAUAGUUAAAAUAUUCUAUUUGGUCUUUUUACAACUUUUUAAUGAUGAUUCUAAAAUUAUUCAUUAAAAAUACAAGAAAAUGAAAAUUUUCAAAAAUUAUUUAUUUAUUUUUUAAAACAAUAAAAAUAUUUAUUAGAAAUUAUUUAUUUAUUCAUUAAAAAUGCAUUCUUUCAUGAAUCUUUUUACUGUAGCUUUUUAGAAAAUGUCGCGGAUAAUAUUGUUUUUCGUGAUGUUUUCUAAAAAGGUUACAAAAAAAAACAUAGUUUUUAUGAUGUUUUUGCAAAUAGACACAAAAUAGAAGUCCCGAAAAUUAGAAUUCUCAUAGCGAUGACUCAAUCCCUUACCUUUAUUGUUUUAAAAAUAAUUUUUUAAAGAAAUAGGAUCUCAUGCAUAAUUGUUGAUGCACAUUAUAUUUAUGUUAUACCUCUCACAUUCUCAAUGUGUUGUAUUGUUGAACAAGUAAUCUUGUUACUUCUAUUGUGGCAAAUUCAAUGGAGGGAGUUAUCUUCUUAUUUCUACCACAAAAAGUUUCUCAAUUUAUUUCAUUGGGUGAAAAUCUAAUGGCAAUCAACAAAUUAGAUAACAAUUCCCAUGGUACUCGUUGGAUAACCCGGCCAUCUUUUUUUACGGGAUGUAAACUUUUCUAAAUAAUAAGAAUAGAAAAGAAAAGUUUGGGCAUUUCAAUUUAAGUAGCUCACCUCUAAUUGCUUACCUCCAUUAUUUUAGUAUACCUCAAUUAAUGAUUUCCCAAAUCAUUAUAAGAAUUAAUACCUUUCAAGACGAAUGUGUAACAUUUAUAAAACUAUACUUUUCUUAAGACUUAGAUAUAAACUUUCCCCCUAGCUUUUAUAGUUGUUAUAUAGUCGUUGACAAGUCAUGUCUUGAGGCAAUCUAUCAAUUGUCUCUAGACACACUGCACAAUGUCUUAAGAAAGGCCGAUAUGAAUCAGUAUAAGUCAAUAUUGACUGAAACAAGCUAAAACAUACUAGAAUGGUCGAUACGCAUCAAAAUCUUAACCAUACCCUAGACUACAUCGUAUUGGUUGAAGACCAGAAAGAUACGUAUCAAGCGUGUUCUAUGUUGAUAUCUCUUUUAUGUGCUGCUCUAUAUUUUUGUUCUUCUAAUAAGAUUUGUUUGGCUUAUAAAAAAACUAUUUUUAUUAAAAUAAAAUAAAUGAAAACCUUAUGCAAAGAUUGAAAAAUGAGAUCAAAAUUUUCUAUGUUUUGAUAUUGAGCAUUUAAUAAUUUGUAGCUAUAUUCUACAAAGAAAAAAAAUUGCACCAAUACAAUUUCAUAAAAUUAUUACAAAUGAUCAUAAAAAUUUAGCGAAAUUUAAUAUUUCUAAUUGAUAUAAUUGGGAAUGGUUAUGCGAUUAAUAAUAAUCUUUUUGAACUUUGUUUAAUACAUGAUUUAUGCAAAACAAUAUUGGCAACUUAAAUUUCUGCAUGUCUUUUUAGAGCAUAAUAGAUUGGCGGAUUGUAUAGCCAAAGUUGUUCCUAGUAAUCUUAACAGGUUAUCAACUUUUGAAAACCAAGUUGAUCAUGCUUAAUCUUUGUUAGAAGAAAAUACUCAUCCAACAAUGAUUAAUAUAGAUUCCCAUCAACUUUAUUGUAACUAAUUGCUUGAACUUAUUUCUUUUUUUAAAAAAUUCACAAAAUACAAAAAUAACUAUUAAUAAACUUUAUAGCAAAACAAAGCAUCAGUAUAAAUAUUUAUCAAAGACAUUUCUAGAAAGCAAAGCUUAUGUUUAUUUUAGUCAACUUGAUAGCUACCACUUCAUCGAACUCAUUCCAUAUCUCUUAAUAACUUCACUUUGAUCUUCUUUAACUUUGUAACAAUCUCUUUCAUAUGAAGCCUCUCAUUUGGUAACUCAAAACAACAUUCUAAGCCCAGUUGCAAAAUGGAUAAGGCACAAUUCUGGACUUUUAAAUCUUCCCUUCCAAUGGUGCUCAACAACUUGGGAUCUACAGCUUGAUUUAGCGAAGAUGAUUUCGACUCUAUCACCCAACUCUUUAAGCUUCUUUCUCCUUCAAACAUUUCAUCUGUGGGUUUUUUUCUUGUGAUGAUUUCCAUCAAAAGAAUACCAAAGCUAUACACAUCACCUUUUGUCGAAACAAUUCCUUCGAUUCCAUAUUCUGUGUAUCAAUAUAAAAACAACAUUAUGAAUAUUCAAAGAUAUCUUGAUAAUGAAAAAUCCAUAUAAAAUAUACGAAACAUUAUAUGCUUGCAUGUUAUAAUUGAACUGGGAUUUAAUCUAGUUGCUUCCUUAAAAAGUCACAUUUAAUAUGUUUGAAACUCAAAUCUUAACAUAUAUGAUCCCUCUUGUUAUGCACAUGCUACGCUUACAUUGAAAAUGGAAAAAUAAACAUGGAGUCUAGUUAGAAGUAUCACCUGGUGCCAUAUAUCAAUAUGUUGCAAUUGUCAUGGUUUGUAUCAUUGAAACCUCUUCACAUAAGAGUUUGGUGAUGCCAAAAUCACUCAAAUGCGCAACCAUAUCUUUAUCUAAUAGAACAUUGUUGGGUUUUAAAUCACAGUGAACCACGGGUGUUGCAUUGUCGUGAUGGAGAUAUUCCAAUGCAGAUGCAACAUAUAUCAUUAUGUUCAACCUUUGUAGGAUAUCCAUAGAUUUUUUGUUGGAAUGCAACCAUUUAUCAAGACUCCCAUUAGGCAUGAACUCAAGAACCAACGCUCUGAAAUUAAGAUCAUUUGAGCAACUGCUUAUUACUUUGACUAAAUUUCUGUGACGAAUGUUGCGGAGAACAUCACAUUCAACAUCAAAGCUCUUAAAAGCUCAUUCUAACUCUAACUUGAAGAUCUUUACCGUAAUGAUCAUCCCAUCUGGGAGAGUCGCGUGAAAUAUUGAACCAUAACUUCUAUUACCAAGCAACCUACUAUCACUGAAUUUGUUGAAGUUAGCCUGCAAGCUGACAAGAAGCAACAGGAGCUUCCCAAGCCUAGUAGUUCCAGCUGAGGUUCAUGCUACUGAUUUAUUUUGCUACUUUUGAAUGAUAUUUUGUAACUUAGUUAGAUUAAAACUACAUUGUUGAUGUACUUGAUGUAAUUUGUUGAUGUUUGAGCUGAUAAAUCAGCUUUGCAAAGUGUACAAGUUAAGUUUGACAAGUUUCAAUGUACUUAGUGGUAGUAGGUAGUGUUUAGGUGAUUAUUUUAUUUCUCUUUGACCAACUUAUGUCUGGUAUAUGUAUUGGCAUUAUGCCAUUCUUCAAGUUAAUGAAAUAUUCAUCAAAGAAUUCAUCAUUCAAUGCUCUCAUGAUUCAUUGCUUUUCUUUUGUUCUUUAAGCAAAAUUCUAUUUUGUUUACACAGGAAGCAUCAAGCCUUCUAGCUCAAGAAAUUACUUGUUUCAUUCAUUUGUUCCAACAAUUGGUAUCAAGAGCUUAUUUCUUAGUGGACCUGUCAUUUUUAAAAUUUAAAAAAAAAUCAUUUAUUCAUCUGGUUUCUCUCCAACUCCACCAUCAGUGUUCAAUGGUGAAGGCUACCACAUUUGGGUAGUGAAAUUGAAGACCUACCUGUAGGCAUUCGACUUGUGAGAGGUUGUUAACUUUGAUGUUGAACCAGCACCUCUAAGAGUCAAUCCUACAGUGGCUCAGAUCAGGCAGCAUACAAAUGAAAGAACCAAAAGACACAAGGCCAUGUCUUACAUCCAAAAUAGUAUGUUUGAUGUGAUUUUCACAAGGAUCAUGGCUUGUGAGUCACCAAAUUAGGUUUGGGAUAGGUUGAAUGAGGAGUUUCAAGGGACUAAGAGAACAAGAUAGCAACAACUCUUGAAUUUGAGAAGUGACUUUGAAAAUUUAAAGAUAAAAGAGGAGGAAACUGUAAAGUAAUAUUUAGACAGAAUUAUGGCCGUUGUGAACAACAUCAGAUUGCUUGAGGACCAGUUUAGUGAACCAAGAAUUGUAGAGAAGGUUAUCUCAACUUUUCCUGAGAGAUAUGAAGCCAAGAUUUCUUCCCUUGAAGACUCGAGAGAUCUGACUAGUAUCUUUUUGACUAAGUUGAUCAAUGCUCUUUAUGCACAAGAGCAAAGAAGGGUCAGCAGGCAGGAGGAGCAUCAAGAAGGUGCCUUCCAAGCCAAAAGUAGACCUGCCUCGACCUCCUCUGGCUACAAAGGGAGAAAGACCUGGUCUGAUAAGCCAAGAAGAGAUGGAGCAAGAAGAAGAUAUCCACCUUACCCACAUUGUAGAAAGCUCAGUCAUCUAGGAGAAAAUUAUUAGUUUAGGCCUGAUGUGCAGUGCAAAGUCUGUAAAAAGAUGUGCCAUGUUGAGAAAGUCUGUAGAAAUAAAGGCAAGCUGAGACAAAACCAACCUCAAUAGCCAAAAGAAAGAGUAAGUCUUUGCAGUCUCUUACUCAGAUGCCAAAAGAAAAGGCAGAAAAUAAUGGCUGAUAGACAGUGGUUGCACAAACUACAUGACUCCUAAUGUUGUUAUAUUCAAGAACAUUGACAAAAGCUUUAAAACAAUGAGAUAUUGUUGGAUUUACUUCUUGAAGCACAAAUCAAAAGUAGCCCCAGUAUUUUGAAAGUUUAAGGCUGCAGUAGAAACAUUAACAAGUUGCAAGUUGAAGACAUUGAGGUCAGAUAAUAGGACAGAGUACACCUCAGCAAUGUUUCAGAGUUUCUGUGAUGAAGAAGGCAUCAAGCACCAACUUACCAACACCUAGACACCUCAACAGAAUGGUGUUAGUGAAAGAAAUAAUAGAAGCUUGAUGGAUAUGGCAAGAUGUCUAUUGUUUGAGAGAAAUUUUCCCAAAACCUUAAGGGCUGAAGCUAUUAACACUGUUAUUUAUCUUCAAAAUAGGCUACCAACUAAGGCUUUGGUUCAUAAAACUCCAUUUGAUGCUUGGUUUGGGUACAAACCAUCACUUGCUCACCUAAAGGUCUUUGGCUGUAUUUGUUAUACACAUGUUCCUACUGUCAAGAGGGACAAGUUAGCCAAAAAGGCACAACAUGGUAUCCUAGUGGGCUACAGCAGUGUGAAGAAAGGCUAUAGGAUUCUGGAUCAUUCAACCAACAAAGUCGUUGUGAGCAGAGAUGUUGUGUUUAAUGUGAAGUCAGGCUGGAACAAGAAUAAAAAUAAACCAGAAAUAGUUGCUAAAGAUCUGAUGAUAGAUCAGACUGAAGCUGAUUGAAAUGAUCUUGAAAUAGUCAUUAACCAUGAGCCAGUUAGGGGAACCAGACCUUUGAGUAAGAUAUAUGAAAGGGCGGAAGUGGCUAUUGUUGAACCAAGAUACUUUGAAGAAGCUAAAACUCAACAAGGAUGGAAACAGGCUAUGCUCAAUGAAAUGAGCAUGAUUUCCAAGAACCAAACCUGAGAGCUAGUUGCUAGACCAGCCAACAGGAAGAUCAUAGGAGUGAAACGGUUGUUUCGAGCCAAGCAAAAUGCUGAUGAAACUUUGAACAAGCUAAAGGCAAGACUGGUAGUGAAGGGAUUUAGUCAGAAGUAUGGCAUUGACUACUAUGAGACAUUUGCACCAAUAGCCAGGCUUGACACAAUUAGGCUGCUAGUUGCUUUGGCUGUACAGAAGCAGUGGAAAAUUCAUCAACUUGAUGUAAAGUCAAUCUUCCUCAAUGGUUUUCUUAAUGAGGAAAUCUAUGUUGAACAGCCUGAAGGUUUCAAAGUUGUUAGUGAAGAGGACAAAGUGGACAAACUGAAGAAGGCCUCGUAUGGCUUGAAACAAGCAUCAAGAGCCUGGUAUGACAGAAUCAAUAGCUACCUAGCUAGCUCGGGGUUCGAAAGAAGUAUCAGUGAACCAACCUUGUAUGUAAAGAAAAAUGGCAAUGAAACACAGCUUAUAGUGUCUCUAUAUAUUGAUGACUUGCUGGUGACAGAAGAAAGUUAUAAAAUGCUGGCUAAUAUCAAAGAUAAAAUGAAGAAAAUUUUGAGAUGUCUGAUUUGGGAUAAAUGUCCUACUUCCUGGGAAUGGAAGUGUUUUAAACUCAGCAUGGGGUCUUUCUAAGUCAGAAGGCAUUUUUCUUGAAGAUUUUGAACAAGUUCUCCAUGUUGAAUUGUAAAGCAAUAAGUACUCCAGUUGCUGUUGGAGAGAAGCUGUCAAGCCAAGGUGAUUUUGAGAAGGUAGAUAACACAACCUACAGAAGUUUGGUUGGAUGUUUACUCUAUUUGACAGCCACUAGACUAGAUAUCAUGUUUGUUGUAAGUCUGCUAUCUAGAUUCAUGCACUGCUGCAAUGAGAAGCAUUUUCAACCUGCCAAAAAAGUUCUCAGAUACAUCAAAGGUACACUGAGUUUUGGAAUGAUGUUCACCAAGACUGAAAGCUUGAAGCUGCUUGGAUAUGUUGAUAGUGAUUGGGCUAGAUCAAUAGAUGAUAUGAAAAGCACAUCAGGGUAUCUGUUUACCCUUGGUUCAGCAAUUUUUUGUUGGAGUUCAAAGAAGCAAACUGUUGUUGCUCAAUCAACUGCUAAAGCAGAGAAUGUAGCAGCUGCUAGUGCAGCUAACCAAGCCAUUUGGCUAAGAAAGAUCAUGACAGACCUGAAUCUACACCAAAGGGAAGCAACAGAGAUCAAAUGUGACAAUUAAUCUGCUGUUGCAAUUGCAAAGAAUCCAGUGUUCCAUAGGAGAACAAAGCACUUCAAGAUUAAGUUUCAUUUUGUUAGGGAAAUGGAACAAACUCAAGAGGUGAAACUGAUUCAUUGCAGUUCUGAGGAUCAAUUGGCUGAUAUCUUGACAAAGCCCCUUAAUGUAACAAGGUUUGAGCAUUUUAGAGUCAAAUUGAAAGUUUGCAGCAUGCAAGCCAAGGAGGAGUGUUGAAGUUGGCCUGCAUGCUGACAAGAAGCAAUAGGAGCUGCCCGAGCCUAACAGUUCCACCUGAAGUUCAUGCUGCUGAUUUAUUUUGCUACUUUUGAAUGAUAUUUUGUAACUUAGUUAGAUUAGAACUAAGUUGUUGAUGUACUUAAUGUAAUUUGGUUGAUGUUUGAGCUGAUAAAUUAGCUUUGCAAAGUGUACAAGUUAAGUUUAACAAGUUUCAAUAUACUUAGUGGUAGUAGGUAGUGUUUAGGUAAUUAUUUUAUAAUUUUAAAUUAUAUAUAUACAUACAUAUAUUUUUCAUAUUUUUAUAAUUUUAUGUAUAUACACAUACACAUAUAUAUUUUAUAAUUUUUAUUUAUUUCCUUUAUUGUUUCGUUGUUUCGCAUGAUGUUUACUUUUUUAUUUAUGUGCUCAUUUUAUUUCAAAGAUAUUUUAAUUUGACUUGUUUAUUUACUUAUUAUCUUACAUAAUUGAUUCGUCUUUUUAUUUAUCUUUUAUUUGCUAUUGCUCGUGCUAUUUAUGCUUGUAUCAUCGUAUUUAUUAUUGUUUUAUUAUGCAUACCAACAAUGUAAUUUAUUUUCGCAUUUUUUACUAUGACAUCGUGUUUCAUUUUUACUCGAUAUAUCAAAAUUUGUUUUAAAUAAAUAGCUUUUCGUAUUUUCAGAUUCGAAAAAGUCGUACCCUAACUUACGGGGUUUUGAUUUUCCUUGAUAAAUUCAAAUAUACGAAUCUUUUCAAACAUAAGUUUUUUAAACGAUCUCGGGGAUUAACAAAUGAUCGUGUUCUAACUUACAGGACGUGAUCUCUUUUCUAAACCAGAGAUAGUUGAAUAUCUUUUUAAACAAGUAAAUUUUGGCAUUUAUUCUCGUAUCGAGAAUUCAAUACAUUGUGUCCUAACGCAUUGGAUAUGACAUGUUUUCUCGAGAUGAGGGUUUUUCUAAAAAACAAUAAAGGCAAUAUUCAAUGUUUGGAAUUUUGAGAAAUUGGGCCCUAACAUAUUGUGCUUCGAUUUCUUCAUCUGACUUAAACAAUUGAAUAUCCUUUUAAAUUUCAUUGCAUGAGUUUUUUUAAAGGACAACCUCAUUUUUGAGGAUGUGAAAUAUCAUGCCCUAACCCAUUGGGUGUGACAUUUUUUCUCUUCGAAAUGAGAGGGUCUUAACAUGUAAUUUGAUUUAUACAAGUUUUAAAUAAAAGGAUUAUAUUUUAAAUCUCUUCAAAAUCUUCAAUUUUCGACACCAAGACACUAAUUAAUCAACUAGGUACCAAUUUUGGGCGUUACAAGGGUGCUAAUCCUUCCUCGUACAUAAUAGACUCCCGAACCCAUUUUUUAAAUUUCGUGGACCAAAAUCGUUGUUUUAAUAAAAUCAAAUUGUUUAUUAAAAACAACCACUUUUCGAGGUGACCCGAUCACACCUCAUAAAAAAAGAUUGGUGGUGACUCCCACGUUCAUUUUUCAUUUUCAAAACCCAAGUCGACCCCAUUUACAAAAAAAUGGUUUCGACAGCUUGGCCCAAAUACAUGUCUAAAAAAUCAAUAGUAUCAAUACCCUUAACAAAGUAUCGGUACCUUUCACAAAAGUAUUAAUACCACUUUAAGGUUCGAUGUUUUGAAAAUUAAAGAAAAAUUACCUGAAUGUUGAUACCAGCCCCAAGGAAUCGGUACCUCAUAGCAAGUAUCGAUACAUUUCUUAUGGUACAGAUACUUUAGGCUUUAAUAUGGGUUGAGUCAGUUCGAGCCUGAGUUUAACAUGAUGUGGGUUGGGUUUGGACAAAAAUUUAGGCCUAUUUUUUGGGCCGAGCUUAGGCCUAACAAUCAAGCCUAAAGUUUUGUUAGGGCCCAUCCCGAACUCGGCCCGACCCGGCCCAUGGAGAACUCCAAGUAUAAUGACUUGUAUAUAGAGGUGAUUAUGGGCCGGGCCGGGCCCAAAAAAAUUUUAUGCCUAUUUUCUAGGCCCGGUCUCAGCCCGACCGGAAAUAUGUGCCUAAAAAUUUGUCCAAGCCCGGCCCGAAAGAAAAUUGUUAAGCCCGAGCCCGGCCCAUCCCGACCCAUAUUUGAUUAAAAAUUAAAAAAUAUUUAAUAUAUAAUUUGGAUUAAAGUCCAAAAAAUAUAUAUUUAAUAAAAAGUAUAUUUGAUUAAAAAUAAAAAUAAAAAUAUAUAUUUAAUAUAUAAUUCGGGCUGGGCUGGGCCGGGCCGGGCCAAAAAAGUCUUACCCGAGGCCUGACCCGUUUUCUAAAUGGGCUUCAUUUUUUGCCCAAACCCAUAUUUCAGGCCUAUAUUUUUACCCGAACCCUCCUAUUUUUUAGGCGGACCGUCGGGCCGGGCCGGGUAGCCCAACCCAUGAUCACCUCUACUUGUAUAGCUCUUCAGGUUUAUAAAAAAAAGGUCAUUUUAGCAUUCUAUUUAAUUUUUUAUAUCUUUUAGCCUUUAAACUUGUUAUGUUGGUCAAAUCACCUCAAAACGGAUUGAAAAGUCCACUUGUAUGUCACAUCAACAAAUUAAUUUUUUAAAAUUUAAAAAUUCAAAACAAUUAUAAAAAUUAUUUUAAAAAAUUUUAAAAAUUAUUUUUUUAAAAAAAAUUGAAAUUUAUUUAAUUGCUAAUAUGGCAUACAUUUAUGCAUGUCAUGUUAGCAAAGUUAACGAACAUUAAUUUUUCCAUCCAUUUUUGGAGUGAUUUCACAAACAAUGCAAGUUUAAGGGCUAAAAAAGUGAAAAAUUAAAUAGUGAACUAAAAUGAUUUUUUUUAUAAAGUUGAAGGGAUAAAUAAAUCAUUAUGCCUAAAGUAAAUAAAGCACCAUUAACAAGAUAUUUAACAUUAUAUUAGGUGUCAUACACGCUUCCAAGUCGAGUUGGAAAUUAAAGAAUAGUUCUCUCAUCAUUUUCUGGUAGUUUAUUAGUUUAUUUUUCAAUAUUCUUUUGAAAAUUAAUAUAUUCAUUAACAAAUGGUUAGCAUAUAUUACCUUCAAAGUGGUCCCCACCAAUAUAGAUGUAUUGAAGCAUACUCAAAUUCCCAAUUUCUAUUGGUAGGCUCCCCUCCAUUUGGUUAUACGAUACAGAUGACAUUUGUAACUCUUUGCACUUGAAUAGACUGGCAGGAAUUCUACCCGAGAGCAGGUUAAGACUCAAAGCAAAUUCUUUCUAAUUUGGAAGAUGAUCGAACAUAUCUUCUGGGAUAUGACAACUGAGAUUAUUGAAAUUGAAAUCGAUGCCUUCUAGCAAAAGAAAAUCUCUCGUGGAAUAGAGGGUAUGAAACUAGAGAGCAUAUUAUUGUUUAGAUCAAUCUUUUGCAACUAAGAUAUAUUAAAGAUGGAGGAGGGUAUUGAACCUGAAAUCCAGUUUUUAGACAAGACCAAGAUCUGUAGCUUUGACAAAUAGCCUAAAGAGAAUGGAAUAGCACCUUUGAAGUUGUUGUGGUACAAAAACAAUCUUCGAAGUGCAGUUAAAUGAUCUCAACCAUGAUGGGAUUUCUCCACUGAAGGAGUUGUUACCAAAGCUUAAAUAUUUCAGCCGAUGCAAUUUGGAUAACUGGACAAGUAAUCUGCCGUAGAAACUAUAUUACCUGUCCAGUUAUCCAAAUUGCAUCGGCUGAAAUAUUUAAGCUUUGGUAACAACUCCAAUUUCCCAAGUGAUGUGGAAGGGUGCCUACGAGUCCCAACUCAAUAAGGUUUAGAGCUGUGACUCUACGGUGCUUGGAUCCACAACUUACAGGCACUACAGCAAAACAGGUUUUUAGCCACACUUUUAGCGGCAUUUGGAUAAAAAACGCCGCUAUAGAUCGAUUAUUAGCGGCGCUUUCUGAAAAACGCUGCUAUAGAUCGAGCAUUAGCGGCACAUUUUGAAAAACGACGCUAUAGGUCGAACAUUAGCGGCGCUUUUUGAUAACACCGUAAAAAAUUAAACACAACGCAGUCGUUUUGUGUUAAGCUUUUGUGGCAUUAGUGGCACUUUUUGAAAAACGCCGCUACAUAUCGAGCAUUAGUGGCGUUUUUUGAAAAACGCCGCUAUAGAUCGAGCAUUAGCGGCGCUUUUUGAAAAACGCCGCUAUAGAUCGAGCAUUAGCGGCGCUUUUUGAAAAACGCCGCAAAAAAAAUUAAACACAACGCCAUCGUUUUGUGUUAACCUUUAGUGGCAUUAGAGGCGUUUUUUGGAAAAUACCGCUAUAUAUUGAGCAUUAGCGGCGCUUUUAGAAAAAUGCCGCAAAAAAUUUAAGCACAACACCAUCGUUUUAUGUUGAGUUUUAGUGGCAUUAGCGGCGCUUUUAGUAAAACGUCGCUAGAGAUGGAGCAUUAGCGGCGCGUUUUGAAAAACGCCGCUAUAGAUCGAGCUUUAGCGUCGCUUUAUCGAAAAUGUCGCAAAGAGCAUUUUAUCUAUUUUAACUGGUUUAUUUAUAUUAAUUAAAAUACAGUUUUAUUUUUAAUUGAAUAUUUAAAUUCUUCAAAAAAAUAAUAACACGUAGAAAAAUUUUGAAAGUAAAAAUAUAGAAAAGUAUUUGUUAAAAAUAAAAAAUAAAAUACCAUUAUUUAAAAUAAUUUUAAAGUUUUUUGGGUACAUGACUGAUUGUUUUUUAAUUUAUAUAUUAAAUAAUUUCUUAUAUAAUCAUAAAAGAGAUAGUAUUAAUUUUAAAAUAUUGAAUUAAUUAUCAUUAUAGUUUAGAGUUUAGGGUAUAAGGCUUAGGAUUUAAGAUUUAAGGUUUAGGAGUUAUUAUUUUAAGGUUUAUGGAUUAUGGGUGUAGGGAUUAUGAUUUAAGGUUUAGGGGUUGGGGUUUAAAGUUUAGGGGUUAAGGGUUAUGGGUUUAUGUUUUAUGUUUUAUGAUUUAGGGGUUAAGGGAUAGGGGUUUAGGGUUUGUAUUUAAAAAUAUUUAAUCUAAACCAUUUGAUAUAUUUAAAUAUUAGAUUUAAAAAAGAACAUUGAUAAAUAAAUAAAAGUAACAUAUCUAUAUGAAUAGUUAAUUAUCUAUUUUGGAUAGAACCAAAUUAUAACAAAUAAAAAUAAAAUAUAAAAACUAAAAUCAUUCCACAUCGAACAUCUAGCAAAAUAGUUAGCAGAAUAAUAUAAAAUUAUUAUUAACGUCUCAAUUUUUAAUAGAAAUUUGAUAUGUGAAAGAUUGGUUGCUUACAUUAGAUAAUUUUAACUUAAUAAUUAAUUACAGUCAUUUUAUUAUUUGUUUUCUUAUUAAAAUAUACCAUAUUUAUUUUGACAGUGAAAUCGCCGCAAAAGGUAAGCAAUAACGACAUUUUUAAUAAUAAUAAAAUUAUUUCACACGCCUUUUUAUCCCAAAAUUUCCCCAGGAACCCCUAAUUUUUCCCUCCUAAAAUCCUUGAAGUGUUUCUCUCUGCCACCACCAUCUUCAUCAUCAUCUUCCCCUCUCUCCCUCUUUUUGCAUACAUCUCAGAAGAGGAAAAAGAAAAAAAGGUAAAGAGAAAAACAACGCAAAUGGAAGAACCUCAAAACGGAAACGGAAAGUUGAAUACUAUCGCAGAGGAAGAGGAGGAGCCGGUUAUAGGACCAGGACCCGCCCCUCGAGCUCAACCGAAGCGCCCGCUCCAGUUUGAACAAACAUAUCUCGAUUCCCUACCUUCAACUAACAUGUAACUUUCUUCUUCUUCUUCUUCUCACUUCAGUAAUUAUUUAUUUAUUGGAAUUUUGUCGCUUUCUCAUGGUUUCCGUAGGGUUUAAUGAAAUUAUCUUCUUUGCUUUGGAGUUUAGGGUUUUGAAUUCAAGCUUCAGCCUUUUUUCAUUUUGUUUUUUUAAGUGAAAAAAGAAGCAAGGAGCAAAGGAACCGACAAAAUAAACCUUAAUUUCUUUGUACUGAAGUUGCGAAUAAAGAGCUCCAAGAGCUCAUGAUGUAUGCCUCUUUUUUUUGUGUGUGUGAUUUCUAGGUAUGAGAAAAACUAUAUGCAUCGAGAUGUAGUUACUUAUGUUGCUGUAUCGUCUGCAGAUUUUUUUCAUCACUGGAAAUGUUGAUGGUAAGCUUUAUGAUGUCAAUAUUUAUAAAACAAUAUCUGAAAGUCCCAAUAUUGUAUUGAUAAAAGAAAGUGUCAUUAUCUAAAGUCUGCUUUAAGUGUAUAUAUGCUUCUUUUCUCAUUCGGGUUUUUGGUUUAAAUUUUAUCAGUAAUAUUUGAGGCUUUAACAGUGAAUGGGAUUUUGGUACUGGCUUAUAGAUUGCUUGUCUUCAUUUUAUUUAUUUAUUUUUACUAGCGCAUUUGAAAUUUUGGAAGAGGAAAGUGUUGCGGAAGCGACGAUAAUAUUAAUAACAAUAUUAUCAGAAAUAUUUAGAUAAUUAUUAUGCCAACAAUUAUACUAAGAAAAUCCCCAGUUAAAUUGGAGGGGUCACAAAUGGUCCCGCUUAAAACCCAACAACUAGACAGAACUCACUUAGAUAUUUAUAGCAAUAAUAACUAAAUAAAUAUAACCAACAUAAAGCUAUUAAAUAUAAGCAAACAAAUAGGAAAUAAAAUACCAGAGAUUUAACGAGGUUUUGGCCAAUUUAGCUUACGUCCUCGGACACUACCAAUUUAAUAUUUCUUCUAGAAAUAUUACAAAGGAGAAGAUUUUGGGAUGAUACAACCAAAGGGGGAGGGGUUCUAUAUAUAACAAACCAAACCCCCUCCCUUUCUAUCUUUUCCUAAUGUGGGAUAUUGCCAAUAUUCAACAAAUCUCCACCUUGGCGAUAUUCCACAUCUUCGAACAUCUUCUCAUAACACUAACUUCAAUAGUGUCUUCAAAUUUGCGCCAACGACGCCAUAUCAAAUGUGUCGGACAUUGAUCAAGUCUAAACAAUGUUCAAACUUGGCCCUUGUAACCACCUUAGUCAGCAUAUCUGCAGGAUUCUCCGUAGUGUGAAUCUUUUGGAGAAGUAUCUCCUCUUCUUCGAGAAUUUCCCGCACAAAGUGAUAGCGAACGUCUAUGUGCUUCGUUCGUGCAUGAAAAACUUGAUUCUUUGCUAAAUGAAUAGCACUCUGACUGUCAGAAUAUACCUUAAGUUGUUUCUGACCAACUUCCAAGUCUUUAAGCAAUCCAUGAAGCCAAAUUGCUUCCUUCACAGCCUCUGUAAUUGCCAUAUACUCUGCCUCUGUUGUAGACAAAGCCACCGUGGACUGUAAGGUAGAUUUCCAACUAACUGGCGCUUUCGCUAAAGUAAACAAAUAGCCAGUUGUAGACCGUCGCUUAUCCAAAUCACCUGCAUAAUCAGAAUCACAAUAUCCAACUAUGCAUUGACCAAAUGAUUCAUCCUGCUCGAAUGCCAAUCCGACAUCUAUGGUAUUUUGGAGAUACCGCAGAAUCCAUUUCACAGCUUGCCAAUGACCCCUGCCCGGAUCAUGCAUGUACCUGCUAACAACACUAACAGCCUGUGAAAUAUCUGGUCUUGUACAUACCAUUGCGUACAUCAAGCUUCCAACUGCAUUUGCAUAUGGGACUUUUGCCAUGUACUCUCGUUCUUCCUUAGUCGUUGGAGAUAACUGGUUACUUAGUUUAAAAUGAGGAGCAACUGGGGUACUUACAGGUUUUGUACCUUCAGACAUACCGAAACGUUGUAGUACCUUCUCCAAAUACUGUUUUUGUGACAGCCAAAGUUUGCCCCUCUUUCUAUCCCGAGUUAUUUCCAUGCCGAGAAUCUUCUUAGCUUCCCCUAAAUCCUUCAUCUCAAACUCUUUACUCAACUGAGCCUUCAGUCUAUCAAUCUCCAUUUGGCUCUUUGCUGCAAUCAGCAUAUCAUCAACAUACAAGAGUAAGUAGAUGUAGGAACUAUCUUGAAGCUUGCGCAAAUACACACAAUGAUCGUAUUUGCUUCUUUUGUACUUCUGGUCCUUCAUGAACCUGUCAAAUCGUUUGUACCAUUGUCUCCGAGAUUGUUUCAAUCCGUACAACGAUUUGCUAAGUUUACACACCCAAUUUUCUUUACCAGCAACCCUGUAUCCAUCUGGCUGAGUCAUAUAGAUUUCCUCCUUCAAAUCACCGUGUAGAAACGUGGUCUUCACAUCAAGUUGAGCUAGCUCCAAAUUCAACUGCGCUACCAAGGCCAACAAAAUUCUAAUGGAGGAAUGUUUAACAACUGGAGAAAAUACCUCAUUAUAGUCAAUUCCCUCCUUCUGAGCGUAGCCUUUAGCCACUAACCUUGCCUUGUAACGAACAUCUUCUUUGUCGGGAAAUCCUUCUUUCUUUGCAAAUACCCAUUUGCAACCAAUCGCCUUCUUCCCUUUUGGUAGUUGUGCCAACUUCCACGUCUUGUUUUUCUCUAGAGAUUGCAUUUCCUCUUCCAUUGCACCUAACCAUCUAUUAUUCUCUAAACUCUGAAUGGCUUCGGUGUAAGUGGAUGGAAUAUUAUCAACAACUGGAAAUGCAUAAGCUACCAUGUCAGUGAAACGAGCUGGUUUCUGAAUUUCUCGUCUCUGCCUUCUGACUGCAAUUGGCUCUGAUUGCUGUUGAGGUUCUUGGGUAGAAACCUCUUCCUCAUCUGACUCUGCAUCUGCCAAUGAAGAAUCACUAGUGGUACCUUCUGCUGGAAUUACCACACUCUGCUUAAACUCCACCUGCUGCGGAGUACACUCCACCUGCUGCGAAGUACUACUCACUCCUUCUGGAUUUACCUUAUUUAACAUGGCAGAUUCAUCAAAGGUAACAUCCCUACUGAUUAUCGUCUUCUUUGCCUCUAGACACCACAAACGAUACCCCUUAACACCAGCAUUGAAGCCCAUGAAUAGAGCCUUCUUUGCUCUUGGAUCUAACUUUGAUUCUUUCACAUGAUAAUAUGCAAUAGAACCAAAAAUACGCAAGGUGUCAUAAUCAGUAGCAGGUUUUCCAUACCAUUUCUCCAAAGGAGUCUUGCCAUUUAUAGCAGAUGAUGGCAAAUGAUUGAUGAGAUGUUGAGCGUACGUCACAGCCUCAGCCCAAAACUUUCUAUCUAAUCCAGCAUUAGAUAACAUACAUCAAACUUUCUCCACAAGCGUUCGAUUCAUACGCUCUGCCACCCCAUUCUGUUGCGGUGUUCCACCUACGGUGAAGUGCCUUACUAUGCCACAAUCUUGGCAUAUCUUCAGGAAUGGAUCGCUUUUAUAUUCUCCACCAUUGUCUGAUCGGAGAACCUUAAUCUUCCUUCCUGUCUGAUUUUCAAUUUUAGUUUUCCACUUAAGGAAAACUUCAAGCACCUCAUCUUUGUUCUUCAUAGGAAACACCCAAACUCGUCUGGAAAAAUCAUCAAUAAAGGUGACAAAAUAACGUCUUCCUCCAAGUGAUGGAGUCUUGGACGGUCCCCAUACAUCAAAAUGCACAUAAUCCAGAAUACCUUUAGUAUUGUGAAUCCCAGUGCCAAAUUUCACCCUUCGUUGUUUUCCCAGAACACAAUGCUCGCAAAAUUCAAGUUUGCAAGUCUUUGUACCUUUCAAUAAUCCUUGCUUGGCUAGAGUUUGCAAGGAUUUUUCACCAGCAUGGCCCAAACGCAUAUGCCACAGCUGUGUUGCCUCAACGUCCUUCUUGGUACUCGAAAUUGCUGCUGCUGUUGUCCCAACCACUGUACUACCUUGGUAGUAAUACAGAUUGUUCUUUCUUAUGCCUUUCAACAUCACCAAUGCUCCUGAAGUUGCUUUAAGAACUCCAUCUCGUAUUGUCACAACUAGGCCUUUAGAUUCUAACGACCCCAAAGAGAUGAGAUUCUUCUUCAACUUUGGGACAUAUCGUACAUCCCGCAAAAUUCUAGUAGAUCCAUCAUGACUCCUCAGUUUAAUUGAACCUAUCCCGGCUAUUUUACAUGUGUUAUCAUUACCCAUGUAAACAACCCCUUCAUCUAGUUUUUGAAAUUCAAAGAACCAUUCCCGAAUGGGACACAUAUGAUAGGAACAACCAGAAUCCAUGAUCCACUCAUCUGCAUAUAAUGUUGAAGAUGUCAUACUAAGAGAAAAGUCUGACUCUGCUUCACUAUUGCAUUCUGCAACAUUUGCAUCUUGCGGAGUCUUCCCUUUUUUCUUCAAUUUUGGACAAUCUUUCUUCCAAUAUCCUUUUUCUUUGCAAAAGGAACAUUCAUCUUUGGCAACAGCUCGACCUUUGGACUUUCUUCUCUUUCCAUUAGACUGACUUUGCUGACGACCUCUUGUUACCAAUGCUUCCACUGCUGCUUCACCUGAACCUUUCAACUUAUCCUUUCGGCGUAGUUCAUAGCUAUACAAUGCAGCAGUUACUUCAUUGAAAGUUACUUCCGAUUUUCCAUGAAGUAGAGUAGUUUCAAGGUACUCAAACUCCUCAGGAAGCGAUCCCAACAACAUUAACGCCAAGUCUUCGUCUUCAAAAGUCACAUCCAAAUUCAACAAAUCAGCCACCAGCUGAUUAAAAUUGGUAAUGUGCUCGUUCAUCGUGGUACCAGGAACAUAAUUGAAACGAAACAGUCUUUUCUUCAUAUGCAACUUAUUUUGACUGUUCUUCUUCAAGAAUUUCUCCUCCAAUGCUUUCCACAAUUUACUUGCAGAAGUCUCUUUACUGAAUGUAUACUUCUGCUCUCUGGAAAGACAUGAUCGAAUUGUACCACAUGCCAAUCAGUUGAUGGUCUUCCAUUCUUUAUCAUCAACCCCUUCUGGUUUUUCUUCCUCAAUGGCAAUAUCUAGACCCUGUUGAAAGAGGGCAUCUAGAAGCUCACUUUGCCACAUGCCAAAAUGACCUGUUCCAUCAAAAAUUUCCACUACAAAUCUCGUAUUUGCAGUUCCAAUCCUCGGCAAAAUGUACGAAGUGGAAGUUGUUGAUAUGGAUGGUUUUUCUUCUGUCAUUUUUGCCAUAGCUUCUACUUAAUAGCCACCAAAUGCAGAAUACCCACAAGCUUUAGGAAAUGUUUCUGAUGUGUAAGAUCAGACUAAGCUGCAAACACAGAGCAUACUACAAAACCUUGGCUCUGAUACCAAUUGUUGCGGAAGCGACGAUAAUAUUAAUAACAAUAUUAUCAGAAAUAUUUAGAUAAUUAUUAUGCCAACAAUUAUACUAAGAAAAUCCCCAGUUAAAUUGGAGGGGUCACAAAUGGUCCCGCUUAAAACCCAACAACUAGACAGAACUCACUUAGAUAUUUAUAGCAAUAAUAACUAAAUAAAUAUAACCAACAUAAAGCUAUUAAAUAUAAGCAAACAAAUAGGAAAUAAAAUACCAGAGAUUUAACGAGGUUCGGCCAAUUUAGCUUACGUCCUCGGACACUACCAAUUUAAUAUUUCUUCUAGAAAUAUUACAAAGGAGAAGAUUUUGGGAUGAUACAACCAAAGGGGGAGGGGUUCUAUAUAUAACAAACCAAACCCCCUCCCUUUCUAUCUUUUCCUAAUGUUGGAUAUUGCCAAUAUUCAACAGAAAGCAGUUCGGAUUGAGUUUGCAAAGCAUUUUAGAUCCCACCUGGAUCCCAUUGAAGGUCUCUCGGUGAGUUUUCCCUCCUUAUUUCCCAUAUGCAUAUUUUAUUGACUGCUAUGGAAGGCUUAAGUGAAAGUUGGUGUUAUUGCGAUAAUUAACACCAGCUAUUGUGAAUUACUUAGUUAAUUUCUGAUCUCCUGUCUAAUUACAUUUGUCACUGCUUCUUUUUAAUAGCGGAUUUUUAUUUCAUUGACAAUGAGCCCAUGAUUGCUUUAGAUUGCUAGUCCACCUAGAUCUUGCACAGGCUAUUUGUUAUCUUCUUUCAUCCAGUGAAAUUUUGUUUCUGUUGAUGUUCUGAUUUUUAUCUUCACCCCAUGCAAUCUAAGUUGCAAGAACAUCGUUGCUGUUGAUGUUUUUGUUUCUCUCGAUUAGUUGUUGCUGUGAAUCUGAUUUGAAAGGUAUGCAAAAGCUGUUAAGACUUAGGAUUGAUGACAGUGAUAUAAUUGUUUAUGAAAGAAAAUUGGUGUGAUAUCCUUAACCGGUUCUAUCAUGAAAAUAAUAGUUAUCCUACUUGAUUUUGCUCAUGGCGAAAAGGUAGUUAUAUUGCAGCAGAGUCAUGAAACUUAGGCAGUAACAAGAUGAUCCAUAAAGAAUAAAGCAGAAUAGCACAUAUACAUUUUCAUUUAAUUGAACAUAGGUGCAAUGGUGCAGCUUUACAUGCAUGAUAAUAUAACGCAAAUAUAAUAGAAGGUUGGGGUCAUAAUGGCACAAUGUUUGGAUUUCUGUUUAGUUUUUUUUACCAGAAAUUUUCGGUGUGAGAGUGACCUUAGCGUUGGAAAGGUAAAUAAUUGGAAAACUUAAGGUAAUUUUUGGGGGUUUUUUAAUAAAAAAAGAAAAAGUAAGAGUGUAUGAGAAUAUGAUGUGAAGACAUUUUUAGGAUCAUGAAUAACAUGAUCUUUUAAUGCUAGAAGAGCUGAUUGAUCUGUAAGUAUGGUGGUUAAUUUCAUCAAGAAAGUAGGCAUAGAAAAAUGGAAGAUGAUAAGAAGAGCUAAGUUGAGGAAAGUAUUCCCCAUUUGAAUUUGGGUGUUUAUGAAGCUACCAACAAAGGCAGAACUAAGAUUGCUAGACAGAUAAUUGAAUGACCACACAACUUCUUUUACAUAAUAUGUGUAUAUAUAAAGGGAGUUUAUGUUGCAAUUUCUUUUUGCGAGAAUGCAAAUGCUUUUAAUGCGAUUUACGUAUAAACUAUGGAAUUUAUUAUAGGAUGUGAUAAUAUAAUUAUGUAAUUAUUGCUUAAGAAACUUCUUUCUAAAUUUCUUUUUAUUCUUAAGAAAAUUACAGUAUUAAACUUUACAUAGAAAAACUAAAUAGUAUUGUCGUUAAAUUGCACUUGUACAAAGGUUACAACUUUUUCAUUAAAUUAUUUUAGAUUACUGAAAUUAUUAGAUAAGAAUGAUAAAAUUAUAUAUCAAAUACAAAAGUAUAUAGAGUGACAACUGAACAGUCACUUCGAAGAAUAUACACAACCCUACCGCUUGCUUAACUAGCGGCAUCUAAACACUAAUAAAUUUUUGUUUCUAUUGACUAAAAAUUUUUUGAAUAAAAAAGAUAUUGACUAAAAAUUAAAAUAAACCAUGAAAUUUCUUUGAGGUUGAAAGAUUUUAUUUUAAAUUUUUUUUUGAAUAAUAAUUUAUUUGGUCUUUUAUUUAUUUUUUAUUUUUGUAAUCUUUAAAUUUACGUUAUUUGUCAAAUUACUCCAAAACAAAUGGAAAAGUUAACUUUUGUUAACUUUGCUAAUGUGGCAUACACGUGGUUUGUCACGUGAAUGCCAAGUUAGCAAUUUUUUUAAAAAUUUAAAAAGUAAAAAUUAUUAAAUUAUUUUAAAAUUUAUUAAAUUUUUUAGAAUAUGUAAAAAUAUAAUUAAUUGCUAAUGUGACAAUUCACAUGUAUGUCACAUCAAUAAAAUUAAUAAAUACUAAUUUUUUUAUCUAUUUUAGGUGAUUUGACAAACAAUACAAUUUCAAGAGUUAAAAAGAGAUAAAUAAUUAAAUAGAGAGCUAAAGUAUAAAGUCUUUCCACUUUGUUGCUUUAGAAAUGAUUGAAAAUUUUAUAUUAUUUAAAUAGAAAACAAACAAUCUUCUAAUUAUUAAUUAAAAUAUAAUUUAUUUAAAUCAUUUAAUUAAUUUUUAAUUAAAUAUUUUUCUUAAUCUAAUUUUAGUUUCGUUACAAUCACGACAAUUUCACCAUAAAAGAAUCUAUAAAAAAAUAUAUUUAAUUUCUUUAUUCCGGAUAAGUAAUGAUUAAUUAAUUUAAUCUCAAUUUUAAAAUUUAAUUAUUUAAUUAUAAUUAAUUAAACAAUAAUUUUAAAAAUCUUAAAGUAAUUCUCAAGUCAUUUCUAUUCAUUUUUGUUCAUUUCUAUCCAUUUAAUUUUAUAUACAAUUUAUUUUUUAUUUCAACCAGCUAACUAUUUAAUAACUGUAAAAUACAACGUAGAGAUCAAUAUAUGGAAAUAUAAAUUUUAAAUUUUAAAUAUUUUUUGUUAUAUAAAUUAUUAUUUGAAGUAUGAAAUGUUAUUUUCUUAGCAAAGAGACUAGUGUUGGGAACAUAUCCACUCACUAAUUUUUCGUGACUGUUAUAAAUUGAAGGGACAACUAUAAAAAUAGUCACUCAAUUAUCAUAUUUCUAUUUUGGUCACUCGAGUUUAAAAUUUUCUAUUUUAGUCACUAAUGUUAUCAAAAUUUAAUAUUUUGGUCAUUCUUCCAUUAAAUCACUAGUAGUGGUCUUUUUUUAUUGGAAUAAUAACAAAUUUAACCCUCUAAUAUUUAUAGAUUUCAUCAAUUUAGCCUUAAAUCUAAAAAAUUCAACAUUUAUAUUAAUAUUUAUAGAUUCUAUCAAUAUUAAUAAAUCAUUUUUAAUGAAUUUUACAUUUUUGAAAUUAUUUUAAUUUUAAUCUAGUUUAGCUAACUUGAGUGUUAAUUUUUGAAACUGUUAAAAUUUCUAAAUGUUACUAUUAUUGAUGAAUAAUUGAUGAAAUAAGUAUUACUUGAUUAGAUUUUUCUACUUAGAUAUGAAAAAGGAUUAAUUGUCAAUUAUCAAUUCCAAAUAAAAAAAUUAUUGAUAUUUUCUAUUAUGAAAAACCAUUCUCAAUGUGUUGUAUCGUUGAACAAGUAAUUUUUACUUCUAUUGUGGCAAAUUCAACGGAGGGAGUUAUCUUCUUAUUUCUACCGUAAAAAGUUUCUCAAUAUAUUCCAUUGGGUGAAAAUUUUGAGUUAGAUAAUUAGAGUGCUUCAAAAUCUCAUGGCAAUCAACAAAUUAUGUGAAUGUGUGUGAAAAUAGGAAGGAUAUUAGUCUUAAGCAAACAAAAGUUUAGAUGACAAUUCCCAUGAUACUCGUUGGAUAAUUCGGUCAUCUUUUUUAUGGAAUGUAAACUUUUCUAAAUGAAAGGAAAGGAAAGCUUGGGCAAUUCAAUUUAAGUAGUUCACUUCUAAUUGCCUAUCUCCACUACUUUAGUAUACUUCAAUCAAUAAUUUCUCAAAUUACUAUAAGAAUUAAUACCUUUCAAGGAGAGGGUAUAACAUUUACAACACUAUCUUUUUCUUAAGGCUUAGAUAUAACCUUUCCCUCUAGCUUUUAUAGUUGUUAUAUAGUCGUUGGCAAGUCAUGUCUCGAGACAAUCUAUUAAUUGUCUCUAGACACACUGCACAAUAUCUCAAGACAAGUAGCUCCUAUCAAUCGGUACAAGCUAGUACGAACUAGUAUAAGUUAGUAUUGACUGAAAUGAGCUAAAACAUACCGUAAUGGUCGAAACACAUCAAAAUCUUAAUUGUCGAAACCUUUUUAUUUUUGUAAAAGGAUCGACUUGGAUUUUGAAAAACGAAAACGAAUAUGGGAGUCACCACCAAUCAUUUUUGAUGAGAUGUGAUCAGAUCACCUUGAAAAGUGGUUGUUUUUAAUAAACGAUUUGAUUUAUUAAAACAACGAUUUUGGUCCACAAAAUUUAGAAAGAUGGGUUUGGGAGUCGGUUAUGUACGAGGAAAGAUUAGCAUCCUCGUAAUGCCUAAAAUUGGUACCUAAUUUAUUACUUAGUGUCUUAGUGUCGAAAAUUAAUAAUUUUGAAGAGAUUUAAAAUAUGAUCCUUUGUUAAAAAUUAAAUUUUUUCGAGAAAGGGGCAUAUUUCACGUUAAUCAAGAUAGAGAAUUACGUCCCGUAAGUUAAGACACAAUGUCUUAAACCCCGAUACGAGAAUGAAUGCUGAAAAAUUUAUUUAUUUGAAAGAUAUUCAAUUAUCUCGAUUUUAGAAAAGGAAUUAUGUUCUGUAAGUUAGAAUACGAUUUUUUUAUUAAUUCUCGAGAUUGUUAAAAAACUUUAUGUUAAAAAAAGGUUAUUACAUUUGGAUUUAUCGAGAAAAUCAAAACCUUGUAAGUUAAUGAACGACUUUUCGAAUUUCAAAAUGCGAAAUAUUGCUUAUUACAAAAUAUGUAUUGGGUAAUGAUUAAUGUAAUAUGAAUUGGUAGAAAUAAAGUACGGUGUUAAUACGCAUAACAAAAUAAUAAGUGCGUUAAUGUGAAUGACAAUAUGGAGAAUAAAAUAAAAUAAACAAGCCAAAAAAAAAUAAGGAUAACGAACUAAAAAUUUAAAGCUAAAGACCUAAUAUUAUAGAAAUAAAUAAAUAUUGUAUAAAAAUUUAAGAAUAAUAAUAUUAAUAAUAAUGAUAAUGAUAAUAAUAAUAAAAUUUAAAGUUUUUUUAAAUUAUAUAAAAAGACAUAAAUAAAUUGAUGAUAAAAUAAAUGUAUAUAAAAUAUUUACGUAAAUAAAUAUAUAAAAAAAUAUAAUAGAAAUAAUAAUGCAAAACUCAUUAAUUUAAUAAUAUGGUAAUAAUAACGAGUAAAUAAAUAAAAUGGGGAAAAUAAUAAUAGUAAUAAUAUUAAAUUAAUUAAAUAAUAAAAUAGCAAAAAAACAAAAAAACGACUAAAUCGAAGCUUAAAAUAAAAAUUUGGGGCAAAUCAAAAAUAAAUAAGAAAGAAAAGGACCAAGUUGAAUGCGCAAAUAAUAAGGAUGAACCAAAUGAGAAAUAAUCCCCACCCUCCAAGAUGGCGGCCAAAAGGCCAAAAAAUUCUCUUUUUCGUGCAAUCAGAGAAAGAUAAACCUUCUUUGUGUUCUUUAUUUAUGUGUAUAUAUGUAAAUAUAGCUUCGAAAAAAAAGGAAGAAAAUAAAAUAAAAAUAAUGAAAAAAAAACAAAAAGGAAGAAACACCUUAAUCCUGAUUCAGUUUGCUUUGUAUUUCUUGUUUUUUAUUUUUUCUUGUUUGAAUCAGUUUUUUUUUUUUUUGAAAAAAUCCCCUGCCUGUUAUAGCCAAUUUACAAAUUGUUCUUAUUACUUUGCGUGUUUGCUUCACUUUUGUAGGGUAGUUGAUGGGCGGUGGAGCAAGUGGUCGCAGUGGAUGGGCGAUGGAGGCAAGUGGCUGUCAGAGGUGGCAGAGGCUAGGUGCGACAUAACAGGGUUAGGGGCGAGGGUUUCUGCUAAAGAGUUCAGGUUUUGGGCCAUUUGGGCCAUUAGGGCUUUUUGUAAUUUGGGCUUGUUGGAUGUAAUUUGGGCUUGUAGGGCUUUGGGUGUUGAAUUCUAUAAAAAAUUAGACUUUUUUAUUUUUUUGGUAUUAUUUAUUUGAUUUUGGAUCCAGCCAAAUUGGGCCUGCUACAUUUACCAUAAUGAAACCUAUACUACUUCAUAUUGGUUGAAGACCAGAGAGAUACGUAUCGAGUGUGUCAAAUGUUGAUGUCCCUUUUAUGUACUGUUUUAUAUUUUUGUUCUUUUAAUAAGGUUUGUUUGGCUUAUAAAAAGUAUUUUUAUUAAACUAAAAUUUGCUAUGUUUUGAAAUUGGGCAUUUAAUGAUCUGUACCUAUAUUCUUUAAAAAAAAUAUAUUGUACCAAUACAAUUUCAUAAAAUUAGUACAAAUGAUCAUAAAAAAUCAGCAUAACUUACUUGAACUUAAAUACAUUGCUAAUUGAUAUAAUUGGGAACGGUUAUGCGGUUGAUAAUAAUCUUUUUGAACUUCAUUUAAUACAUGAUUUAUACAAGUAAUAUUAGCAACUUAAGUUUUGAUAUGUCCUGCGAGAACAUAAUAGACCGACAGAUUGCAUGACCAAAGUUGUUCCUAAUAAUCUUAAUAGGUUAACAACUUUUGAAGACCCAGCUGAUCAUGCUCGAUCUUUGUUAGAAGAAGAUGCUCAUCGAGCAAUGAUUAAUAUAGACUCUCAUCAACCUAAUUGUAGCUAAUUCUUUGAACUUGUUUCUUUUUUAAAAAAAUUCACAAAAUGCAGAAAUAACUAUUAAUAAACUUUAUAGGAAAACAGAGCAUCUGUAUAAAUAUUUAUCAAAGACAUUGCUAGAAAGCAAAGCUUAUGUUUAUUUUAAUCAAUUUAACAAUGGCCUCUUCAACGAACGCGUUGCAUAUCCCUUGAUAACUUUACUUUGAUCUUCUUUAACUUUGUAACAACCUCUUUCAUAUGAAGCCUCUCAUUUGGUAACUCUGCAGAACAUUCUAAGCCAACUUGCAAAAUGGAUAAGGCACAAUUCUUGACUUUUAAAUCUUCCCUUCCAAUGGUGCUCAACAACUGGGGAUCUACAACUUGAUUUCGCGAAGAUGAUAUCGACUCUAUCACCCAACUCUUCAAGCUUCUUUCUCCUUCAAACAUUUCAUCUGUGGGCUUUUUUCUUGUGAUGAUUUCCAUCAAAAUAAUACCAAAGCUAUACACAUCACCUUUUGUCGAAACAAUUCCUUCGAUUCCAUAUUCUGUAUGAAUAUAAAAACAACAUUAUGAAUAUUCAAAGAUAUCUUGAUAAUGAAAAAUUUGUAUAAAAUAUCCGAAACAUUAUAUGCUUGCAUGUUAUAAUUGAACUGGGAUUUAAUCUAUUUGCUUCCUUAAAAAGUCACAUUUAAUAUGUUUGAAACUCAAAUCUUAACAUAUAUGAUCCCUUUUGUUAUGCACAUGCUACGCUUACAUUGAAAAUGGAAAAAUAAACAUGGAGUUUGAUUAGAAGUAUCACCUGGUGCCAUAUAUCCAAAUGUUGCCAUUGUCAUGGUUUGUAUCAUUGAAACCUCUUCACGUAAGAGUUUCACGAUGCCAAAAUCACUCAAAUGAGCAACCAUAUCUUCAUCUAAUAGAACAUUGUUGGGUUUUAAAUCACAGUGAACAACGGGUGUUGCAUUACCAUGGUGGAGAUAUUCCAAUGCAGAUGCAACAUCUAUCAUUAUGUUCAACCUUUGUAGGAUAUCCAAAUAUUGGUUGUUGGAAUACAACCAUUUAUCAAGACUCCCACUAGGCAUGAACUCAAGCACCAACGCUUUGAAAUUAAGAUCAUUAGAGCAACUGCUUAUUACUUUGACUAAAUUUCUGUGACGAGUGUUGCAGAGAACAUCACAUUCAACAUCAAAGCUCUUAAAAGCUCCUUCUAACUCUAACUUGAAGACCUUCACCGCAAUUACCGUCCCAUCCUGGAGAUUCCCUUGGAAUACUAAACCAUAACUUCCAUUACCAAGCAACCUACUAUCAUUGAAUCCAUCAGUAGCUUGACGAAGCUCGUGGUAUGAAAACCGUCUCCACGUUCCUAAAGGUAUCAUGUCUUCUUGAGUUGGCAAUUUGUCUUUCCUCCUGUAUUGCAAGAUAAUGAUUAUCAGAGCCACAACCAAAAUUGUGGAGGCAAUUGGCAGAGCUACAUAUAUUAGGAGCUUAGUUUUUGCCUUGGAAUUUCUAAGAGGUCUAGUUUUGCAGUUUGGAACAUGAAGUCGAGCUUUACCACACAAGGCUUCAUUCCCCUUAAAUGAUUCGAUUGUGUAGUUUUCAAAUGAUCCUCCAUCAGGAAUUUCUCCUUCAAGUCUAUUAAAAGAGACAUUGAAAUAUUUGAGAUAACGGAGUUUCACUAAGGAUUUGGGAAUCUCUCCAGAUAGAUUAUUUCUUGACAAGUCCAAGAAUUCCAAACUCAACAAUUCAUCAAAAGACUCAAGAAUAGAACCCAUGAUUCUAUUAUUGGAUAAGGAAAAAUGAGUGAGGUCCUUGAGAUCUGCAACUCCAGUUGGGAUAUCACCUGAGAACUGAUUGUUCGACAAAUCCAAACUAGUCAAAACUUGCCAUUUUCCAAUGUCGAUUGGCAGUGGACCACUUAGAGAAUUUGAAGACAAGUAUAGGAUGAGGAGAUAGUUGAGCUUUGUCAACGUUGAAGGUAUUGAGGAGGAAAACAUAUUGGAGUCUAGAAAUAGUUGCCUUAAUGAAGUGAGAUCACCAAAGCAAGCAGGUAUUGGCCCAGACAAUUUGUUAUUGGUCAAGAACAAGAAAGCCAAUUUGUUUAGAUGACAUAGCUCAG
rnacentral:lncRNA from 1 species